rnacentral:lncRNA from 1 species
ACGAGUUUUCAUUUAAAAAUGUUAUAAAUCUGCCAUGCAUAGUAUUCUAGUAGAAUCAUCUAUAAAUUCAAGUUAUUGAAAUUGUCUAUUUGUCCAGUUUGAGUUAAGGACGCAUGUAAUAUGAAAAAUAGUUGUCGAAUAUUGUAGGUUAGCUAAUAUUUGAUCAAUCCUAUAGGGAGGGCUUUAAGAUGUCUAACAACAUGUAGAAUGCCCCUGCUUCCCCCACAAUUUUUAUCUUAUACAAUUUUUAUCUAUAAACAGUAUUUGCCAGACCUUAACUGUUCAGAUUCCCCUUCUCGACUAUCAUACCCUACGCCCCGUCUCCGUGUCUCCGAUAAACAGUGCUCAAUUAAGGCCAUCAGAUUAUCCCGGUCCCACAUUGAUCAACGGCUCACAAUGACCGACAACCUCUGUCUCCAUUACAAGCUCCCUCUUCAACUCGCUUCUGCUUCCAUCCUACUCUUUCUCAGAUUCGGAGCCCGUAUAUGCUCGGCUGGUCCCACGAAGCUCCCUCUCACUCCAGCUGUCAACCGACAAGACCAAUUGCCUUAUCAAGACAGAGAACAAAAAGAGGAUGAGAAAUUGAAACAAGAAUUUGAGAAUUGGAAAUCGAAAACGUACUCAUUGACCGUGCCUUUGAGAGUUGUUUCUCUUCAGAAUUCAGUGCCUCAAUCUUGGGUUAAGGAUUUUAUGCGAAGUCAAGGAAAGUGAUUGAAGUUUCAGAUGAAUUUGUGUGCUAGCAUUGGUGGGAUCUUUAACAAUUUAUCUGUGCCCUUUAACAAAGUCAAGGCUAAUUCAGCUUCUUAUAUGGCUGCUGAUUUGGUUAGUGUUGGUGAUUCAUGGCUUAGUUUUGCCAUUAAAGAGAGAUUGAUUGAGCCAAUGGCUGGAGCUGAAGACCAAGAUUGGUUCAAAUGCUUAAGUCACAAAUGGAAGGUAACAUCUUUAUCUUUGGCCCGAUAAUUUUUAUUGUCUUACAUUGAAAUUUGGUAAUGUAAUUUGUUCUCUAUCUGUAUUACCCUUUUUAGUCGUUUUAUUUAUUUGUUUAUUUGCUUUUAUUUGCACUAACGAAGUCUCAGGUAUAUCUAUGCAGAAUGAUGCAGGAGAAAUUGAUCCUCGAUGUGAAAUAUGGGCGGCACCAUACAGGUGGGGCACAAUGGUGAUAGCCUACAAGAAAAGUAAAUUUCGAAAGCAUAAUUUGGCUCCGAUUGAGGUAAUAAUUGUCUUUAAACUCAUUUAGUUUUAUAUCAAACAAAAUCAAGACUGCCUUUCUCUUCAAUAUUUUUGAUGAUAAUAUCUUUAGAAGCAUCUUAUUGAUGGGUAAUAAUUGUAUCCCUGAAACAGUCUAUAAACUCAAUGAUAUUAUCUUCUACAAAUGGCUCAUUAAACUUUGUCGUUGUAGUCAAAUGUACACUCAGAGCAAUGACAAGCUAUGCCACUGUAGCAUGUAGUGAUGGCACUUAAUAAGUGAGUUGCUAGGAUGUGAACUAGAAAAAUUAAAUAUUGUCUCCCUGGGCAUGCUAGCUCAUAAGUCAGGGUUAAUAUUAGAACUCAAGAUACUAUAACCAUGAGAAGCUAUUGACUGCCAAUUAAAAUAUCCUUUAAAAUGUCUAGGAAGUUAUGAAGGUGGAAGUAUCUUCCGAUUUCUGAGGCCACAUGGUAGAUAUCAUCCAGGAUCCUAGUACAGUGCAGUUAACCUCCUGCUUGAUGCAAUUAAUAAAUUUGGUCAAUGCCACUGAAACAUGCUAACUGACGUCGCAAUGCGACAUGAGCACUUCAAAAUGGGACAGACGGUCGGUAGCACUAAAUUUUUCUUGCCUAAGAUGAGCAAUUGGUCUAACUACUAACCCCUUUUGUAGUUGAUCAUUAUUUUUUCAAUUAUUUUCAGUUUGACCCAAAACGUUACAGAAUCUUGAUCUGAAUAUUGUCACUGAACAUUGUCACUGAACAUUGUCAAUGUCGUUUAGCGUAGCCAACUAACUUGAGUUUGGUAAAACAAACACACAGUGUGUCUCAUGUCUCACAAUUCAAAUUAUCAUUUGUAAUGAUGGAGAAUUUUUCCAAUGUAUGAAGUAUGCUUUGAUACGUGGGUUACCUUGGGGAAGGUAUCUCAAAAUAAAGAAUAUGGGGAGAAAACAGUUCAGUAGUUUAUUAUUCUGUAGUCAAGUUUUGUCUCAAAAAUGGUCCAAAUUUAAAUGAAUAAGGACGGGGGAUCUUCAUUCUUUUUUCCCUUUUUUAUACCUAGAUAUCUCUCAACCUUUAUAUAAUCCCCACUGGAUAUCUGCUUCUAAUAAUUAAAAUAAAAAUUUCACCCACACAAAUAAAUACUGACCAAGCUCUAACAAUAAAAAGUAACUUCUUUAGUCAAGUGAUUUACAGUUCCUCAUCACCUUAGUGAGACUAUCAGUGUGUUCCAAAAACAUAAUAAAAUUGGUUUGUUCCUGUUUAUUGAUGUUUAAAUGUUGUUCAUUGUGACAUGUAGAAAUGAUGAGGCGAAGUUUAUUUGGUCAUCAAUUUGUAAGAUCUUGUUUGAAGUUGCUUUCUGAAAUGAACUGCCAAAUGGUAGUUUCUUUGGGCAUUUGAUGGCUCUUUUUUCCUCAUUUUUAAACAUGUGCCUGCUUGGAACAGGAAGGAUUAGGCUGCAGAGUUGUUAUAUAUUUUGACAUGCUCUAGUCAUUGCACAAUUUGUUCACACUGGAAACUAGAAUGAGAAAUUUGUUGCAUUCUAUGCACAAUAACAUGAUUAAUGAAAAUGGAUUGUAGGACUGGAAAGAUCUGUGGCAGCCUGAGCUCGCAGGACGAAUUUCAAUGGUUAAUUCUCCCUGAGAGGUUAUUGGUUUAGUUUUGAAGUAUAUGGGAGCAUCAUACAAUUCAAACGAUAUUGAUUCGCAAGUUGCUGGUGGGAAGAUUGCUGCUCAGCAGAAUCUGGCAUUACUGGCAAACCAGGUACUCUCAAAGAAAUGAUAUCUGGUCAUUGCAUGUUAUUACCUGACAACUGAUUUUGUUUGUAAAAGUCUGCUUCUUCAUACAUAUGAAUGCAUAUGUUAGUGUUUUCUUCUCCUUUUCAUACAUAUGAAUGCAUAUGUUGCUUCUUUUCCUUUCCAUACAUAUUAAUACAUAUGUUGGUGUUCUCUCCUGAGAUGGAUGCAAUAAAGGUUUUUCUGAAGAAAUGGCAAGGGAUGUGAGAUUCUGUCUCAUAAAAUUAACAAAAACCCAAAACAAUGAAAACCCAUAAUAAUGUGGUGUGGGUAAAUUGACGCCAUUUGGUUCGUUUCCUUGAUGUGAAUACGCGGGCAAUAGAGACUAACAAAAUGAAGUGACAACAAGAAGUCAGUGUCCUUUGAUGGAUGCAUUUUUAGGCAGAAAUAGGUUUGUAAUUGACCAAAUUUGUCUGGCAUGCCAAUUUCAAAAAAAAUUAAAUUAUGUGGUUAUUAGCUGUAAUGAAGGGGGAUUGUAGGUCCAAUCAGGUGGAUCCAUGAAAGUUCAACAAAGUUCUGGUAUGGCGUAGAAAUUGGUUUGUGCAACUCAAGAGUCUUUCUGGUGAACGAUGAUGGGUUUUGAUUUAUAAAUGUUAUAAAUCUACUGUGCAUAGUAUUCUAGUAGAAUCAUCUAUAAGUUCUAGUUAUUGAAAUUGUCUACCUUGUUCAGUUUGAGUUAAGGGCACAUGUAAUAUGAAAAAUAGUUGUUGCAUCUUUUAGGUUACCUAACAUUUGAUCAAUCCUAUUAUGAGGGCUUCAAGAUGUCUAACAAUAUGUGGAAUGCCCAUGCUCCUCCCCAUUGUUUAUCUUAUAUAAUAAUUUGUUUUAGAUGCUAAUAUCUUUGUCGAUACCGGUAACAAUAUUACAAUAUCUGCGUUUAUUGGGUUUUACAUAGGUUCGACUGUUUGACAGUACACACUCUCUGAAGGCAUUUGGAAAUGGAGAUGUAUGGAUUGCUGUUGGGUGGAGUAGUGAUGUUCUUCCUGCUGUCAACGUAUGUCUAAUGUUGCAGUUGUUGUUCCCAAGUCUGGUGCUAGCUUAUGGGCUGAUCUUUGGGUAUACCCAUGCCUGCCAUUCUACUUCAAUAUUCACAUUGUUAUCUCCUUCAUAUUAGUGAUCAGUAAACACGAUAAUGUGACUAAUAAGUUCGUAUUCUCUUUAUAGGCAAUCCCUGCUGCCUCAAGACUUGAAACAAAACAAAUUGGAGGGCGAGUCAGAGGUGCAUUUCCAUUAAUCCAUCAAUGGAUAGAAUUCUGCUUGCAAACAGCGAGAGCAUUGCCUUUCAAGCAAGAGGUUAUCCCGAGCGCAUCUCCCUCUGCCCUUGAGAGUACUCUGGUUAAGUUGCCUGAAAACUUUGAAGGGUAAACCAAGUCUGGAUACUAACUUAAUUGCUGGAGUACCCCUGACGGAAAUUCUGGCAGAUGUGAGUUUUUGGAGCCAUUAUCUGAAGCUACAUUGUCGGAUUAUGAGUGGCUGGUUGCUAAUCUGCAAAAAUCCACUCUGUACUGAUCAACAAAGAUGCAACAUUACAUGUCAUCAUUGAUCUUUAGCUAAAGGUACAUUGAAAAGUUAAUGGCACUGCAUACCAGUCAUUAUAAUUGGGUCAGGGCAAUUGGGUCAGGGCAAUUGGGUCAGGGCAAUUAGGUCAGAGCAUAACUUCAUUAGGAAAAGAGGCUUCAGCUACGUUAAAUAUUACAGGAUGUACUGAGAUGGCUGAAGUUGUUGACGUUGUACGAGAAACGAAGAUGAGUGUUUGUUUGAACAAAGUUGUUGCCAAUCUUGCAGAGUUCGAGAAGAAAGAUCACGAAGCAAAUGCCACGAUUUCUUCAUCACUGUAGCCUCCAUAGUUGAAGUUUCCUCAUUUGAAGCUGUUUAUGCAUAUGCUUUUUUUCCCUUCUCAAGUACAGGAAAUUGAAGAAUUAACCAGAUGUGAAUAUGCUGAAAGAGGGAAGUUUUCUCCCUUGAAUGUGGCCUUGUGAUUUGUCUUGAAGGAAUAGGAUGAUCACUGGCAAGAACCCUAUCAAGGUAGAUUUUAUGAUGUUAACAUAUUAUUAAGCAUUUUUGUUACAUCAGCAAUGAUGCUUUCAUAGCAUGAAAGUGUUUAAAUUUAACUGAAUGAUCUUGAUUGAUCAAUUAUGAGUUUUAAUCGAGUAAAAACUAAAUACAUAAUCGUUAACAAUAUUGAAAUUGGGUAAAUAUGAUCUUGAUAUUGAUGAAUUUGAAAUCACAACCCACACAGGAAAUCACCCUCGCGUGGGGAUGGAAAUGUUUACUGCAGCGAUAUUGAAUAUGUCCACUGCUGGACUAAUUCUGAUUACCUAAUUGACUCAGGAUCGGCUGGCAAUAAUAACAGUUUAUUAACAAUGCACAGUCCGAGUACUUUUCCAGGAUCAGAUACGACGUGGUCUAAUGUUGAUAAUAAUAGAUUAUCAAAUGACAAAUCGUUGUUCUACUAUUGCAAGCCCCCAGAUUUAAGAAUCUUUUUCAGAAAUUAAAUACAUUCUGAGAGAUGCUGGUCUACUAUUGCAAGCCCCCAGAUUUAAGAAUCUUUUGACGGUAAUUUAUCACCUGUAACUGUGCCGGAAGAUUCAACUAGCACUGAAAAAGAUGAUAAAUUAAUUGAUAUGGAGAGUUUUCAUAUCACUUUUAAAUCAUCUUAUGUAAUUGUGAUGUUAGGAAGCAUUAGUGAUCUAUAUGUGAAUUAUUAUUGGCGCCAUUGGUGGUUUUAUCUUGUUAAAAUAUGGAUGAAUUCCAGUUACUAUUUUGUUGCAGACAAUCUUCUUCAAUUAACAUAUGGUUUAAAAUCAUUAUGUAAAUCAAUCUAUUAAUUUUCAAGAUAUUUAACUGAGUUAAAACUAAGUGCACUCAAUAAAUCUCUUUUCCUUUAAAAAACUGUUACGCUUUAUUUUAGUGCUUAAUAUUUAUUGAACUCCGAUACAGGGAAUUUGAAAUCAAACUCGUAACUACAUAUUAUCUAAUUGCAAGUUUCUAUCCAUAGCUGCUGAUUUGUAGUGAUUAUCUAAUUGACUGAGGUGACGACAAUUUUUUUUUUUUUAAAUUUUCAAUAGCACAAUGUGGAAUUCAAUAAUUAAAUUCUCCUUUUUAAUUUGUUUCCAGUUAAAUUAUUAAUUACUUAAACUCUGUUUUAAGUCUUUAAGUUUAUGUGUUUAUGCAGAAUUGGAUUCUUGAGCGUGUUGGACACGACCAACAAUGAAAUUGACAGUAAAAAAACAAUACAACGUGUGGACUCCGGUAGAUGCCAUACAAGUCUACAACUUUACAAAUAAUAAUUGAGUAAGCAACUUUGAUUCUCGGGGCCCUUCAAUGAAUUUCUAGCCCCGUUGACUCCGCCAACUAAAGUUUGUAAAAUAAAAAAAUACAUAGAAUUCCACUAAAUGCAAAACGCGUGGAAUUUAAUUUUCGGCCAUGUGGACCAAAACAUAAUUUAAUGAAAAAGGAAAAAAAAUGAUAAGAUUUCUAAAAUAUGUGAAAGAUGAUCCAUAUUUUACUGAAACGACUUAUUAAAUUUUUCAAAGAUUUAGAAUAUUUAGUCAUAAAUUACGUGCAUGUUAAUUUUUCCGCCAUUGACUAUCAUAUUCUAAACUUAAUAGUACAUUUCUUGUUGAAGGGUACUUAGUCUCUCUUCUCCUCUUAUAAAAAUUAUUGAUGGAUUUCUUGUUAUAGUUAAUAGUCUUUAAGAACGGAUAACUUUAUUGUUUUCGUGACCAAAUUAUGUCCGCCUAAGGUUGUGACUAUUAAUAAAAUUAAUAUUUUAAUGUUUAUGUUAAAAGAUAUAAGAUUUUAUGCGUUCAUUAAUUGUUAUUAGCUAAAGGAUGAAUUAUUUUUUCAACCCAAUCAGUUGAUGCAUCUGCAAGAGUUUUUUUCUUUAUUGACCAUAAUUAUGUUCCGGGUACAAUAAAUUGUCUUUGGUGCUUGGAAAAUAUGACUUCUUACUUCAAGUUUGAUAUGUCUCUCUCCAUAAACUUACUGGAAAUAUAUCCUCAUCUACUGUCAUUUAUCUAAUAUCAAUUGAAGAUCUCACUUUUUCAACUAUCACUUCCAAGUCUCAUUGUCACUUGGCCAUUCUUGGACCAUUCAAAACCAAUCAAGUGUUGAAAUAAUCAAAUAUAUGCAAAAUUAGAGUCACGAUUUUUUGGUCCCCCAAAUUCUAAUUAUAUAACUUCUAUAUAUUUCAUUGCCAGGUCACGAACUUGUUGGCACAUUUUCCAAAUUCCUCUUCCAUCAGCUCUCACACGUUAACUUAAGUGGAAAGUUUCCAAGUUGAUUGCUAGAAAGCAACGCAAAAUCAGACACACUUGAUCUGUCCCCUAAUUCUCUUUUCUACGUUGAAAAAGAAAAAAAAAAAAAUACAUAUAUAUAUAUAUAUAUAUAUCUAUGUAAAAAUAAAUAAUAAACUGAGUAAAAGUACAUUUGUUUAAUUAACAUCUGAUCGGGGCAUUUUUGGUGUAAGCCACAACUAAAAUCAAACAGCCCCUUAGCAUACUUCUUCCAUUUUAUCUGCUACUUUUGUGGAUCUUAUAGGGUGGGCAUGUGGACAGAAUUUAAAAGUUUUAAUAGGCUCAAAGAAGAAGAUGUGUUAAAUCUAAAGUUGUUGCACCUUCUGAUUAAAUAAAGUUGUACAAUUUCAUCAACUUGAAAGAAUUGACAUUAAUGAACUGGUCGCCUCUCCAUGUAUGAAGCCUUCUUAAAAGUUAAUUUUUAUUUCAGAAAAAAAAAGUUUAAGUUACAUAUAUUACAGUAAGAUUUUUUUGAGACCAAUUCCCUUCUUGAAAUAUAAUAGAAAAGUAUUAAUUUAAAAAUAAAAUGAAUAUGUAUUGAUUAUAUCCUGAUUUUCAUCGAUUAUAGUUAGAGAGUUUCACCAAAUCAAUUCCUUAUUCAAAUAAUACAGAAAAAAUAGUAAUUUAAUAGUAAAAUAAACAGGUGUUGAUUAUAUAUCCUAAGUUUCAUCGAUUAUGUGAUCAAAGUGGCAUUGUUGAUUUAUUUUUGUUCAAUGUUAAUUUUUAGGUUAUAUAAAUUUCAAGGAUUUAAAAUCUUUGGCCAUGAAUUACACGCUUGUUAAUUUUCCUGCCAUUGACUGUCAUAUUCUAGACUUAAUGAUACCUUUCUUGAUCAAGGGUAAUUACUCUCUCUUCUCCUCUUAUAAAUUCCUCUUCCAUUAACAUCACUAGGAGUAUGUUGAUCUCUCAGACGUUAACUUGAGUGGAGAGUUUCCAAAUUGAUUGUUACAAAACAACACAAAAACUAGACACACUUGAUCUGUCUAAUAAUUCUCUUUCGGUAAAAUUAAAUAAUUUUAGGGGAAUAUUCGGCCAACCUCUAUAAUUUCAGAGUGAUCAUUAAUUAAUUAAUCGAUACAAAUAUCUAAAGUGAUUAAAUGUGACUUGAAAUUUGAUCUCUAUCGAUUGGUUUACAAAUGGACGUACUUGUGCCUUUGUGGCGAUAAUCGAACAAGUACCCAUGAUUAUUAUUUUUUCCAAAAACUUUUUUACAACAAAUUCAUCUCGUCAAAAAUUCUAUGUUGCUAACUAACAAUAAUUGAGCACUUGGCCGCAUUGACUCCACGUCUCACCUCUUUCUAAAUUCUAAGUAAAAACAUGGAAAUGUAAUUUCCACAAAAUGCCAAAUGUGUGGAAUUUAAUUUUUUGCCUUGUGGAUCAAAAUACAAAUGAAAGAAACAGAAGAAAAAAAAGGCCCAAAGACUUCUAAAAGAUGAAGAAGUCUUUGUGCCUUUUUAUAAUGGUGAAUUUUUUAAAAGAAAAAAAAUAACAACAUUUUUAUGGUUUGUUUUGAUAAUCAUAUUUACAUAUACUCUCUAAUUUUCAAAAUGGACACAUAAAUCUUUUUUUUUUACAAAAUAUAUAUUAUUCAUAUUUUUUUUUUAUUUUUUUUUAUCAUAUUUUAUUUAUUAUAAAUGUUUAGAGCAAAUUUUUAGGUUGAAAUAUAAUAAAAAGGUAUAAUUGUUCUCUUAUUAAACACACAUACUUUUAUUAGUUUCUAUCCAUUUGUCAUCUCAAUCUCUCUCAAUUAUUCUUUAUUGCUAGCUCAAAACGCGUUGCUGUUGCAAAUUAUAGCAAAAUGACAAAUAUGGAAAAAAAGGGAAGAAAAUUAAUGCAUGAAAGACUUGGAGAAAACAACAAAAUAAGCCAACUAUGAGCUAGUUGGGUGUAUAAAUUGUUAGAUGUGUAUAUACAAAUAGCGUAGAGCCCUCUAGUUGGUUCCAGAGACAGAAAGAGCGUGUGUGUUUUUUCACAGUUAGAGAUAUAGUUAGAAUGGGUGGUUCAAAAUCAAAAAUGAUGAUAAUGUUUAUUAUGUUAUUAAUAAUAUUUAAAAGUGGGUGGAGUGAGGGAUGUUUGGAUCACGAGAGAUUUGCUUUUUUGAGACUCAAACAUUUCUUCAAUGAUCCUCUUAAUUCUCUUUACGACUGGGUAGAUGGUGAGGGAGCUACUGAUUGUUGUCAGUGGGAAAGGGUUGAGUGCAGCAACACCACAGGCCGAGUGAUAGCACUGGACCUUUCUUAUAUAUAUUCGGGAGAGUACAGCUGGUAUCUGAAUGCUUCUUUAUUUACUCCUUCCAACAACUUGAGUCACUUGAUUUAACUCAAAACAAAAUAGCCGGAUGUGUUGAGAAUGAAGGUACUUUGUUUAAUUUAAUUAAUUUACUUUCUCCCCCCUAAUUUAAGUUGAAUAUCAAGACCGAGCAAUUAUACGCAUAUUCAUUUAGUCGACAAUUUUGACUUUUUUUUAAAUGAUUAAUUUUGAAAUUACACCAGUAUCUAUGAUCUUUUUUAUUUUAUUUUAUUUGCAGGUAUAGAGAGGCUAUCAAGAUUGAACAACUUGAAGAUGCUUAAUUUAAGUGGAAACUCAUUCAAUAAUAGCAUUUUAUCAUCUCUAACUCAUCUUUCAUCAUUAAGAUCAUUAAAUUUAUUGUGGAAUAGAUUGGAAGGAAGUAUUGACGUUAAAGGUACAUAAUUAAAACUUCAAGCUCUUUCAUUAACUUGCUAAAAUAAGAUUCAAGGCUUUGAAUUCAAUUUUUUUAUGAUUAAUAUUAAAAAAACAGUUUUAAGCAAUUUAUAAAUACAAGUUUUAAUGUUUCUUGUAAUUUCAUCUUGUACUUUCAUAUGUCUUGAAUUUAAGAUUAAAAAAAAAACUCUAAUAGCGAACCAAACACCUCCACAACUUAUUAUUAUUUGUGGUGAGGUUUGAAACAUUCAACUCAAUUUGUACUUAUUACAGAAUUUGAUUCUUUGAGAGAUUUAGAGGAGCUAGACAUUGGCGGAACAAGAUUGACAAAUUUGUGGUCUCAAAAGGUACUACAAAUACCAUAAAAAAAUAUGCUAACUUUUACAAAUUAGUUAGAUUCUUUGCCAUUUGGUUUAUUAUUUUACAGGUUUGAGUAAGUUGAAGUCUCUUGGUUUAAGUGGUAUCAAACUCAAUCGUAGCAUCUUAUCUUCUCUGACUGUCUUUCUUCGUUAAGAGAAUUAUAUAAGUGAUACGGGAUUCAAAGGAACAUUCGAUGUUCGAGGUAAGCCUAAACCUUGCUUUCUCAUUUUAUAUAUGCCAACUAGAUUUGUGUAUCAUCGACAUAAUUUAAUAUUUAAUUUGAUAAGUCUGAAUGAAUUACAUGCUAAUUUAACACUUUUAUUUACUUUGUCAAUUAAUUAAUUAAUUAAUUAUACUAUUUGGCUUGGUUUGGACGAAAUUCUCAUGAUGUUUUAAUUUCUUUAAAUUAAUUAAUUAAUUAACUCUGUUUUUAAGUCUUAAGUCUGGGCGUGUUUGCAGAUUUGAUUCCUUCAACGACUUAGAAGUGUUGGAUAUGAGAUACAAUGAAAUCGACAAUCUUGUGGUUCCUCAAGGUAAACAAUUAAAAGGUACAGAUGUGGCCAAAUUUAUAAAUAAAUUGUUAAUUAAUUAAUUUUUUCGUAUUAUUAAUAAAGCUAAAUUCGUUUGCUCCUUCCUUCUAAUUCUAAACAGAGUUGCACAAUUUCACCAACUUGGAAUAUUUGACAUUGGAAUCUUUCCUCUCUCAUAUAAGCCUUCUGCAAAGCAUUGCAUCAAUAUUCCCUUCGUUAAAAAAUCUGUCGAUGUCUUUUUGUGAAGUCAAUGGUGUCGUACGCGGUCAAGGUAAAAGAAAAGCGUUGAUUGUGAACUCACUCAAUGGUGUCCUACGUGUUCAACAUUUUUAUUUAUUUUAUUGUUUAAUGUUUCUGCUAGGUUUUCCUCAUUUCAAGAGUUUGGAACAUUUUGACAUGAGGUUCGCGCGCAUUGCGCUCAACACCAGCUUUCUUCAAAUCAUCGGUGAAUCGAUGCCCUCUCUUAAGUACUUAUUACUGUCAUAUUCUAAUCUCUUGGCACUAACAGCAGCAGGAUUCUUCAUCAAGGUUAAUGAGAUGCUGCCACCCUCCCCUCUUAACCUAUAAUAUUAAUUUUCGAUUAAAUAUUUAAUUACACAAACCAAAUCACUUAUUAUAAAAGAACAAUACGCAUUCAUUAAUUUUUAUAUUGUAUUAAUAAUUGAUGAAUUUAAUAAAUUUUCAGGCCUCUGUUCGUUGGUGCACCUGCAAGAGUUGUACAUUGAUAAUAAUGAUUAAAGAGGUAGCUUGCCUUGGUGCUUGGCAAAUAUGACAUCCUCCGAAUAUUAGAUGUUUCUUCCAAUCAACUUACGGGAAGCAUCUCCUCAUCUCCCCUCGUUCAUUUGACAUCCAUUGAAAAGUUGAUCUUUCAAACAAUCACUUUUGGAUCCCAAUUUCACUUGAACCACUUUUCAAUCACUCACGACUCAAGCUUUCUAUGCUGACAACAAAAAUAAAAGCUGAAAUAACUGAGUCACAUUCUUUGACUGCCCCAAACUUCCAAUUAAAAUAUCUCUCAUUGUCUUCCGGUUACGAAGAUGGUGUCACAUUCCCCAAAUUCCUUUACCAUCAACAUGACCUGGAGUAUGUUGACCUCUCACAUAUAAACAUGAGCGGAGAAUUUUCCAAAUUGGUUGUUGGAAAACAACACAAACUUAGAAUAUAUUUUUUGGUUAAUGAUUCUCUUGCAGGACCUUUCCGGUUGCCAAUUCAUUCACACAAGCGGUUAAGACUGUUGGAUAUAUCCAACAACAACAUCAGAGGCCACAUUCCAGUAGAAAUUGGAGAUGUUUUACCGGGUUUAUUUUCUUUAAACAUUUUCAUGAAUGCUUUAGACGGUUGCAUUCCCUCUUCAUUUGGUAAUAUGAAAUUCCUCCAAUUUCUGGACUUAUCCAACAACCAAUUGACUGGUGAAAUCCUAAGCACUUGGCCGUGGGUUGCGUCAACUUAGAGUCUCUUGCGUUGUCAAACAACAACUUAGAAGGUCAUAUGUUCUCCAGAAACUUCAACCUGACAAACUUGAAAUGGUUACAAUUGGAAAGCAAUCACUUCGUAGGAGAGAUCCCACAAAGUUUGUCUAAAUGCUCCUCACUAAAAGGAUUGUAUCUUAACAAUAAUAGUCUUUCGGGUAAGAUUCCACGAUGGUUGGGUAAUCUCACAUGGUUACAAUAUAUUACAAUGCCCAAUAAUCAUCUUGAAGGUCCUAUUCCAGUGGAGUUUUGUCAGCUUGAAUGGCUUCAGAUUUUGGACAUUUCAGACAACAACAUAUCUGGAAGUUUACCAUCUUGUUUCCAUCUUCUCUCUAUCAAACAAGUUCAUCUUUCAAAAAAUAUGUUACAUGGACAGCUAAAAGAGGUACAUUUCUUUAAUUGCUCUUCCCUUGUGACAUUAGAUCUUAGUUAUAACCGCUUGAAUGGCAGCAUUCCGGAUUGGGUUGAUGGACUUUCUCGUUAAGCCACCUUAUCUUGGCUCACAAUAAUCUUAAAGGUGAAGUGCCAGUUCAAUUGUGCAAAUUGAACCAACUACAAUUGUUAGAUCUUUCUAAUAAUAAUCUUCAUGGUCCUAUUCCUCUUUGCUUUGAUAACACCACACUUCAUGAAAGUUACAGCAAUAGUUCUAGUCCUGAUGAGCAAUUUGAAAUAUAUAUUUUUAUGUCCGCCUAAGGUUGUGACUAUUAAUAAAUUAAUAUUUAAUGUUUAUGUAAAAAUAUAUAAGAUUUUAUGCGUUCAUUAAUUGUUAUUAGCUAAAGGAUGAAUUAUUUUUCAACCCAAUCAGUUGAUGCAUCUGCAAGAGUUUUUUCUUUUAUUGACCAUAAUUAUGUUCCGGGUACAAUAAAUUGUCUUUGGUGCUUGGAAAAUAUGACUUCUUACUUCAAGUUUGAUAUGUCUCUCUCCAUAAACUUACUGGAAAUAUAUCCUCAUCUACUGUCAUUUAUCUAAUAUCAAUUGAAGAUCUCACUUUUUCAAACUAUCACUUCCAAGUCUCAUUGUCACUUGGCCAUUCUUGGACCAUUCAAAACCAAUCAAGUGUUGAAAUAAUCAAAUAUAUGCAAAAUUAGAGUCACGAUUUUGGUCCCCCAAAUUCUAAUUAUAUAACUUCUAUAUAUUUCAUUGCCAGGUCACGAACUUGUUGGCACAUUUUCCAAAUUCCUCUUCCAUCAGCUCUCACACGUUAACUUAAGUGAAAGUUUCCAAGUUGAUUGCUAGAAAGCAACGCAAAAUCAGACACACUUGAUCUGUCCCCUAAUUCUCUUUUCUACGUUGAAAAAAGAAAAAAAAAAAUAAAAUACAUACAUACAUAUAUAUAUAUAUAUAUAUAUAUAUAUAUAUAUAUAUAUAUAUAUAUAUCUAUGUAAAAAUAAAUAAUAAACUGAGUAAAAAGUACAUUUGUUUAAUUAACAUCUGAUCGGGGCAUUUUUGGUGUAAGCCACAACUAAAAUCAAACAGCCCCUUAGCAUACUUCUUCCAUUUUAUCGGCUACUUUUGUGGAUCUUAUAGGGUGGGCAUGUGGACAGAAUUUAAAAGUUUUAAUAGGCUCAAAGAAGAAGAUGUGUUAAAUCUAAAGUUGUUGCACCUUCUGAUUAAAUAAAGUUGUACAAUUUCAUCAACUUGAAAGAAUUGACAUUAAUGAACUGGUCGCCUCUCCAUGUAUGAAGCCUUCUUAAAGUUAAUUUUUAUUUCAGAAAAAAAAGUUUAAGUUACAUAUAUUACAGUAAGAUUUUUUGAGACCAAUUCCCUUCUUGAAAUAAUAAUAGAAAAGUAUUAAUUUAAAAAAUAAAAUGAAUAUGUAUUGAUUAUAUCCUGAUUUUCAUCGAUUAUAGUUAGAGUUUCACCAAAUCAAUUCCCUUAUUCAAAUAAUACAGAAAAAAUAGUAAUUUAAUAGUAAAAUAAACAGGUGUUGAUUAUAUAUCCUAAGUUUCAUCGAUUAUGUGAUCAAAGUGGCAUUGUUGAUUUAUUUUUUGUUCAAUGUUAAUUUUUAGGUUAUAUAAAUUUCAAGGAUUUAAAAUCUUUGGGCCAUGAAUUACACGCUUGUUAAUUUUCCUGCCAUUGACUGUCAUAUUCUAGACUUAAUGAUACCUUUCUUGAUCAAGGGUAAUUACUCUCUCUUCUCCUCUUAUAAAUUCCUCUUCCAUUAACAUCACUAGGAGUAUGUUGAUCUCUCAGACGUUAACUUGAGUGGAGAGUUUCCAAAUUGAUUGUUACAAAACAACACAAAAACUAGACACACUUGAUCUGUCUAAUAAUUCUCUUUCGGUAAAAUUAAAUAAUUUUAGGGGAAUAUUCGGCCAACCUCUAUAAUUUCAUAGUGAUCAUUAAUUAAUUAAUCGAUACAAAUAUCUAAAGUGAUUAAAUGUGACUUGAAAUUUGAUCUCUAUCGAUUGGUUUACAAAUGGACGUACUUGUGCCUUUGUGGCGAUAAUCGAACAAGUACCCAUGAUUAUUAUUUUUUUCCAAAAACUUUUUUACAAACAAAUUCAUCUCGUCAAAAAUUCUAUGUUGCUAACUAAACAAUAAUUGAGCACUUGGCCGCAUUGACUCCACGUCUCCACCUCUUUCUAAAUUUCUAAGUAAAAACAUGGAAAUGUAAUUUCCACAAAAUGCCAAAUGUGUGGAAUUUAAUUUUUUGCCUUGUGGAUCAAAAUACAAAUGAAAGAAACAGAAGAAAAAAAAAGGCCCAAAGACUUCUAAAAGAUGAAGAAGUCUUUUGUGCCUUUUUAUAAUGGUGAAUUUUUUUAAAGAAAAAAAAAUAACAACAUUUUUAUGGUUUGUUUUGAUAAUGCAUAUUUACAUAUACUCUCUAAUUUCAAAAUGGACACAUAAAUCUUUUUUUUUUACAAAAUAUAUAUUAUUCAUAUUUUUUUUAUUUUUUUAUUAUCAUAUUUUUAUUUAUUAUAAAUGUUUAGAGCAAAUUUUUAGGUUUGAAAUAUAAUAAAAAGGUAUAAUUGUUUCUCUUAUUAAACACACAUUACUUUUUAUUAGUUUCUAUCCAUUUGUCAUCUCAAUCUCUCUCAAUUAUUCUUUAUUGCUAGCUCAAAACGCGUUUGCUGUUGCAAAUUAUAGCAAAAUGACAAAUAUGGAAAAAAAGGGAAGAAAAUUAAUGCAUGAAAGACUUGGAGAAAACAACAAAAUAAGCCAACUAUGAGCUAGUUGGGUGUAUAAAUUGUUAGAUGUGUUAUAUACAAAUAGCGUAGAGCCCUCUAGUUGGUUCCAGAGACAGAAAGAGCGUGUGUGUUUUUUCACAGUUAGAGAUAUAGUUAGAAUGGGUGGUUCAAAAUCAAAAAUGAUGAUAAUGUUUAUUAUGUUAUUAAUAAUAUUUAAAAGUGGGUGGAGUGAGGGAUGUUUGGAUCACGAGAGAUUUGCUUUUUUUGAGACUCAAACAUUUCUUCAAUGAUCCUCUUAAUUCUCUUUACGACUGGGUAGAUGGUGAGGGAGCUACUGAUUGUUGUCAGUGGGAAAGGGUUGAGUGCAGGCAACACCCACAGGCCGAGUGAUAGCACUGGGACCUUUUCUUAUAUAUAUUCGGGAGAGUACAGCUGGUAUCUGAAUGCUUCUUUAUUUACUCCCUUCCAACAACUUGAGUCACUUGAUUUAACUCAAAACAAAAAUAGCCGGAUGUGUUGAGAAUGAAGGUACUUUGUUUAAUUUAAUUAAUUUACUUUCUCCCCCCCUAAUUUAAGUUGAAUAUCAAGACCGAGCAAUUAUAUGCAUAUUCAUUUAGUCGACAAUUUUGACUUUUUUUUAAAUGAUUAAUUUUGAAAUUACACCAGUAUCUAUGAUCUUUUUUAUUUUAUUUUAUUUGCAGGUAUAGAGAGGCUAUCAAGAUUGAACAACUUGAAGAUGCUUAAUUUAAGUCGAAACUCAUUCAAUAAUAACAUUUUAUCAUCUCUAACUCAUCUUUCAUCAUUAAGAUCAUUAAAUUUAUUGUGGAAUAGAUUGGAAGGAAGUAUUGACGUUAAAGGUACAUAAUUAAAACUUCAAGCUCUUUCAUUAACUUGCUAAAAUAAGAUUCAAGGCUUUGAAUUCAAUUUUUUUUAUGAUUAAUAUUAAAAAAACAGUUUUAAGCAAUUUAUAAAUACAAGUUUUAAUGUUUCUUGUAAUUUCAUCUUGUACUUUCAUAUGUCUUGAAUUUAAGAUUAAAAAAAAAACUCUAAUAGCGAACCAAACACCUCCACAACUUAUUAUUAUUAUUUUAAUUUGUGGUGAGGUUUGAAACAUUCAACUCAAUUUGUACUUAUUACAGAAUUUGAUUCUUUGAGAGAUUUAGAGGAGCUAGACAUUGGCGGGAACAAGAUUGACAAAUUUGUGGUCUCAAAAGGUACUACAAAUACCAUAAAAAAUAUGCUAACUUUUACAAAUUAGUUAGAUUCUUUGCCAUUUGGUUUAUUAUUUUACAGGUUUGAGUAAGUUGAAGUCUCUUGGUUUAAGUGGUAUCAAACUCAAUCGUAGCAUCUUAUCUUCUCUUUCUUCGUUAAGAGAAUUAGAUAUAAGUCGUACGGGAUUCAAAGGAACAUUUGAUGUUCGAGGUAAGCCUAAACCUUGCUUUUCUCAUUUUAUAUAUGCCAACUAGAUUUGUGUAUCAUCGACAUAAUUUAAUAUUUUAAUUUGAUAAGUCUGAAUGAAUUACAUGCUAAUUUAAACACACUUUUAUUUACUUUGUCAAUUAAUUAAUUAAUUAAUUACUAUUUGGCUUGGUUUGGACGAAAUUCUCAUGAUGUUUUAAUUUCUUUAAAUUAAUUAAUUAAUUAACUCUGUUUUUAAGUCUUAAGUCUGGGCAUGUUUGCAGAAUUUGAUUCCUUCAAUAACUUAGAAAGUGUUGGACAUGAGUUGGAACGAAAUCGACAAUCUUGUGGUUCCUCACGGUAAACAAUUAAAAUGUUAUUCAAUUACAUUAUUUUUAAUUCAUUUGAUUAGGGAAGGCCAAAAAGGUAAAAAAAAUAAUAAUAAAGAAACAGAGAAUUUGUAUUAUUUAAAAAACAGAAUGUAAUAAAGAUUUGAUUCUGGUUCUUUAAUCUUUAAAGUGAUUGAAAAACAAUGUUGCUCUUUUCCCAAAGCAUCAAAUACGAAUUGAAUGCCAAUUAACUUAAUCAUUCAUUUCGUUUAGCUCUAAAUUUAGACAAUGAAUUUUUAUAUUAUUUCAAAAACAUGACGUAAUAGAAUUUUUUUAAAAAACAGAUUCUAAUAAAGAUUUGAUUCCAAUUCUUUAAUCUUUACAGUGAUUGAAAAAACGAUACUACUCUUUUCCCAAAGCAUAAAUACGAAUUGACUCCCAAUCAAAUUAAUCAUUUAUUUCGUUCAUCUCUGAAUUUAAAUAAUGAAUUUUGAUCUUCAAUCGUAUUAUAAUUACUAUUAAAGAACAGGUUACAGAGGUUUGAGGAAGUUGAAUCAUCUUGAUCUAUCGGAGUUGGAAUUAGAGAUGGAAGCAAGUUGUUACAGUCAAUGGGAUCAUUCCCAUCCCUCAACACUCUUUACCUUUCGUGGAAUAAUUUUAUCGAUACAGCGACCGCUACUCAAGGUAAGUAAAAGGUACAAAUGUGGCCAAAUUUAUAAAUAAAUUGUUAAUUAAUUAAUUUUUCCGUAUUAUUAAUUAAGCUAAAUUUGUUGCUCCUUCCUUCUAAAUCUAAACAGAGUUGCACAAUUUCACCAACUUGGAAUAUUUGACAUUGGACUUUUCCUCUCUCCAUAUAAGCCUUCUCCAAAGCAUUGCAUCAUUAUUCCCUUCGUUAAAAAAUCUGUCGAUAUCUCAUUGUGAAGUCAAUGGUGUCCUACGCGGUCAAGGUAAAAGAAAAUCGUUGAUUGUGAACUCACUCAAUGGUGUCCUACGUGUUCAACAUUUUUAUUUAUUUAUUGUUUAAUGUUUCUGCUAGGUUUUCCUCAUUUCAAGAGUUUGGAACAUUUGGAUAUGGAUUACACGCGCAUUGCACUCAACACCGGCUUUCUUCAAAUCAUCGGUGAAUCGAUGCCUUCUCUUAAGUACUUAUCACUGUCAAGGUUAAUCUAUAAAUCGAUGCCUUCUCUUGAUCAAGGUUAAUCAGAUGCUCCCACUCUCCCCUCUUAAUCUAUAAUAUUAAUUUUCAAUUCAAUAUUUAAUUACACAAACGAAUCACUUAUUAUAAAAGAAUAAUACGCAUUCAUUAAUUUUUAUAUUGUAUUAAUAAUUGAUGAAUUUAAUAACUUUUCAGGUCUCUGUUCGUUGGUGCAUCUGCAAGUGUUGAACAUUGCAGGCAAUGAUUUAAGAGGUAGCUUGCCUUGGUGCUUGGCAAAUAUGACAUCCCUCCGAAUAUUAGAUGUUUCUUCCAAUCAACUUACUGGAAGCAUCUCCUCAUCUCCCCUCGUUCAUUUGACAUCCAUUGAAGAGCUGAUGCUUUCAGACAAUCACUUCCAGAUCCCAAUUUCACUUGAACCAUUUUUCAAUCACUCACGACUCAAGAUUUUCCAUGCUUACAACAACGAAAUAAAUGCAGAAAUAACUGAGUCACAUUCUUUGACUGCCCCAAACUUCCAAUUAAAAUAUCUCUCAUUGUCUUCCGGUUACGGAGAUGGUGUCACAUUCCCCAAAUUCCUUUACCAUCAACAUGAUCUGGAGACUGUUGACCUCUCACAUAUAAACAUGAGCGGAGAAUUUCCAAAUUGGUUGUUGGAAAACAACACAAACUUAGAAUAUAUUUUUUUGGUUAAUGAUUCUCUUGCAGGACCUUUCCGGUUGCCAAUUCAUUCACACAAGCGGUUAAGACUGUUGGAUAUAUCCAACAACAACAUCAGAGGCCACAUUCCAGUAGAAAUUGGAGAUGUUUUACCGGGUUUAUUUUCUUUAAACAUUUUCAUGAAUGCUUUAGACGGUUGCAUUCCCUCUUCAUUUGGUAAUAUGAAAUUCCUCCAAUUUCUGGACUUAUCCAACAACCAAUUGACUGGUGAAAUCCCUAAGCACUUGGCCGUGGGUUGCGUCAACUUAGAGUCUCUUGCGUUGUCAAACAACAACUUAGAAGGUCAUAUGUUCUCCAGAAACUUCAACCUGACAAACUUGAAAUGGUUACAAUUGGAAAGCAAUCACUUCGUAGGAGAGAUCCCACAAAGUUUGUCUAAAUGCUCCUCACUAAAAGGAUUGUAUCUUAACAAUAAUAGUCUUUCGGGUAAGAUUCCACGAUGGUUGGGUAAUCUCACAUGGUUACAAUAUAUUACAAUGCCCAAUAAUCAUCUUGAAGGUCCUAUUCCAGUGGAGUUUUGUCAGCUUGAAUGGCUUCAGAUUUUGGACAUUUCAGACAACAACAUAUCUGGAAGUUUACCAUCUUGUUUCCAUCUUCUCUCUAUCAAACAAGUUCAUCUUUCAAAAAAUAUGUUACAUGGACAGCUAAAAAGAGGUACAUUCUUUAAUUGCUCUUCCCUUGUGACAUUAGAUCUUAGUUAUAACCGCUUGAAUGGCAGCAUUCCGGAUUGGGUUGAUGGGCUUUCUCGGUUAAGCCACCUUAUCUUGGCUCACAAUAAUCUUAAAGGUGAAGUGCCAGUUCAAUUGUGCAAAUUGAACCAACUACAAUUGUUAGAUCUUUCUAAUAAUAAUCUUCACGGUCCUAUUCCUCUUUGCUUUGAUAACACCACACUUCAUGAAAGUUACAGCAAUAGUUCUAGUCCUGAUGAGCAAUUUGAAAUAUAUGUUUUCAUCGAAGGCCCUCAGGGAGGUGUAGAAAAGAAAAUCCAUGAAAUUUUUGAGUUCACAACAAAGAACAUUGCGUACAUUUACCAAGGAAAAGUGCUUAGCCUCCUAUCAGGACUUGAUCUUUCUUGCAACAAGCUAAUCGGUAUUAUUCCUCCUCAAAUUGGAAAUUUGACAAGGAUUCAAACAUUGAAUCUAUCGCACAACAACUUGACAGGAUCGAUCCCAUCAACAUUUUCAAACUUGAAGCAUGUCGAAAGUUUGGAUCUUUCCAACAACAAAUUGAAUGGGAAAAUCCCUCAUCAACUAGUGGAGUUAAAGACAUUGGAGGUUUUCAGUGUGGCAUACAAUAACUUAUCAGGCGAAAUUCCAGAAUGGAAAGCACAAUUUGCAACCUUCAACGGGAGUAGCUAUGAAGGAAAUACUUUUCUUUGUGGACUGCUAUUGCCCAUUUGCAGAUCACCAGCAACUACGUCGGAGGGUUCAAUUGGCAAUGAACGAGAUGAUAAUUUAAUUGACAUGGACAAUUUCUUUAUCACAUUUACAACAUCGUACGAAAUUGUGAUAUUCGGAAUUGUUAUUGUUUUAUAUGUAAAUUCUUAUUGGCGACGUAGAUGGUUUUACUUUGUUGAAAUGUGGAUAACUUCAUGUUAUUAUUUUAUUGUAGACAAUCUUAUUACAACAAGAUAUUGUCAUUGAAAUUAAUUAGGAGUUUAAUUACGAUUCUUUAAGUUCUAAUCAAGUUUGCUUAGGAAAUAAAUUUAUUUUUAUUUUUUAUUAAAACUGUAGUAGUAUUUAGCUCUAUAUAGCUUCCAACUUCCAAGCACUUCACAUUUGUCUCUACACUUCCAAACCCAUAUCUAUCCACCAUAACUUAUACUUCCCUAUACUGUGCAGCAUACUUAAAUAAGAGAACCAUCUCCAAUGUUAAAACCAGCCACUCUAUAACAUUCAUUUAGAAUAGUUUUAUUAUCAUACACAAGAAAUGAAACACCUAGAUGCACUUGAUCGCCUAUUUUACUUUAAAAAAUAAUGAUUAUGGUGCUAUCAUCAUCUUCUUCACUAGCAACAUUAACACCAAAUCCAGCGAUGGACCCAGACAUUUUAUCAAGAAAGGUAUAUAUAUAAUAAAGUUGAAGCUUGACAAAAAAUUCAGGAAGAUUAAUGCCUCGCCACAACAAGGGGCACAACAACAUCAAAGUAGAGAUGAAGCAAUAUUUUCAAAUCUAAAACUCUCAAAUCCACCCACCAAAAUUUCAUAUCUCCUCAACAAUUUUAAGAACUAAAGAUAAUUAGGAUCUAACAUUAGUUUUUUAUAUAUUAGUUUCAUAAUUUACAAAUCAAUGAAGAUGAAGAUUAUGCUAAUGAAUUCAAAUUAUACCAUAGAUUCUCGAGAUGUUACCAAAAAUUUCUAAGCCAAUCCCACAUAUUUCAUAAUUUUAAGACUAGAAAAUUUCAUUAGUUAGAAGUUUCAUUACCUUCAAGUGGAAGAUGAAGAACAUUAUACAAUUGAUUCAGAUUAUAUCAUACAUACUCCAAAUGCAACUAGAAAUUAACAAGUUCAUGCGCACAGAUUUCAUAACAUUAUGAUUGGAAAGUUUCACAAAGAGAAAUUCUAAAUUCAAUCUCUUGCAUCAAGGUAGUUUGAUUGAUUUGAGUUACUUUCUCAUCAAGCUACUAAUAUAACAUUCAAGUCAGGGAGAAAGUAAAUUAAAACUGGGAAGAAACAACAGUAAAAAUUUGUUGCUAAACAUGAUGUGUAUUUUUUUUUAAGGCAAUUUGGAAACACAGUUGUUACUACAGAUAUUCUCCUCAACUUAGAGAUAAAUACAAAUAUUAAAAUGCAUAUGAUCGCACAUAUUACUUGGAGCUUAGUAAGAUUUCAUUAAGAGAAGCAAUCAAACCACUUAUCAAUUGUUGCAAUCGUUCUAUAAGCUAAAAUAGCAAUAUAAUACAAGAAAAAGAACAUAUAGAUACUUGGCAAGAGUUCAUUAAGAAGUCGCAUCACAUUCGGGUGAGUUUGCUUCUGAUAUCUUGCUAGCUGGGGCUUUUUCUUGUCUUUCUACGUAUGCCGAGGGAAACCAACCAGCUUGGCCCUUGCAUUCACCUUCCGACCAUCCAGUAGGAGCCACCUUGAGAAGUUAUAACUAAAAGUCUAAAACAAUGAAUUAAACAAAAGUUGACCGUUCAAAGACCUAAGGGGAAAACUAAUUCUUUUACGUAGGAGGAGUGAAUUAGUUGUGAUCACUGAAAUAACAGCAUAACUAUGGAAGCAUAACAAGAUAUAAAUUCACACGUCUAUAAGGGUAAACUGGGUGGUUUAGAACUGAGCUAGCAACCCUACUAUAUUCUGAUUUGCACAUCAAUGUAAAAGGGAAUAUAUGGUAGGAAGAAAGAAAACCAACCAUCAGUUGUUAACUCAUUGCUUUUCAAUCAAAAUUUUAAGAACAAAAUGCCAUGUGCUUUGAACAUCAAAUAAGUAUAAGCAUUAGUUCUAAAUUCCACAUAUCAUAAGUUAGAAGGACAAGUCAAUAGCAUAGUAGAAAAAUCUAUGUGUUGUUAUUUAGAGGGGAAAGUACCUGGCGAACCACAACAUAAUCAUCAAUUGAAAGACUUAGCUCUCCAUUUGCUUGAGCAUCAAAUGGAUGUAUAACCUGCAAGAUAAUGGGAUAAAUAGAACUUAAUCUUAAAAAAAGCAUAACAAAAGCAGCAACAGUAGCAGCAGCGUUCAUUGUAACCACUAUGAUCAUGGCCAAUAAAGAUAUAUUACAAACAAAAUUCCAUUUUUACUACGACAUUAAUAUGUACUAUAUGAUAUCAUGACGAUUGGGUUACCAAGAGCUAUCAAAGUCCAAUAAAUUCUGUAUAACUUUAGGUAGUUAUUCAAAUUAUGGAUCAGAUUUUAAAUCCGAAAUUUUGACUGCUCUCCACAAAACAUGGCCUAUGCACAAGAAAGUCAUAGAUAAUGAGGAUUACAAGUGUCUGACAUCUUUUGAGUGAUGGAUUUAACAUGAGAGCUUAUGGUCAGUCAAUUUCCUCUGCCUAGCAAUAUAAGCUUUCUCGGCCAGAUUUAUCAUCAAAUACAUAGAUUGGCCCCAAGUCACAUCCAAAUAAACAUAGUUUUUCUAGGUAAACCAAGUAAGGAGAAUCAUAAUUCAGACAUAAUCAUAAAAAGGCCCAUCUAACUUAAGAGAAAAUCUCAAAAAGAGGGAUGUUGAGCUAUCAGUCUUGUAUCUAUAAGCAAUAUCAAGACUUUACAUCACCUACUACAUCGUGAGUGGCUACACAACUUUCAGUGGUUUGUCUUUCUUUGGCAUGCCUAACUCAGCUUUGAUGUUGCUGAGAUAUUGAUAGUAAAGACACAUGAUACUUCUAGCCCAUGCAUUCUAUCUAGCUCAUCCGACAACUAUCUCUUUUUUAAUUCAUUAGUGUUUGCUAAACCUCAUGCUUAAAAGUCCUAUUCUCCUAAACAAAGCUUCCUAAGAAUGACUUCCUCAGCACCACAUUUGGACACUUUUAGAGCAAUUUUAUUUGGGGGAAAAGAAUUUUCAAGGUGUUAACUAAUAAAUUUUAAAAAAUAAUUACAAUUUGUCCUACAAUUAUAUGACAAUUUAUCUGGGAUGAAAGGAUACAGACAGACAUCUUCCACUUUCAAGACUAAUCACUACUUCCGUAGAUGUUUUGCAAUAAUACAAAUACUUGACCAGAUGGUAGAAAAAAAUUUUAUUGCUCCAAAAUUAAAAUAAGAAUGCAAUAUGUUAAGCAAAAGACUGUGCAACAUCAAAUUAAUUGAUAAGUUUGUAAUUCAGUAAAUUAACAACUUUCAUGGUAAAAUACAACAAAUUUCUUUUCAAAAAAAAAAAAAAAAAUUAAAAGACGGCAUUCAAUUUUUUGGGCAUCUUAUUUCUUAAGAUUUUCCAGGAGGAGGGCACUAGAGGGACUUUCACCUAUGCAAGAGAGCAGAAGCCUUACUUUCGCUAUAAAGUAGACGUCAUUCUGAUUAAUAUGCGUUUGCAAAUCAGCUCCAUUUGAAUCAGUAUUCUGAUAGACACAUGAGGCAUUUACAUCCAUUUCCAAAGUCACAUGUUGCGAGGAGGACUCAUUUGAUUGCUCCUCUAGGAUCAUCUAAUUCAAGUAGCAAGGGUUGGAAGAGAAUAAAAAGUCACAAUUAUUCUUUUGCAUAAGUGAGACGAAAAUGAUAAAUGCAAUAUUAUCAGCAGUAAACAAGAAGAGAACACUCCAAGGAAUAGAUAGAUGCAGACAAGCAAGUUAAAAUGCACAGUUCCAAACCUCCGCAUACAACUUCUCUAAAAUAGCAAUAACGUGUUGAUGAUAUGUUUUCUCAGCAUCUACCUGCAAAGGCCUGAGACCAGGAAAACAACAAUAAAACCACUAGCUAAAGGAGAAAGUAAAGAAAGAAAUACACUUGACAUAAAUCUUGACAAGAAGCACAAUUUAAGACAUAACAAACCCCAAUCAGAUUGUUUAGAACUACCAUUCGUUAUUUCGUUAUUGUAGCAUUUCGAACAAGUGUUGACUUAAUUCAACAUUGUUGGAAAGAUAGGCUUUUAGAAGCGGAAGAAAGCCACUCAAACCAAAGUGAUUGUCCUUGUAUUGAUCAAGGGAUGUAAACAUAUUACAUUUGCAGGAUGAGUUUUAAUCACUCCCCUGAUUUAUUUGGGUUGCAGUAAAACUAAGCGAGCAACUGUUUGACUUUCAAGCAACAUCUAAAUCAGCUAUUAAAAUUCAAAUAAAAUUAUAAUAGAAUAAUAACAGGCCAUCUUGCAUAAAAAAUUAAGUUUAAUUUGUGAAUUUUUUUCUAUAGACAUGUUAGUUCCUGCUAUUGAAAUGUUAAAAGCAUUGAAAAAUUAUUCAAUAAAUUAUGCAAACAUUAAAAUAGAGGACAUAUUAAAAAGUUUCUAAUUACAAUGUUAAGAUUUCCUAUAUUUUAGCAUUUGCAUAUUUUAAUUUAUUUAAAAGUUACGUCAAUCAACUUUGGGCGUGAAGAUUUUAGCUUCUACGAGACUUGAUUGGAAUAUGCAUAAGGAAGAGUGUUAAAAUAUGAUGCAUCCAACGAAAGACAAACCACGUGUAGUCUUUUAAUUAAGCCAAAGUAGCAGCUCAAACAAAUGACACUUGGACCAACAUGCAAUCAUGAAGUGGCCGGUAAAAGGACAAAUGCAACUUUGGCUUAAAUAAAAAAUAACAUGUGACUUGACUUUUGCUGGACAUGCAUCAUGUUAUUACAAGACAACAGAAAUCAGUAUGAUAGUACUAAAAGUUGACAAUAACAUGAAGAUAAGAGGCAGAAUGUCAACACCUGCAUAGGCACACACAAGAAAGUAUUAACAUAUAUACCAUAGCAAAAAGUCUUUGAUAUGUCAUCUGUUGCUGCUGUGAUUCAACUGACAGCAUGGCAGCUGUCGCUUCUCUACCAAGAGCCAUUAUUGUAGAUUUAAGCUCGGUCAAUCUUGCUUCUGCAUUUCGAAGCUUCACAGCACUCUCUGCUGAUAUAUCAGAUUUCCUUAUCUUUGAUCGGUGCCUAAAUACUUCAGCUGCCUGGUGAAAAUAUUCAAUAUAAAUCUAACAUAAUUCUCAUCUUGCCUUAUACAUGCAUAUGUUACCUCAAAGCUUGCCUGGGCUUCAACUUCAUGUCGAAGUUUGUCAUAACGAUGAGUCAGGUGUCGAGCAUCUUCCAAAGGUGCUCCGUUGAUUAACGCCCGUAGUGGCUCAGAUACCUACAUGUCCAAAAACCUGUAACAUAGUUAGAAAAAUGAAAAGAAAGAGCGAAACCUCAAUUAAAAAGUUCCUCCAACAUAAUCAUGGAAUUUGGGCCUACUUCAAGGAUAUAUAUAAGGAUAAUUUAUGCAAUUUUGGGUCUUAGGAUGAUUCAUAUUAGGUUAGUGUUCUUCUCUUCUGUAUUUAAGGUUAAAAUAGAAAUAAACCUAUGCAAAUAUCUAAAUUAGGGCUGUAAGACUUCCACAUGCAUCCUUCAGUCUCAUGGAUUUGAUUUUACUAUAGAUGCAAGUGUCUUUAUCGAAAAUGCUUGGAGUCAAUUGAGAGAACUCACAGCCAAUAACUUGUCACAUGCUAGUCUUUGCUAGUGAUGCAAGAAGUCACAAGGUCUCUUCAACAUUUGAACCAAUAAAAUUAUUAAGUCAUGGAUGUCACUAGCAAUGAUUUCAAUAUAAAACAUUAAAUAUUUCAAGUUGUAACUUUAAAAUGGAUUCUUUUAUUCAAUAUCUUAGAACUAAGUUUCCUUAUGAGAAGAUAAUAGUUUCAGUAGUAAUUUACAUGAAAUUUUCUAUAUUUGAAUUAUUUUCUAGUUAGGGAUGAACUAACCUGAUCAUGAAGAAUCCCAAGCAAAGUUUUCCUCUCAUUUUCCAUCAAAUCAUGUGAAGUGCCAAAUUGAAGAGCAGCUCUUGCAGCGCAAGAAUUGUCACUUUGAUUCUCCACUCCAUACUUGCAACAAUCUUCAGCCAACUUUCUCACUACAAUAUUUGAAUACAAAAAUAUUGUACACAAGAACCAGUCAAGAAAAUAAAAAAAAAAUCAAAUAUUAUAACGAGAGCAAGAGCAAACAAACAACCUAUUUCCAUUUGUUUCAAGCUUACUGCAACAAACCCUUCAACGCCACGGACAAUAUUCCUCUGAAAAUUCUGUGCUACAGAGCAUAUAUUCCAAAUUAUUGUUCAGAUAAAACCAUAGAAACCAUCAUAAUUAUCAACAUACAUUAAGCUCCGUUUGGUAAAUACUUGCAACUUCAGUCUAGAAAAUACAGUUGUUUGUACCAUAUUUGACAAAAUUAUUAUUUAAAAAUCAUAACUAAUUACCAAAAGCCACAAUAAAUCAAUAUCAAACAGAGUCUUAUUAUUAGCUAAAGGAGGAUGGUGCCUUAGCUGCCCUGGUGGAAUUGUAUAGAUUUUAAAGUUGUUGGUGACACUCAAUUUCAGCUUCAUGAACCGCAAUAUUUUCAAUACCAAGAUGGAGCAGAUGCUUCAAUGCUGCCUGUACAAAUCAUAAAAAACUAAUAAAAAUAAAUAAAAUCGAGAAAUUUCACUAACUAAAAGUCUAAAUAUAAUUUUUGAAAAAAGAAAAGAAACGGACUUGCUGCUGCUUGGCGACUUGUUCUCGGUGCUUGAUUGCCUGUUUCUUGAUAGCUUCCAUACUGUUUCUUUCAAAAAGCAACGACGGCUCAGCUCAUGGAGGUGGAAAAAAAAAGUAUGAUCGAGAAAAAUAAAAAGGCAUGAAUAAUUUUUGACAAAAAGCGAAAAAUAAAAAGGCAUGAAUAAUGAAUAAUUUUUGACAAAAAGCUCUUUCCAGAAAAUAAAAAAAGAAAAAAGAAAAAAGAAAAUUAUAAGUUUGAAAGGAGUAGAUGAUAGUGGAAGUGUGCGGUGUGGCUGCCAGCUACUUGAAUUGUAUUGUCGGGUAAGGUAAUAGUAGAGAAUUUUUUUUUUUGAAGAAAAAUGGGUAAUUUUUAAAAACCUCCCCUGAGGUUUGGGCUUGUUGUAAGUAGAUGGCGAGAAUCCAUUUAUUUGUAAAAAACCCCCUACGUUUUUGCUCCGCUUGGUUGCCGUUUGGGCAAUUGUGGGCAUUGUUGACAUUUCGCAAUAAAACAAAUCUUUUGCAACUUUCGUUUCCUUGAGAACAAUAGCUAGAUUUCUCAAUCUGUUUCAUCCAACACUUCAAAAAUUUCAACUUUUAUGAGUUAUUGCAUUCUCUGGCAAAGUAGACUUCUUCUAAUUUUAUCACAGUGCUUUCAGGAACAAGAAUGGGAUCCAUUAACAUCCCCUCAAAUUUUACAGCUUCCUUACAGCUAUACACUGCUGUAACACGAAGUUUAAUGAUUCCAUCGCCAAAUAGUCCCCAAAAUCUAUUCUUCCCCAUAUUGAACAACUUAAGUUCACAACACUUGCAUUCUAAAGGCUUCCCACUAACAUCUAAUAUCUCAAGACUCAACGUUGCUUUACAAUAAUUGUUAUUACUACCAAACAAACAUGAAGAAACCCCGAUUAUCGGAUAAAUCAACCCAAAAUGAACAAGAGAAGAACCCAAAACAAGUGAAUCGCUAGAGCAAAACCCCCAACCCAUAUCCCUAAUCCCACACUCAAAAAAACCCAAUUUCUCUCCAAAGUCAUUGACACUAGCAUCACUACUAGACUCUAAUUCCAAUCCUAGAUUACAUUUAAUGUUAACCCAACUAAAAUGAAUGUUCUUACUACAAUACGCAUCGUUUACACUCUCAAACAACGCGCUGAACUUACUCUUAAACGAUCCCACAUUGGUCAAACACUCAUCACUCACAUCGACAUCCAAGAAUUCACUCAAAAACUUCAUAGACUCGACAAUUGGAGAAAACAAAACCACUAAACUCAACUUUAUACAAGCAUACCCAUCGAGAAUCUUACCGUCAUUAACCGAAUCACAACAAAUCACCGGGUCCCACGCGCAGUCGUGAACGAGCUUACGCAUGGACGGGGCAACAUUUAACCCCCGCGGCAAAAACGACGAAGCUUUGGAAAAAUUGUGUUUUAGAGCUGGGUUGAGGAGUAGAGAUUGGAGAGAUUGGAAGGUGGAAUCGGGACGGUCAAAGGAUAGAGAGAGAGAAGGGAAGGGGAUCUUUAAAAGAGAAGUGGGGAGAGGGAGGAGAAGAAGGAUUUGAAAGAGAAAAGAGAGGAACGGAGAGGCGGGAAUGAGAUUAAGGUUUUCACUGCAACUAAAAGAGUAAUCAUGUAUGGCUCUUGGUCUUGGAGAUGAAGGAGAGGAUUCAGGUCGAUUAAGAGGACUAUACGCUGCAUUUUGGUGUAGUCUGCCGCCAUUGGUAGAAGUUUCGAAGUGGGUUUCUGUUUAGAUCCGAGUUUGACGAAGAAACGUGGUGGUUGCGCUUGGGACAAUAUUGUUUUUGCACUGGUCAAUGUAGAAAUUAAACGACGGUAGGGUGUUUUUUUAUAAAUAAAUGAAUUCUCGCCAUUUAUAACAAGCCGAAACCUCAAAAGAAGAUUUUAAAAAUUACCCGAAGAUUCGAAAAAUAGUAGAGAAUUUUUUAAAAAGCUAGAACAGAGCAUGCUAGACUUUUGUGGACCAAAUUCAAAAGCCGAAGGGCACGGCCCAAAAGCUUUUGAAUACAAUAACUUACUAGAAAGCUCCAUUUUUUGUUGGCUACAGUAAAAGUAUGUUGUUUUAUGCUUCUUAUAUGUUACGCUUGCAUCAGCCUCAAUCACUUCUUAAUCGCUUGCUUUAACUGCAUCGCUCUCUGUGUACUCUUCUACACAUGUAACGGUUAUGCGGUUGUAGUUCACGGCUGAGGCUACGUGUUGGUUUGACGCGGCAGUUACGUUACGACAUUACGAGUCUGUUAAACAUUCGGUGAUAGAGCAUUAUUAGUUAUUUUAAGGGGACAAAUAAGAUUGGUUGCAAUAAACCCACUAAUUUUAUAAAAUUCGAGUAAUAUAGAAUAAAAUAAAAAAAUAAAUACAAAAUUGGCUUUUAUUUUUUAUGGUUGACUGUAUUUUGUGUUCUCUUCCGGCACUACUACAAUUGUUCCCUAUAUAUCAGUCACACCCAUAUAUCAUCAAUACAAGAAAUGAAAUCUAAUGUCACCUAUUUAGUUAAAGAAUUACUCAUGAAAAAAUUUUACCAUUUUACUUUGAGGAUCCAUAUUUUGAACUGCAAGCUAAUGUUCAUCAAGAAUCACUAAUGUUCAUAAAAAACAGAGCAUGGCCGUUGAGUAGAAAAACUAUUUUUGGACAAAUUAUUUUUGUUGAUAGAAGAAUUUCUUAAGGGGCUCAUAAGGCCAAUGAUGUUUCUACUGCUGGUGGUUUGAUUCGCGAUUAUUCGGGUCGUUGGUUGACUGGUUUUGGGUUGAUGCUUGGUUCCUGUUCUGUUACAAUGGCUGAGCUUAGAGGCAUUUAUCAGGGGCUUAUCUUGGCUUGGAAUUUUGGCAUUCGGUGGCUGCAUGUGGAAACUGAUAGCUUAUGUGCAACUCAAAUGUUGGCUAACCAGGUGGAGACUACUAAUGAAUAUGCGUCCCUCAUUUUUGCCAUCAAGGAGUAUCUCCAGAAAAAGGAUUGGCAGGUUUCUAUUUCUCAUGUGUACAGAGAGGCAAACUCGGCUGCUGAUUUUAUGGCGAACCUUGCUUGUUCUUUGCCUCUUGGGCUUAUGGUGUACCCUAGUCCCCCGCUCGGGUUUUCAUCCAUUCUUUUGUAUGAUUCUUACGGGGUUGCGACUCCGCGUUCGGUUGUUUUUUAGCUCUUAAUUGAGCCCCAAUUGAUCAAAAAAAAAAUAUUAUGAAUAACAAUGUAGAACACACCCACAUAUCAUCAACACAAUUGACUUUAAGGAUCCAUGCUUUGAAUUGCCACCUAAUGUUCAUCAAGAACAGAGUAUGCCUUGUGAGUAGAAAAUUUUAUGAUUUUGGUCCGAAAUAAAAAGAAAUUAAAUUAGAUGAGAAUCUGCCACUUUCUCAUAAAGAAAGGCAUACGGAGCAUACCAUGGUACCAUACAAUACAAAGAGUCUCUAUUCUCUGGUUUUUCAAACUCUGAAGGGGCCAAUAUUCCCGAAUUCCCCCUUGAAAAUUCUGAUUACGACAUUAUUCAAUUCUUGACACAAUCAAAGUAGCGACAAAGUUAAGAAAAAUAUGAGUCCUAAGUAAUGGCUAGGUAGGGUUCUUGAGAGCAAAAUUGUCCUAAGCAUUAUAUGCAUACAUGGUGUGGUACAUAGAGCACGUUGAAUUCCACACUAUAACACAAACCCAGAAAGACAAGUAAUAACUCAACUGAUAUAAAGACAAAAAGAAGAUAAAAUGAUAUAGAAAAAAGAAUUUCAAAGAGACAGCAACAUACGAUAGACUGAAGCCACUUGAUCUGCUCACUGAUUGCAGCCUUAAACUUACAAAUAGUUACUGUACGCUAGUGCUCUAAGAAGUGAAAAUGAUAAGAGACCUGAUUCCCUUUUGACUUCCAUUUACUGUCAAACAUUCUAGUAAUACAAAAAAUUGUUUAGAUAUCUUGCUAUAAAUAUAGUCGUUUGACUGUCAUAAUAAAGUCACAAAUAACCAUUCAUAUUGAUCCACUGUCACACAGCAUGCUUUAUGCAUACAACAUCUGCAUGUAUACCAACUCCUAACCUUAUCAAUACAUUUGGCAAAAACUUAAGAAGAAAACUAUUUCUCCAUCUCUUUUUUGAAAUUUCACAAUAAACCAGCACAUUGUGAAAGCUAUGUUCUAAUCUUAUGAUAAAUGCUCUAGACUCCAAAAGGAUUUUAUAUAUGAGAGUUUGUUGCAGCAGAUAUAUUGACUUAUCAAGUAUGAAUCAUUGUCUGGAUGAACUAUCUUUAAAUAAAAGAAUAUUAGAACCACUGUAGAAUAUCUUUACGCUGCUGGUUCUAACAGGAAUCUGCAUGUGGCAACAAUUGCUAGAUCCACAAUUCCCCAACUUGAAAUACAUAGUUGCACACCGUGAGAUAGUGCUGCAAUCUACUGAGAUCUAACUUAUUUGAUACUUUAAGCUACUAAUGUUUGCAUAUUUCUACAUGUUAAAUUGACACUACCAUCUAUAAUCACCCCAAAACGACAAAUGAUAAGCAGCUUUUGGCCACUUAUUAAUUACUAGCAUCCACAACACAAUUAUAAAUAAGAGAUCAUGGGUUUACUUGUUGCAACUACUUAAUGAUCUGCAUUUGAGACCCUGACGCAAGGUUUAAAUAGUGACUGCUUAGAACCCUUGUAGUUGGAUCUUGACCUCUCCCAUUGUAGCCAAGAUUGGCUACUCUGGUAAUGAAUCAACACUCUCCUGCUUAUUUUUUUGUUUUUAAAAAAUAACGAAAUCAUAAAAUAAAUAAACACGUGUUUGGUUUUGGGCAUUUUCUUUUGUUCAUUUAAUAUCAUCUGGCUCCCUGAUUUUUGACUAAUUAACAACGGAAUCCUGUUAGUUUCUAAAUUGAAAUAAUAAAAGGUCUUGAGAUUAUUUACUCCAUUUAGCACUGUAGACUUAGAGUAUAUUGAAAAAGCUUUGUCAAAUAGUAGUAAUAGGGGCAUAAUAAAUAAGUUUUUCAGAAUUUACAUAAUGUACUUUGCUCUAGGAAGAUUGCCCUCUUAUCACUCAAGUUAGGUUUUGCCUUAGAGUUGAGGUAAAUCAUUAAAAUAAAUUAUAGCUAUCACAAAUUCGUUAGGAGAAUUUCAAUUUUUUUUCCAUUAAAUGGCUAUGAUGCAAAAUUACCUCAGCUUAUAUUGCAACACUAAUACUUCAAAUCCUAACAAUAAAAUUGAUGACAAUGGUUUUUAUGUAUAGUAAUUUUCACUCUUUUGUUUGAUCUAAAAGUAGUUCUUAAAAUGACAAUGAUGACUUAUUUAGAAGAAAUGGCAAACUUAUAGUUUGUAAUAUUGUUUGCACAAACAAUAAAGACUAAUUUGAUAAUAAUGAAGUGUUAAUUACUAUUUAACAUUUUUAAUUAAUUUUUAAAUUUAAAAAAAAAUGAAGGCCGAAACUUGUGCAUUAAAUUUUAAUUAAAAGUUGAUUGCUUCGAAGGUUGGAUCGUGACAAAUUGACAAUUGAAAAAAGAAGUAGGGAAUAUAUAUUCUGAUGAAAGGGACAAGAUUAAGCAAGGGGACAAUAUUGUCUAUUGGACCUACAAAUGGGGGCAAAGAUAUAUAUAUUCCAAAAUUUCUUAUUUGUGGAUUGGCCACCACGUGUAACUAAUAUAAAAAGAGAAAAUUUGGCAUGGUUUUAACCGAUAUAAGGGUCCGUUUGGGAUUGAGGUGCUGUAGCUUUUAAGCUAUAGCUGCUGUGGAAAAAAAAAACUGUAAGUAUUAAAUAAAAGUUAAUAAUAUAUAGUAAAUAUAAAUUUUAAAUAAUAAUUUUGAUGAAAUUAUUAAAGAUAUAAUAGAUUUUCUAUUAUACAAAUGAAAAUUCAUAUCAACAUAGCUUAAAAGUUACAGCAGUUAGUGUUUACCAAACACUUUAGUGCUGUAGCUUUUAAGCUACAGCUGCCCAACCUCAAUCCCAAACGCACCCUAAGAAGAGAAAAUUUUGAGUGUAUAAGAAGAGAAAAUUUUGAGUGCACAACAAGAACAAAGCAAAACCCAUGAAAAUUCACCUUUCAUGUGGGUUGGAUUGGAUAAAAUCAAUAUCUUGAAUCAAACAAAAUGUUUGGUACUUGAAGGUUUUUUUAACAUUUUCAUUUUUUUUUCCAUUUAUGAAGUCCAUUUUUUUUUUAAUUUUGAUUUUUUUGAAUGAUUUUGCAGGUGUUGAUAUAAGGUCAUCAAAAGUUUGUGAACUUGGGGUGUUGAAUUAUAAGGCGAAGCGUGUGUUUUAUCCAUUUGAAGCAAGUAAAUUUCGCUGUCGGUAUGAUUACUAUUGGGCUUCUAUCUUCAAGGUAUUCAUACAUUUUCCCCUGUACUAUAAGCUUCUUAGUGGCGGUCUUGUGAGCGGAAGUGAGCAGUGUGGCUGACAGCUUCUUGAAAAUUAUAAGUUUGAACAGAGCAUGUUAGACUUUUGUUGACCAAAUUCGAAAGCCAAAUGGCACAGCUCAGAAGCUUUUGAAUUGAAUAACUUACUAGAAAGCUCCAAUUUUUUGUUGGCUAUAGUAAAAAGAGGUUGUUUUAUUCUUCUUAUACUUUACACUUGCAUCAGCUUAAAUCACUUCUUAAACGCUUUGCUUUAACUCCACCGCUUCGUACUGUUCUAUAUAUGUAUCGGGUAUGCGGUUGUAGUUCACUGCUGAGACUACGUGUUUGUUUAACGUGGAAGUUACGUUACGAGUCUGUUAAAACAUUCGGUGAUUAAAGUAUUAUCAGUUAUUUCAAAGGGACAAAUAAGAUUAGCUACAACACACACUAGUUUUAUAAAAUUCGAAUGAGAUGGAAUAAAAUAAAUAAGUAAAUUGACUUUUAAUUUAGUGCUUGAAUAUAUUUUGUAUUCUCUUUGGGCACUGCUGUAAUUGUUCCUUAUCACACCCAUAUGUUAUAGACACAAGAAAUGAAAUUUAAGAUCACCUGUUUAAUUAAAGAAUCACUCAUGAAAAAAUUUUGCCAUUUUGAUUUGAGGAUCCACAUUUUGAACAACCAACUUAUGUUCAUUAAGAACAAAGCAUUGCCUGUGAGUAGAAAAAUGAUUUUUGAACAAAUUAUUUUUUGUUUAUAGAAGAAUUUCUCAAGGGACUAUUAAAAUUACUAAUAAAAAUGUCAGACACACCCAUGUACCAUCGACAAAAUUAACUAUGAGGAUCCAUGUUUUGAACUGCCACCGAAUGUUCAUCAAGAACAUAGUAUAACUUGUGACAAGAAAAUUUUUUGAUUUUGGCCUGGAACAAAAUGAAAUUAAAUUGAAGGAGAAUCUACUACUUUCUCAUUAAGAAAGGCAGACGGGGCAUACCAUGGUACCAUACAAUACAAAAAGUUUCUGUUCUCUGGCUUUUCAAACUCUGAAGGGGGCAAUAUUCCCCAAUUGCCUUGUGAAAAUUCUGAUUACGACAUUAUUCAUCGCUUGAUACAUAAGUAAAAGUAGUGAUAAAAUUAGAAAAAAUAUGACUUAUAAGUAAUUACUUGGCAGGGCUCUUGAGAGCAACAUUGUGCUAGGCUUUAUAUGCAUACAUUGUGUGGUACAUUCUACACUAUAACACAAACCCAGAAAGACAAGUAAUAUCUCAACUUAUAUAAAGACAAAAAGAAGAUAAAACGAUACAGAACAAAAAAUUUCAAAGAGACAGCAACAUACAAUAGACUGAAGCCAGUUGAUCUGCUCGUUGAUUGCAGCCUUAAACUUGCAAAUGUUUACUGUAGCCUGGUGCUCUAAGAAGUGAAAGUGAUGCAAACCUUGAUUCCCUGUUUACUUCCAUUUACUGUCAAACAUUCUAUUCAUACGAAAAAAAUUGUUUAGAUAUCUUGCCGUAAAUAUAGCCAUUUGAUUGUCUUAACAAAGCCACACACAACCAUUCAUAUUGAUCCACUGCCCUUGAUCUUGAACAGAUCAAUACAAUACGCACAACUUAUGAUUGAAUCCAGAAACAAUCAAAUCUUUAGCAAGAAAAAUUAAUCAGAAUCAAGAAACAAGUUCAAUGAAUAUAAACCUAUAAUUGGAACAAACACAGCCAAAGAACCCAAGAAUGACACAACCUACACCACGGGAGAAGUUUUCCAGUGAGAUUUUAUUGAUGAUCAAAGAAGAAUCUUUUUACAAAGCUAACAAAAGAGAUUUCAGAGAAUAAGCUAUGACUCUCUCUCUUCAAUCUCUCUCUAGUUUGUUCACAGUGAUGACCCCAAUCUGCUUCGUUAGCCAGCUUCAUAACUGCGUUAGUGACAAACUAGCAAACCCAGAUUGAGCAGAUUACCGACACGUGGAUAACGGCUAUUAAGAACUUAGUUAAAGAACUGCUCACAUAUUCGUCAUGCGUGUUACUUAAAUGAUGGCCAAAACGACUUCAACCAGAUGCCGUUUUGAAGCUUGUGAAUUAUAAUUGAAAACACGUGCUUGUCUCGUGACACUUACAUACAACAACAAGCCCAAAACACUGCCGUUUCACUUUGUUGAGUUUGCCAUCUCUAAGCUUCACAACUAGCAACGGAGAAGAUGAUAAUUAAAUUGACAUGGAGAGUUUUUAUAUCACUUUUACAACAUUCUAUAUAAUUGUGAUAUUGGGAAUCGUCGGUGUUGUAUAUGUGAACUCUCGUUGGCGACACUGGUAGUUUUAUUUUUGUUGAAAUAUGGAUGACAUUUCGUUACUAUUUUAUUGUACACAACAUUUUGUUACUAUUAACAUGUUAGUUUCAUUAGCCACUAGGCCUUUGGCUGAGUCGUUCGGGUGUCUGCCCUCCAACUUGGAGGGCAGCAAUUUGAACCCCCACAAGCGCAAUGUUGGGUAUUUCUUUCUUUAAUCUCUCGAAUAUUAGUGAAUGUUAAAAUCUAGGCAGAACUCCAUAAGUAUUGAUGUAAGUUGGUUUCAGUAAUAGUUUAAUUUGUAAAUAUCAGUUAUAAUCUCAUGUAAGAUGAGUUGUAAUUUGAGCAAUAGUCUCAUAGAAUAAUAAUAAUAAUAAACAUGUUAGCUUCAUUACAUUUUUCUUCAUUAAAAUUCUCAAGUAUUAGUCAGGUUUGCUAAAGUAAUAAAAUUUUGCCAUUAAAAUUGUAGUAGUAUUUCUGAGCACCUCACAUUUUCAAUGAUUUUUCAUAAAUCAAUUAAUCUGUCGUACCGAUAUCAGGUUUAGUUUUUCAUACUAAACAAUCAAGAAAGCAAACAUACAAAUUCACAGUUUAGAGGGGUAAACUAGGUAGGUGGUUUAGAUUUUAGAACUAGGCUAGCUACCCCACUAAAUUCCAAUUUGUAUAGUGAACUACAAGAAAUUGAGAAAACAGUGUAUUUAUAGUUUAAUUGAAUCGUGAGAAAGCAAUGUAGUCAUAGCUCAAUCUGAGAUGAUCACGGAGAGGCAUAUUCUUUUCAAGUUAAUUUGAUCAAUUUAUAAGAGAUGAAGUGGAUUGAAGUUAAAAGUUUAAAUAACAAAUCCUUGUUCUUGAGUUUUACGACGUCGUUACUCCUUCAAGAGGCAGAUUAUUUAUGCAAGUGAAUGCAGAAACGCAAUGCAUCAUCCACGGGGAUGGUACACCAAAAGGCGGGAUCAUAGUCUAUGCCCGCAGAUUAACAAUUUCGCUCAUAUAGAAAAUUAAUUUUUUAUAUAUACUAAUCAAUACUAAAUUGAUUAUGUUUUGUAUGUUUAUAUGCGAAUCAACACUAAAUUAUAUUAAAUGAAGAAAUAAUUCAAUUUUUUCUAAUUUAAUUUAGAAAAUAAAAUUAUUAACAUUAAUAUUCCCAAAAAAAAUUAUUUUCCAUUAGUAUUCAAAGUCUUCACUUAUGGAAAAUGUGUUUUACAUGAAUAUUAGUUACCGUGUAAAUUUGAAUGAUAGUGAAAAAUAAUUUUUUAAUUAUUGUAAAAAUAAUUAACCAUAUCAAAUCCCUUACGUAAAUAAUUUUUAUUUUUCAAAAAGGUAGAAAGAUGGUUAAUGCACAAGCAAAUUUUAAGCCCCUCUCUUCUUGGCCUAAGAUUCAAACUCAGAUGACUAGUUAAAAAAACCUAUGUGAAAAUCAUUCGGCCAGGUCUGCGGGGCAAAAAUACAAGAUCCUUAAUUUCAUAAUAUAUAUGAAUUAAUGUCAUUUACUUGAAUUAUCCAAAUUCAUCAGAGGUUAUCGAAUUUUCCUGACAUGUAGCAGAUGAAGUUGUUGCUUCCUUCUUGGCAUUAUUUCAGCUCUGGUUGUUGGUCCCGAUGAGCUUUAGUCUUAUUUUAAUUUUAUUUAAACUCAUCAUAAGAUUCGUGAAGCACCUAACUGACUUAACUGACUGUGCAGAAAUGUCACAUAGCAUAUUUAACCGUUUUAACAGUAAUUUUGAACGGUCUUCGCAGUUAUCAUCUACAAACUCGUUCGUGUUGGUCCACUAGGUGAAGUUUUUGAAAUAAUAAUAAGCUCCCAUUCUUGAUUUUAAAAAAUGUGCUUAUAAUAAUUUUAGAAUAAUGGCUUAUUUAUAGAACAACUUAUGAUUUCCCAUUAGCAUUAUUAUUGAAGUGGGGUGGGUAACGGUUCACUCAAUUCGUCGGGAAUAAAAAAUUACCAUCCAAGGCAGAAUUGUGGAAAAUUAAAGCGAAAUGAGAAAUAUGGAAAUGAAGGAAGAAAGUUAAGGCAUGAAAGACUUCCAGUUGAAAUUGAUAAUCAUGUUUCUAUUUUGGUAACUAAUCAAAUGGGAAACUGAACCAUAAACAAACAUUAAAACGUGUGGACUCCGCUAGCUGCCUUACAAGCCUACAAUAAUAACUGAGUACCUUUGAUUCAUCCUUCUAUGAAUUUCUAGCCGUAUUGACUCCACCGAAAUUUCCACAAAAAAAAUAAAAAAAGAAUUUCCACAAAAUGCAAAAUGCAUGGCACUUAAUUUUUGGCCCCGUGAUCACUAAGAUACAAUCCUUCUAGGGAAGAGCAAUCAGGCAAAUUUUUUUAAAUCUCUCCGACAAAGUGAUUACCAUCUAAUCGCAACAUUGAAUAAAAAUAAAAAUUUUAAUGGGAGUUUGACCUUAGAUUUAGAAAAUGAAUUUUCACUUUCUUCAAUUAUUAAACAGAUUACAGACAUUUGAGGAAUUUGAAAACACUUUAUCCAUCGAAAGUUAAAAUUAGAGAUGGAAGCUAGGUGCUUCAACUAAUGGGAUCAUUAAUUCCCCUCCCUCAAAUGUGUAGUUGUUCCUCUUUCCACAGCAUAAGCCUUAUAGUUAGAGUUUCUUUUAAAAAAAAUGUUAAACAAUUUCGGUUGAGCAUGGUUUUGGUAGUUGAAUAGACACCUCCGCCGUACCUCAAACAAAACUGUCAUUAUUCGUGUCAUGAAACAUGUUUCGGCCGUCAAAGUCAUGAGUAGGAGUGGGCAUGGGUUGGUUUGGGUUAGGUUUUAAGUCAAUUCAAACCAAAUCAUAAAAAUUUGGGUUAAACCCAAACUAACCCAAAUAUUUUUAACCCAACCCAAACCAACCUAUUUCCUUCUGGUAUCAGAGCCAAGGGGAGGAAAGUGUUUUAUUGUUUUGAGUUUUUGUGUUCUAAAAUCUUGUGUUUUAUUUUGCCACCAGAAAGUAUCCCAUGUUUAUAUCUUGUUAAUCCUACAUUACCUAAAAUUGUUGAGACUGAUGCAUCUGAUUUAGGUUAUGGAGGCAUAUUAAAGCAAAAGGAAAAUGAUAAUGAAUAGAUAGUACAAUAUGUUUCUGCACACUGAAAUUUUGUAAUGCAUAAAACAAUGGAAAGGAUUUCUUUUUUGAUAGUAGAAUAAUUUUUCUGACAAUCAUUCCAGUGUGCAGAAACAUAUUGUACUAUCUGUUCAUUAUCAUUUUCCUUUUGCUUUAAUAUGCCUCCAUAACCUAAAUCAGAUGCAUCAGUCUCAACAAUUUUAGGUAAUGUAGGAUUAGCAAGAUAUAAACAUGGGAUACUUUUUACAGAAUUCUUUAUUAAUCUAACAACUUUUGUAUGUUCAUCUGUCCAAGGAGUAGGUUUCUUUUUUAAUCUGUCAUGCAAAGGCUUAGACAUUCUAUUAAUAUUAGGGCAGAAGUCAAGAACAUAAUUCAAACUGCCAAGAAAUCUCUGUAAUUGGGUUUUGUCAAGAAUUUUAUCAGGAAAUUUAUCGGCAAACAAAAGAGAUCUCUCGAUUGGAGUGAUUGUUCCUUUAGUAAUAUGAUGACCAAGGAAUCUGACUUUUGUUUGAAAUAAAGAAACUUUAGAACUGGAAAUUGCCAAUCCAGCCUUUUUGGUGGCAAAAUAAAAAGUCUUUAAAUGUUUGAAAUGUUGAUCGAUAGAAUUUGAAAAUAUUAAUACGUCAUCAAUAUAAACAAUGCAAAAAUCAGAAUAAGGAUUAUAAAUAUCAUUAAUAAUUUUUUGAAAUUCUGAGGGUGCAUUCUUUAAACCAAAGGGCAUAACAGUCCACUCAUACUGUCCAAAUGGAACAGUAAAAGCAGUUUUGUAACGGUCAUUAGGAUGAAUUUGAAUUUGCCAAAAACCAGAUUUCAUGUCAAAUUUUGAGAAAAUAAGAGCAGAACAUAAUUUUUGAAGCAAAUCCUUUUUAUUAGGUAUGGGAUACCUAAUCCAUUUUAAAGCUUUGUUUAAAGGUUUGUAAUUUAUUACAAGUCUUGGUAUGCCUCUCUCAAGUUCAGAAUUUUUGUUCACAUAAAAAGCAGCACAAGACCACGGGGAUCUAGAUUUUACAAUAAGUCCUUUGGACUCUAAAUCCUUGAUUUCAUUUUUACAAUGUUGUUCCAAUUCCAUGUUCAUUUGGAUUGGACGGGCUUUAGUGGGGAUCUGUCUUUCAUCAAAAGAAUUUUCAUAGGGUAGAUCUACCACGUGUUGUUUUCUGUUCCAAAAUGCAGAAGGUAGAUCAGCACAAAUUUCUUUUUCAAUGAGAAUUUUGAAAUCAGAAAUUUUUCUUUUAAUGAAAUCACUUUGUAAUUGGCUUUCAAUUCUUUGUAGGUUCAAAUCUUUUUGUAAAAACAUUAGAUCACACUGUUUUGAUUUAAGUAAAUUAUUUAUCCUGUUUUGAUAAACAGAACAGGCUUUAACAAUAUUCAAAUUUCUUGUUUUAGGCUUUUCAAUAAAAGGGAAAACAAGUUUCUUGUUUUUUGCUUUGAAGGAUAUACUAUCAUAAUUGACAGUAUAUGGAGUUAUAAGAUUUAUAAAAGGAGUUCCCAAAAUGAUGGCAUGAUGAAUAUCAUUUGUGAGAACAAAAGAAGUUUUAAAAUCAAAACCAUUAUUAUGGAUUGAGGCUUCAACCUUAGAACUGACAUUCAGUUUUGAAUUAUUAGCGGCAGAAAGUCUUUCUUUUGUCUUUUCAUGAAAUCUUUUGGGGACGAUGUCUUCUCUAAUGCAAUUUAAAUCGGCGCCAGUAUCAAAAAGGGCAAUGGCGUCCAUUGCAAAAUCAUCAGAAAAGAUUAAAGUGACUUUAAUCAAAUACUUUCUUGUGGUGAUUUGCUUUAAAACAAAUAGAAAAUCAUUGGGUACAGACUCGAUGUUUUCUACUUUAAUAUCAUCACCAUCAUCAGGAUUAGAUUCAUUGUCUGAAUUAUCCUGCAAUUGUUUUUGUAAAAGAAGUUGGAUAGUAUCAGAAUCACUUUUUUGUUUUUCUUUUAAAUCUCUGAUUUCACAUUUGAUUUCUUUUAUCUCUUUCUGAAGAUCUUGGAUAUUAGGAACCGUCUUCUUUUUUUUCUUUUUAUCCAAAAUUUGAGUAAGAUCAUAAGAAUUCUUUUUAACAAUUGGGACUUUAGAAGUCUCAGCUUUAUUAAAAUCCAAAGUUUUCAAAAGUUUAUCAAGAUAUUCUUUUUGAAGAUUCGGAUCAGAAAUAUGCUUUACAAGUUCAAGAAAAGUUUCUUGGUCUUUAGUCAAAACAUUGAUUUUCUUUAAAAAUGAAUCAGAUUCAGAUUCACUGCUGCUAGAUGCAGAGUCAUCUGAGUCAAUUAGCUCAUCAACUUGAUUAGGGUCACUGUCUCCCGACAUGGAAGACUCAGAAUCAGAAGACUCGAUUAGAAGAGGGGCUAAUUUGGAAAGGAUCUCUUCAUCGAGGUCAAGCUCAUGAAGCUUUUUGUUCAUUCUGCAAUAUUUUGCAGUAUGACCUUUUAUGCCACACUUAUGACAUAUAGCUUCUUUGUAAUUGAAAGGAGUCUUUGGUUUGGCUUUAAACUCUUUUUUAGAGAAUUUGGGUUUCUUAUAAGGCCUCGAAGGUUUCUUAUAAGGAAGUUCUCUAAAAUUACGAAAAGGUUUCCUAAAAUGUUUAGAUUUGUAAUGUUUCCUGCGAGGUUUAGUAGAACACUCACAAUUACAAUCUUUGGAGAUAGAAGUUUUAAAGGGGUCAUAAUUGAAUUGUUUACAGAAACCGCCUAAUUCUUGUUUAGACUUCUUAAGCUCCCACUUAAGUCGUUUCUGUAGUUUCAAAUCUUGACAAAUCUUUAAACCUUCCUUAUUGACAAAACUGACAAGUUCGCCAUAAGUGAGCUCAUCAUAAGGAAUACGGUUAUCAUAAAGGGCUUUAAUAGAAUUUCUUACCUUUUCACCUAGAAGGGUAGGUAAUCCAGCAAAAAAUUUUUCUUUCCAAGUAGUAUGAUUUGCAUCAUCCCUUAGAAAUAGUCUGGUAAGAAAUGAGGUUUUGUAGCUCUGAAAUUCACUAAGUUUCCUACAUCUUAAAUUAUGUAGUAACUCAGCGUUUUUAUCACGAAAGUGUGAAGGGUCACCAAUGAAAUGGAGGGAAAUGGUUAAAAUUAGAGUAGCAACAGCAUCCUGAAUAGGGUUGUUGAACUCAUCAAAAAUAGGGGCUCCAUUUUCAUCGACUUGAAUGGAAUUUAGAAUGUCUAAUUGUUGCUGACUAGUGAGAAGAUGAUCCCACCAACCUUUGAGUUGACCAGUAAAACCGGCAAUGAGGAUUUCUGAUAUGGCACGAUCAGAAGUUCCUGCUUGGGUUUUAUAGGCAUUGGCUGCCAUUGUCAUUUGUUGCAACAAUCCUAGGAUAUUGUAUUCGGACAUACCGUCAAUAUUCCACUCAUAGACUGAAGAUGCAUUAUAUCGGGAUUGAUUUAAUGCACUUGGUCUAUUAUCUAUCGCUAGAUCCGGUGGAGUCUUGACAGUGGGAAGGGCUAAUUCCCAAUGAAUUUUGUUUGCCUUAGGAGUGGGUUCCUCUUGGAAAGCAUCAACGUCCGAAGAGGCUAUAGAAGUUUGGUCAUCUUGUUCUAAUACUCCAAUCUUGCUAGAUUGGGGAGUAUCAGGGGCUAUCUGAAUUUUGCUAGAUGAGGAAGAAGCAGCUUCUAUCCUAUCUAGUUGUUCUCUAAUGGCUUUAGCAAAAUCUGAUUUUGACUCUUGAACAAGCUUUUGGCUAGUUUUCGAAACCUGAAAAGGUUUGAAAAUAGGUUUCUUAAGCUUUUUGUCAGAAUCCGAUUUUGUUGGAAUAGGAGAGAUUGAUGGAACAGUAAUGGUUGACUUCUGGAUUUGGUUUUCUAUCCUAGUCAACUGUUUUCCAAUUGUAUUUAAGUUAGUAUUACAGAAAUUAUUCUGUUGGAUAAUACUACUUAAAUUUGCCUCGGAAUCAUUUGGUUUUGGGAUUUUGUAAGGUGAAGCUCGGAUUUGGACAGGAGGUUCACCGUGAUCAACGGUUAUACUCCGAAGAGGUGGGUGUUCAGACUCUAUAGUUCUAUCACUAUCAAGAAGUUUCCAUUCAGGGACUUUCUUCCUAAUAGUAAUAGGGUUUGACUCUUUAAAAUGAUAAGAGAUGUUGUUAUCGGAAGAAUAUAUCUCAAACCAAUCAAAAAACAAUAUAUGAAUUUUAUGAAAAUUCACAAAUUCAUAGUAAGUUUGUUGGAUUUCUUUUCUUUGGUUUAAAAAGUGUUGAAAAACCAAAGUCUUUUUUCUUUGUUUAAAUCAGAAUAAAAAUCAUUAUGCAGAAAAGUUUUAUCUAAUUCAAAUUCUUUUUCAAUGACAUUAAUGACAUUUUCUGUAACAGCAGAAAAUGUAGGGGAAGUUGGAGGAGAAGGUUCCUUCUCUUCCUGACUUUGUAAAUGUUGAUUACUAGUGUAGAUUGGAUGAGGAACACUAGUGGUGUAAUCAACUGAUCGAAUGGAGGUACCUGUAGCUAAACCAACCUAUUUGGAUUUGGGUUUGGUUUGAAUUUUAUAAUUAAAAUAUUUUUUAUUUUAAUAAAUUUAACUAUAUCAAAUUAUAAUAAUUAUUAAUUAAUAUUAAUUAUUAAAUUAAUAUUAAAAUACGAAAAAAUGUAGUGGAUAAAAAUUAUGAAUAAUGGAUUUUACAAUAACUUUGUUCUUAAAUAUUAACCAUAUUACAACAUAAAUUCUAACAAUGUCAAUACAAAUUAAAGUAAGAUAAGAUAUCUCAACUCAAGCAUCAAAGCAAUCCAUCAAAAUUAAAUUAUUUAAUUUUAUAAAUUUAAAUCUUCCGAGAAAUAAAUCUAAAAUUUAUUGUAAUUAGAAAAAGCGCCAAAAUUUUAAACGCAGUAAGAAAAAUUAGACAUGAAAUCUAAUUAGGUUUAAAUUUAAUUAAAAAAUAACAAUAGAAUCAUAUUUUAUUUGAUAAAAUCUUAAAAUCAAUUGCAUUUUUAAUUUUAGUAAGUUACAAUACAAAUAGGAUUAUAAAAUUAUAUUACAGGAUUUCAUAAAAAUAUUGUUUGAGUAAUUUAUUAAAGGACUCACCUACGUUGCCACAGUUGUAGCUUACCACGCUUUUUGUCUUUUUCCAGUAAAAUCGUAGGAUGCUUUCAAAUUUAAUCUAACGGCUGCAAUUAAUUAUUAGAUAAUUUAAUCAGCCAUUGGCAACCUUUACAACCGGUUAUAUUCUCUCGUUACAUUUAUCGGCUACCAAACAAUCCCCAAGAAAAUGACGAAGUGAGUAACUAAUACACACACCGCAGAGAAAGAUGACAGGAGAAGAGAUGACGGUAGGCCCACCGGCACAAAGGUUCUUCGAUUGCUCUAUUUCUUCGGCGCCGGAUUUAUCUACACAGCUACAAUCGACAAGUGGCGGGAACUCGAGCGGAAGUCAUUGAAAAAGAAACAGCAAGAGAGCAAUCUAUGGACUGAUGAUAACUCAGCAACUACGGUAAAGAAAGCCGUCAAAUGAUCUUUUUAUUUGACUUUUGAUGGAUUUUCAAGAGUUUUGGUAAUAAAAUGUCUCUUAAUUUUUCAUUUCAAUGGCCUAUUGUUUGAGUUAUUAUUAUGCAUAAUUGUUGGAAGAGUUAGGGUUUUACUAUUGGAUUUUGGAAUUUGUAUUUUGGCUUUGAUAUGUUAUUGUUGUGAUGUCGGUCAAGAAAUUUUUGACAACACUCUCCUCGAGUUUGAUACUAUAGCUAAUGAAUUUUUAUGGCAGAUAUAUAUUUUUCUUUGAAAAAAAAAAACACUUUACAACUGGUUAUGCAUUCAUUUAGGAGCUGUUAACUGAGCGUGAGUUCCAUAAUUUUCCAACCAGUGGUUAGGGUUUCACAGAAAAAUGUCGACAUUGAUCUUUAGGCAGCACUUAAGACUGAAAUUGGUUAUAGAGGAUCGAAUUUGGGGAACUAGAAAUUUCUGAUCAUUAAUAAUUGAAAAUGGCCUCUCACUUGUAGGCAGUUGUUGGAUGUAAUGUAUCCAGUUUCUGAAAUCGAAAGUAGAGUGAGUUCUUAAGUUAGAUGUACCUACAUGCAUUAAGGUUCGAAGAUGUGGAAUAGGCCAAUUGUUUGAUGUCAGCUUUGUUGCACAUGUUCUGAAAUUGAUCAUUUAAGAUGGCUUGGAAGCACUCCGUGAUGUGACUAAGAAGAUUCGAGGAAGUAUUAAAUAUGUUGAAAGUUCACAAUUAAUACAAGGUAAGUUCAAUGAGAUCACCCAGCAAGUUGAAAUCAACAGUCAAAAGAGCCUAAAGUGUGAUAUUUUUCUCUUGGAUUGUUUUUUUAUUUUCCAUUUCAAAGCUGAUAGUGUAAAUAUUUUGUUUGCAAAAGUUUCUAAAAAGUACUUGAGUCAAGAUGGUUAGGUAUUUCGUAACUUCCUUUUUACUCUUAACUAGAUUCAUAGAGAGUUAUAACAUUAACAUAAUUUUUUCUUUUAAAAGUGAUCAAUUAGACACUGAUGAGAUAUCUCACUUUUGAAUCAUUUAGCUUUAUGUAAUUUCAUUACUAUUAUAUGCCCCCAGGAAUUGUUGAAGUAUAUAUAUCUUGGCAUUUCUUCACUGACUGAAUUAUCUUUCAUAAUAUUCCAGCUUCAAAUGGGUACACUGCAGAGCCGAUUGGAUGCAGAAUUCCUUCUAGCUCAUAUGUGCUCUGUAAAAUUCAAAGACUGAAUAGUGGUUAUGGCAACUCUUUUUAGAUGAUCUAAGGUAUAAUGCCCAAUUAUUGCUUUUGCUUUAUCUGUUUUACCUUGCAACAUUUUGAAAUUUAUGAGAAGCAUAAAAUUACUGAGCCAAAAUUGAGGAUCUGAACUUUCGUAAAAAUAUUCGUAUUUUUAAAUUAUAAAAUAUUGCAUUUGAUGCUUUAGGUGGAACUUAGUUCACUACAGAAAGGAAAAUUAUGUUGGGCAUAACCAGAUGCUUUUCAAGAGAAAAUUUCACUGAUAUUUUUCUGAGGAUUUUACUUGGCCAUCUUAUUUCAAGCUGCUUGAAUUUUUUCUUUAUAUCAUCUUGGUUGUAUACUAUAACUCGUUGAAUUUGCUAGCACUUUUGCUAGUUGGUUAUUCUAUAUGUGAUUAUGGUGGUAAAGUUUGGAAGCUCAAAAAGUAAUGGAACUUAGGAAGAGUAUGACAUAGAAUGCUGGAUAGAAUUAAAAUAAUCAUUCUUCAGGCAUCCAAAGAUGAUGUAUUCAAAAUAGCUAGUUUUGACUUUUGAGGCCGUAUAAAUAACUAUUAUCUCACAUGGUUACAUUAUGAUAGGUAGGCACUAGCUUAAUAACUCCAAUUAACUUGAAGUUGUUACCUGAUUUAUUAUGACAGUGUGCAUUACGAUAAGUAUCCUUGCAUAUUAAGAUUUUCCUUCCAGAUCUUUGCGGUACUUUUUGAUCUUUUCCGACAUGAUAUGCGAUUAUGGGAAGCAUAUGCCAUCACCUUACAGGUAUUCUCUUAAUUUUUAGAUAGUGCUCAAGAUGACAUUCAAGUUGGCUAUUAUUGGGUGCAAGAUUUACCAUGCUCUUAUUUUGCUUUUUUAGUCUAACCCGAUAUUUGCUUAAUACCAUGAUCUGCUUCAAGCCUUGGAUGAAAAACUUUCAUUUUUUGUAUAUUCUGCAAUGAGAUGAGGGUAGUUUUUCUGAUGAUAUUUGGCAGUAAAUUGGGACUAACUAAAGUAAUUUUCUUAAUGGCAUGUCUACUUCUCAGAUGAAUGACCGUCUGUUCAGACUCCAAGGUGAUGAAUUAACAACCACCGAUCUAUUCUGGGUGAAGAUGAUGACGUUGACACCAAGCCAGUGGAAUGACUAGGACUUCCCUUUUGUUACAAUAAAUUGCGUUCAUUAGACACACGCAGUUAAUUAGUGUAGAUAAAGGAGGUCUAUGCACUAUAGACUGUUUUGUAUUUCGAGAGUCCUUUUUUUGUUUCUUUCAUUCUCCAUUCUUUUGAAAUUAUGUACAAUGGUUAUAUUGUCUGUAUUAUUACGGAUUUAUGAUGGGAGUAUCCCAAGUUUAUGGAAUAAUUAUAAAUAAGGACUUUAAAUUUUUGUUGAAAGAAGUUGAGUGAGAGAAAAGAAGCUAAAGCAGUAAGCAUUUGUUAUACUUCAUUCGAUUGUAUCUAAAUUACAAAGGUUGGUGGCCUUAUUUAUAGUGAAGUUCCCACAGGCCACUUGCACUCAAAACAUUCGAAAUAUGCAAACAUAUUGAUAUAUAAACAUACAGAAUUAAUAUUCUGAAACCUUGUAAGUAAUGCAAAUAAAAGUGAGGUUGGGGCAGCCAAUAUUUACAUCAUGUAUUAAUAGAAAUAAAAUCAAUUAUUUCCAAAUAAAUUCACUUAGUUCAAAGCACGGGCUUCGGUUAAGUUGAACAAGCAAGCCAAUUUUUGUUGUUACUUCAUGAUUGUAGUAAGCUGUGGGUAGUGGAUUGUGUUCCCUAUAAAAAAACAAACAGAAGCAUAAGUUUCUCUCAAUUAAGGCACCUGAAAUGUAUUUCCAUGUCUACUAACCUGGUCAUUCCUCCAUGAACUAAACCCUUCUGAGGAUCUUGAAUAGAUUUAUAGAGAUCUCAGAUAAUUUCCUCAUGGUGUGCCUAAGUAAAGACAAGUCUUAUGUACUUGAUUACUUCUGGCCAAUCCAUCGAGGCCACCACCUGUCUCAGUCAAUUCAAUCUUUUAAUAGAGUGAAUUACUAGAAUAAAAUUUAUUAAAGUUGAUAUAAAAUCUAAAUUAAAAAAAUCAGAUAAGAGAAUGAUCCAAAAUCCAAAAAAUCAGAUAUUUAAGGAGUGGACUUGUGACCCUCUAUAGAAUCCAUGGAAGAGUAACUAAGGGAAAAACAUUAGAGGUACUUUUGGCGAUACUAUUAGUAUUCUUGUGCUGAUCAUAAUCUUGGGGGUAGAUCUAGACUAAUUAGCUAUUCAUUGAACAUUCCAUUUCUCCACAAUUACAUGCAAAAGUGCACCUUGCAGUUGCAGCCUAGACCAUAGAAAUAUAGAAUUCCAAUUAUCAACAUCUAAAGCUACUGUAGUGACUUGCAACCAUGAGAUGAUAUAUACAUAUGCUGAGAUUCAAAUAUUUGAGAAGUUUAAACAUCCUGAUGAAAAAUAGACUAGUUCACAGCUACUUUGGGGAAGUUGAUUUCUAAUAGCAGUAGAAAAUACAAGUUUUUUUAAACAUACCUACUCCAGUAAACUCAAUUAACCAAAACAAAACUCAAAGCAUGAAAAAGAGGGAUUUUAACUAACCUAAUCAUUAUCAUUGAUAUUUUAACAUAUUGAUCUUCACAUGGAGUUAACAAACACAAGACUUAGUGCCUAGUACAUAUGUCUGGGGUUGCACAGUCUGUUCGACAAAUUUAUUGAAACUAUAUCCAUGCUCCUUCUCCAAUAAAUAAAUAUCCUCUUGCUUCUUCCAUCCUACUCUAAUUCUUCCUGGAAAGCAUUCUCCCCUUCUCUAAUUCUUCCGAAAAAACAUAACCGACAAUCCUAAACUAAUUACCACCGUUAAAUCUUUCAAACAAAAUUUACAAUUUCUUAUCAGUAGUUUCCUGCCGCAUCCGAUCGAACGGCUCAUCAACGAAUCAAACAGACUUCUUUCCACCCUUUUUCCAUAUAAUUACAUUUGCCUAAUUCCUAAAGUUUCGGCUCCGCCCAAUGUCGGCCGCAAUUGGCUGCCACAGCGAUAUGUUCAUCUUCAACUUCUCUGCUGCGAUUUCAAAUUUACUUCAGCCUCGUACCACCACACUUCCACUGGCAAUUAAUUUCAUUAUCCGAUUUUACUAUGUGUGGAAUAGAUUUGAGCAAUUUAUGAGUUUUCGCUACGAUUUCGACGAUGUCCUCUCAACACUAAUUUGAUCACCUAAUUUUAACUGUUUUGGGUUAUUUAUUUUUUAUUAUAUUUAUAUACAGUCUCUGCAGGCAACCGACUACUUUACUUAUAUGUGGAACUCAUCUGAGUCAUUAGAUGAAGGCCCUCGAGAUCCUACGGUGAUUAUAUAUGAGGACAAAAUGUGUUGUACGUUGCAACUGUUGCAACGUAGGAGGAUCCUUUAUUAAAAUGUUAAUUUAAUCUUUUAACUCAAGUUGAGACCGUAAAAAAUUGUUAUAUAAUAGUGUACUGUACAACCAAUUGCAUAUGUAUUUAUCCUGUGCAGCACUUCUAUUAUUAUUAUAUAAUAAUAAUUAGUAGUAGUAUAAUUACUAUAUAAUAAUAAUUAUUAAUAGUAUAAUUAUUAUAUAAUAAUAAUUUUAAUAAAAAAUUAUUAUUAAAAUAUUAAUUUAGCCUUUUAUUUUGUUUAAUUUACUUUUCAUUAAUAUGUUAUCUUGAAUUUGUUCAUGACCCAUGGGUAAACUAUACCCAAACUAUUAUAAAAUAAUUUUUUUCAUAAAAAUUCAAAUUUAACCCAUUUCAUGAUUUAUCCAACUCAAACCAUUUAAUUUAAUAGUAGAUAAAGGCCCAAUUUAACCCAUUUCAUUUAAUUUAAUAGUGGAGAUUCGGUAGGGUUUUAUUUCCUUCUCUUUGCUGUCAAACGAAAUUAUGUUACUCGAGUCUUAAUUUGUGUCUCAGUAAUUAAUCUGAUGUGACUAUUAUAACAAGCUGCCACAUCGAUUGAUGGCCAAGUAAUUGGAUAUUUAAUAUUACUCAAUUAAUAAAUUAACAAUAUAUUUGAGUUUUUAAGCUUUUUUCGGGUCAGAUCAUUAAUAACACAGAUUUUGCUGUAAUCUCAGGUUGUGUAAUUGAGUGCAUAAGAAAAAAACAAAACAAAAAACUAUUCAAAAAAAUUAAUUUCAUAUAAUAAAAUUAUACUUUUGUUAUAAUUUAACUUAGUAGUUAUUUUAAUUUUUUCAACAUACACAUAUAUACACAUAAUAAAAUUAAUUUCAUAUAAUAAAAUUAUACUUUUGUUAUAAUUUAACUUAGUUAGGACUCUGUUUUCUAGAAACAGAGUCCUAACUAAAUUAAUUGACUGUACAGUACAUUUCAACAUAGCAUAUUUAACCGUUAACCGUCUUCUGAGUUAUCAUCAACAAAUUCAUUCAUAUUUCUCCAGUCUUACGGACGAUAUCAUAUGUUUAAUAAUGAAUGAAUAGUCUUGGAUCAGUGUUUUGCAGCAAAUUCACAUCAUAGUUUUGAUUCUUUAGAUAUGAAUUCAUCACAUUACCGAAAAGAAUACGCGCUAAAAAAUGAUUCCAAGACUAUUUGACUACCAAAAGCUGCUGUCAGAGUGCACUGAAAGUUUCCGUAGGAUACUUUGCGGUUGUUUAUUAUGUUAUGAUGGGCAUAUAAUUCUCAAAUUUUGACUCCUCUCAGCGAAAAAUAUAUCAAAGUUUAGAUUAUGUGUUCGAGCUUUAAUAAAUGCCUGAGUUAAUAAUAAUAACAACAAUAAUAAUAAACUAAAAAGCAAAAUUACUAUUGAAUGAUCGGAAAAAAAAAAAAAAUUGAAAAUGUGUGAACUCCAAUAACCACCCCACAAAUUUAGUGGCGAAUUUUGGAGAGGGCAAGGCUGGGCUUCUCAGAAAAAAAAUGACGAGUAGAAUUGUGGAAAAUUAAAGCAAAAUGACAAGUAUGGAAAGGAAGGCUGAAAGUAAGGCAUGACGAAAGUCUUUGAGAAGGCUGAAGACUACCAAAGAAGACAACUGAAAGCUAGCUGGGGCGUGAGUGUAUAAAUUGUUAGAUGUGUUUGUUAUAAAUAACAUAGAGCCCUUUUGUUAUUUAUAGUUAUAGAGAAAGAGAGAAUGUGUGUUUUUUAAUAGUUAGAGAUAUAGCUAGAAUGGGUGGUUCAAAAUCCAAAAUGGUGACAAUGUUAGUUCUUAUAUUAAUAAUAUUAGGAAGAAGGGGGGGGGGGGGGGGGGUGUGGAGUGAGGGAUGUUUGGAGCAUGAGGAAUUUGCUCAUUUCUGGCUUAAACAUUUCUUCAAUUCCCCUUAUAGACUUCAAAACUGGGUAGAUGAACAAAGGGAAAGGGUUGAGUGCAGCAACUCCACAGGCCGAGUGGUACAACUACACCUUAGUCUUACUAGGAAUAUCGAUCUGGGAGUGUGGUAUCUGAAUGCUUCUCUAUUUACUUCCUUUCAACAACUUGGUAACAAAAUAGCCGGCUGCAUGCGUUGAGAAUGAAGGUCCUUCAUUUAAUUUAAUUUACUUAAUUUCUCCCUCCUAAUUAAUGUCUAUAACCAUUGGGAGGAACAAGGGAUUUUAUUAACUCAAAUAUAUGUAAUGGAGGAGCUCAUUCUUUGGUUUUACUUGCAGGUCUAGAAGCAGGUGUCAUCUAACAGCUGCUUUGAUAAUUUCCCACCCCUUCAUCUUUGAUGGAAAGAUGAAAUAAAAACAAAAUGGUGAAAAUGGUAUUGGUACCUGAGGCUAUGUAAUCUAAUUCAACAACUGCACCAUCAAAACGAUUACAUAAGUCCCAGAAGAAUCAAACAUUAGUUUGCAAAAUAUCAAUUGCUGGAGGUUAGAUUCUAACUUCCGCUCUUGAUUUUUAUGGGCAUGUUGUAUUGUACUUGCAUACGAAAAUCAUAUUUUAGUUUACUUACACUCAACGCUUGGAUUAAAGUUUUAGGUGGGGAAAAUUGAAGGAGACUAAAAUGACUCAAAAAAAUAGUUGAAUGAGUGAGGGUUUUGUCUUCAUUUAAGGAGCUCUUUAUAAAUUUUAGGAUUUUUUUUCCCUGAGAAAAUUUAUGCCAACUUAUUCUUUGCUUCUUUUCUGAAGGGACAAAUGCAACUAAAAGUGUAUUCUUGAAUUCUCCAGGAUAAGAGACAUAUGUUUAAUUAGAUUCUCGAGCCUUCAAAACAAUAUAAAAUUUUAGAUUGAUAAAAUUUUAUAUAUCUGAGCAUGAUGGUGUUUGACAUGACUUAAAACUGUUUAAUUUACUCUCACAUACAAGAAUGCCUAGUUAUAUUGUAGCUCAGAGUCUGAGGUUAAUUCAUAAAGAAAUGAUUUAAUUUGUUUAUUUAAGAUUAUCCCAAAAAAUAAAAAUAAAAUUUAAAUAUAUGUAAUUUAAUUUGAAAAAAGUUAUGAAAUUAAUUAUUUAGGGUCAUGGAUCCACUCUUAGUAAUAAAUACAAUUUAAUAAAUUCUUUUUAUUUUUAUUUUAUUGCCCAAAAGAUUAAUUAUAUAAAUUAUAAUUAUUUUCCCAUUAAUUUUAUUAUGGAUUAAGUACUUAAUGUGCCAAAACUUAACUUAUCUACAAUAAGUCAAAAUACCAUUUUACCAUAAUUUAUGCAAAGAUAUUAAGAAUUCAUGUGCCAAACUCCCAUGUUUGUCUACAAUAAAUCAAAAUUUCAAAACAUAAAAUAUGGAUCAAAUUAAAUAAAAAAUAAUUUAAUUUAUAUAAUUAAAAAUAGAAUUUGAUUAAAUCAUAUUUUUCUACUCAGAGUUUUACCUCACCCUAACUAUUAGUAUUUAGCUAAACAUAUUUGAAAUAAAUGAAAUUAUUAAAAUUAAAAAAUACAUAAUUAAAAAAAUGGUAUUUGAAAAUUAGAAAUAAAACUAAUUUUAUUUAUUGAAAAUGUAUUACAAAGAGAGAUGAGAAGAAGAAUUUGAGGGGAAAGAAGAGAAGAAAAUGUGUGGAGAGGUGUGUGAAAUUAUAUUGUAAAGAUGUUACACAAACAAAUGAAUAAAAAAAAACUAAAUGAAAAUUACACAAAUUAAAAAGAAAAUGAAAAUUAAAUAAACAAGAUAAAUGUGCAAGAAAAAAAUGCACAAUAAAAAUAAAUAAACUGAAAAGUAAUUAACUAAAAUUAAAAUAACUAAAUAGGCGGUAAACAAAGUAAAUGCCAAAAAUAAAAUAAGUGCGAAAAUUAAAUUACAGAAAUUAAAAGAAGAAAGAAAGAAAAAAUAAUUAUCUCAAAGUGUAAACUCUUUUUCUUUUUCUUUUCAAAUUUUAAAUAUUACCAGCCAAUUAAGUGAUUAAUUCAAAUUAUUAGGCUUUAAUAGUAAUUUUUAAAAUCAAUAUUCAGUUUAUUGAGUCCAAAUAAGGUCCAAAGAAGUUCAAGUUGUUGGUCUAAAAUUAAGAAUUUUGGGAAAUAUUGGCAACGGACCUAUUCAAAAAGUUCUAUAAUUUUAUGGUCAAACUGCAAUUAUGAGAAGAAUGAUCCAAAAAUUAGAAUUUUUGGGGUGAGUGAGAUUUAGAAAAUUUUGUGGAUAUAACAUAAUUUAAGAAAGAAAAAGGAGGUAAAUGAAAAUUUAUACAAAAAGUAAAAAAAGAAAGAAAAAAGAAAACAAAAUAAAUACCUCUCCCGGCAACGGCGGUAAAAACUUAACACGACUUUAAAGUAUUUAAUUUACUCUUAAGUAUAAGAGUAGCUAGUUAUAUUAUAUCGCGAGAAGUCCGAGAUCGAUCUACAGAAAAAUGAUUUAAUUUAUUUAUUUAAGUUUAUCUAAAAAAUAAAAUUAAAAUUAAAUACAUGCAAUUUAAUUUGAGAAAAACUAUGAAAUUGAAGUAGUUAGGAUUAUGGAUCUACUCCUAGUAAUAAAUGUAAUUUAAUAAAUUUUUUAAUUUUAUUUUAUUGACCAAAAGAUUAAUUGUAUAAAUUACAAUUAUUUUCCCAUUAAUUUUAUUAUGGAUUAAGUACUUAAUGUGCAAAAGCUUAACUUGUCUACAAUAAGUCAAAAUACUAUUUUACCAUACUUUAUACUAAGAUAUUAACAAUUCAUUGUGCCAAACUCCCAUGUUUGUCUACAAUAAAUUAAAAUUUCAAAAUAUAAAAUAUAGAUAAAAUUAAAUAAAAAAUAAUUUAAUUUAUAUAAUUAAAAAUAGAAUUUGAUUAAAUCAUAUUUUUCUACUCAGAGUUUUACCUCACCCUAACUAUUAGUAUUUAGCUAAACAUAUUUGAAGUAAAUGAAAUUAUUAAAAUUGAAAAAUACAUAAUUAAAAAAAUGGUAUUUGAAAAUUAGAAAUAAAACUAAUUUUAUUUAUUGAAAAUAUACUACAAAAAGAGAUGAGAAGAAAAAGUUGAGGGGAAUGAAGAGAAAAUAAGGUGUGGAGAGGUGUGUUCCUCCCCCCACCUCUCUAUUUAUACUAAUACGUGAUUAAUCCACACAACACAAAUAAAUAAAACUAAUUACAUCUUAGGCAUACAUUUGUCCUACUAACAAAACAUAAACCUAAGUUAAUCCACUUAAGCACAUCCAACACAUUUCACUAAAAAUUACCACACCUAACAUGAUAAAAACUUAUAAUUUCACAAUUACCACUUUUACUUUUACAACAAAAGCCGCGAAUCUUCUCGACAAUGACCUAAUUUCUCGGACUUUCGGAAUCUAAAAGUUUAAAUAAUAUUAAAUUUAUCUAAUAUAAAUAAAUGUAUUAAAUAAAAUAAUGUUUCAUUUUAUAUUUACCCUCCUUUUAUUAAAUUUCCUAUAAUUAUAUUUAAUAAAAUAAAUAAUAUUAUAUAUUUAAAUAAUAUUAGUUAUAUUUAACUAAAUUAAAGCAAAAUGACAAGUAUGGAAAGGAAGGCUGAAAGUAAGGCAUGACAUAAGGCUUUGAGAAGGCUGAAGACUACCAAAGAAGACAACUGAAAGCUAGCUGGGGCGUGAGUGUAUAAAUUGUUAGAUGUGUUUGUUAUAAAUAACAUAGAGCCCUUUUGUUAUUUAUAAUCAUAGAGAAAGAGAGAAUGUGUGUUUUUUAAUAGUUAGAGAUAUAGCUAGAAUGGGUGGCUCAAAAUCCAAAAUGGUGACAAUGUUAGUUCUCGUAUUGAUAAUAUUGGGGGGGGGGGGGGGGGGGGGAGGUCGAGUGAGGGAUGUUUGGAGCAUGAGAAAUUUGAUCUUUUGCGGCUUAAACAUUUCUUCAAUUCCCCUUAUACACUUCAAAACUGGGUAGGUGAACAAAGGGAAAGGGUUGAGUGCAGCAACUCCACAUGCCAAGUGGUACAACUACACCUUGGCCUUACUAGGAAUAUCGAUCUGGGAGAGUGGUAUCUGAAUGCUUCUCUAUUUACUUCCUUUCAACAACUUGGUAACAAAAUAGCCGGCUGCAUGCGUUGAGAAUGAAGGUCCUUCAUUUAAUUUAAUUUACUUAAUUCCUCCCUCCCAAUUAAUGUCUAAUGGAGCUCAUUCUUUGGUUUUACUUGCAGGUCUAGAAGCAGGUGUCAUCUAACAGCUGCUUUGAUAAUUUCCCACCGCUUCAUCUUUGAUGAAAAGAUGAAAUAAAAACAAAAUGGUGAAAAUGGUAUUGGUACCUGAGGCUAUGUAAUCUAAUUCAAAAACUGCACCAUCAAAACGAUUACAUAAGUCCCAGAAGAAUCAAACAUUAGUUUGCAAAAUAUCAAUUGCUGGAGGUUUGAUUCUAACUUCUGCUCUUCAUUUUUAUGGGCAUAUUGUGUUGUACUUGUUGGAGAAUUAACAAAUAAAACACACACAAAAACACACUAUUUUAUUUCUUCAACAACACUUCUCACUAAUUACAAUUCUUAUUUUUCACUCUCUACACCUGAGAGAUUUUGCUACUUCACUUGAUAUUUAAACCAAAGGGGAGAGGGGGUAUUUAUACAUGAAACAAACUAAUCACAACCAUUCAUUUAUUCAAUUAAUACACAAAUCCUCACCAUCCAUUAAAACCUACCACACCUAACACACCUAACACAAAUAAUUCAAACCUCACCAACCAUACCUACUCAUGGAACCUUCCAUGAGUUGGGCUUGAUUUAUUCAUCUUGGAUCAAGUUUAUGAUCCAACACCUCCCCUUAAACUUGAUCCUGUGACACCAAGCAAACUUCUGAAUCUUACAAAGUCUUCUUGCUUGAGUGGCUUAGUGAAGAUAUCAGCUGCUUGAUCUUGUGAUUUUACAUACUUGAUUUGCACUUCUUUUCUUGCAAUACACUCUCUUAUGAAAUGAUAAUGAGUGUCUAUGUGUUUACUUCGAUCAUGAAAGACUGGAUUCUUGGAUAGGGCAAUUGCUGAUUUGUUAUCAACACAAAUCUCGGUUGGCUCUUCUUGUGCCAAACUCAACUCCUUCAGUAAAUUUCUGAGCCAAAUUGCAUGACAAACACUUGAUGUGCCAGCUACAUAUUCAGCUUCACAGGUGGAUAGCGUGACAAUUGGUUGCUUCUUUGACAUCCAUGUGAAAGCAGUAUCUCCCAUGAAGAACACAAAUCUCGUGGUGCUCUUUCGAUCAUCUACAUCUCCACCCCAAUCGCUAUCGCUAUAUCCAACAAGCUUGUAGUCAUUAGAAAAUGAGUAUAGCAAGCCGAAAUUAGUUGUACCUUUGAUGUAGCGAAGGAUUCUUUUUGCAGCUUUAAAAUGGGUAGUCUUUGGAUUCUCCAUAUAUCGGCUCACAAAUCCAACAGCAUAAAGGAUAUCUGGUCUUAUGCAUGUCAAAUAACGUAGGCUUCCAACCAAACUUUUAAAGAAUGUUGGAUAUAUAUCUUCGCCUUCAUCAUGUUUGGAUAACUUGACUCCGCAUUCCACUGGCGUGCUUAUAGGCUUACAAUCAUUCAUCUUGAACUUCUUGAGAAUCUCCUUUGCAUAGCUUUCUUGGGAGAUAAAUAUGCCUUCUUCCUUUUGCUUGACCUCAAUGCCGAGGUAAUAUGCCAUCAGUCCGAUGUCAGUCAUCUCGAACUCUUUGAUCAUCACUCUCUUGAACUCUUCAAACAAGCUUGGAUUACUUCCAGUGAAGAUGAGAUCAUCCACAUACAGGCACACAAUCAAAAUAUCUCCAUCUUUUUCUUUGACGUAGAGAGCAUGUUCAUAUGGGCAUUUGGUGAAGCAUUUCUCUUGAAAAUACUUGUCAAUUCUGCUAUUCCAUGCCCUUGGUGCUUGCUUUAACCCGUAAAGAGCUUUCUUCAAUCUCAAAACUUUGUCCUCAUGUCCUUUCACCACAUAGCCUAAUGGUUGUUCGAUGUAAACUUCUUCUUCAAGGAAUCCAUUCAAGAAAGCAGACUUCACAUCCAUUUGAAAAAUCUUCCAUUUGUUCUGAGCAGCCAAAGAAAUAAUAAGUCUAAUAGUUUCAAGUCGAGCUACAGGAGCAAAUAUCUCGUCAUAGUCUAUGCCAGCCUUUUGACUAUAGCCUUUUGCAACUAGCCUCGCCUUGUGCCUUUCAAUUUCUCCCUUCGCAUUUUUUUUUGUUUUAUACACCCAUUUGACACCGAUCGCCUAGUGACCUUUUGGAAGAGUAGUAAGCUCCCAAGUAUCAUUCUUCACAAUGGCUUUGAUUUCUUCAUCCAUUGCAAUUCUCCACUUCUCAUCUAGUGCAGCUUCUUGGAAGUUGACUGGCUCACAAUCAGCAAAGAGGCAAAAGAGAGUGAGAUUAUCAUGUCUCUCAGUUACCUCAUAGAGAUCUUGAAGACUCCUUGUACGUUCUUCGGUUCUUUCAUUUAAGAAAGACGGCGGUGAAUCUCCGCAUGUGGUUGAUAAUGGUGAGAUAGGUGGAGUAGCAGGCUCUUGUUGUUCGUCUACUUGUUUUAACUGUGUAUGAUCAUCUUCUUCAAUGGGAAAGAAGUUGAAGUCAUCCACACCAGAGCCAAAAUCCCAUUCUCCUUCUUCAUCAAAAACUACAUCUCGACUGAUCACGAUCUUCCCGUUGUUUGGAUUGUAAAGCUUGUAUCCUUUGGAGUUGUUGUCGUAGCCGAUGAAGAUGAACUUCUCACUUUUGUCAUCCAGCUUGGCUUUACUUUCGUCUGGUAUAUGUACAUGGGCAAUGCUUCCGAAAACUCUUAGAUGGGUGAUGCCGGGUUUUCUUCCACUCCAAGCUUCUUAUGGCGUCUUGCCCCACACGCUUCUUGUUGGAGAUCGAUUGGAUAAGUAGACUGCACAUGCAACUACUUCAGCCCAAAAUUCUUUAGGUAGCCUCUUACUCUUAAGCAUGCUUCUAAAAUUCUUUAGGUAGCCCAAAAUUCUUUACCAGAUAUCCUUUAUGCUGUUGGAUUUGUGAGCCGAUAUAUGGAGAAUCCAAAGACUACCCAUUUUAAAGCUGUAAAAAGAAUCCUUCGCUACAUCAAAGGUACAACUAAUUUCGGCUUGCUAUACUCAUUUUCUAAUGACUACAAGCUUGUUGGAUAUAGCGAUAGCGAUUGGGGUGGAGAUGUAGAUGAUCGAAAGAGCACCACGGGAUUUGUGUUCUUCAUGGGAGAUAUUGCUUUCACAUGGAUGUCAAAGAAGCAACCAAUUGUCAUGCUAUCCACCUGUGAAGCUGAAUAUGUAGCUGGCACAUCAAGUGUUUGUCAUGCAAUUUGGCUCAGAAAUUUACUGAAGGAGUUGAGUUUGGCACAAGAAGAGCCAACCGAGAUUUGUGUUGAUAACAAAUCAGCAAUUGCCCUAUCCAAGAAUCCAGUCUUUCAUGAUCGAAGUAAACACAUAGACACUCGCUAUCAUUUCAUAAGAGAGUGUAUUGCAAGAAAAGAAGUGCAAAUCAAGUAUGUAAAAUCACAAGAUCAAGCAGCUGAUAUCUUCAGUAAGCCACUCAAGCAAGAAGACUUUGUAAGAUUCAGAAGUUUGCUUGGUGUCACAGGAUCAAGUUUAAGGGGAGGUGUUGGAUCAUAAACUUGAUCCAAGAUGAAUAAAUCAAGCCCAACUCAUAGAAGGUUCCAUGAGUAGGUAUGGUUGGUGAGGUUUGAAUUAUUUGUGUUAGGUGUGUUAGGUGUGGUUGGUGAAGUAGGUGAGUGGUAGGUUUUAAUAUAAUCUUUUAAGUGAAUAUCAUAGCCUUUUUCUAAAAGUUGACCUAAACUAAGAAUGUUGCUUUUCAUAUUGGGCACAUAGUAAACAUUCGAAAUUAUUUGGUGGCUACCAUCUUUUGCACGAAAAAGAAUGUUACCUCUACCCUUCACUAGUACUUUUGAAUCAUCUCCAAAAGCGACAUUGUCAUUCACAAAUUCACUUAGUUGCACGAACAUGCUUCUGUUUCCACUCAUAUGAUUGCUAGCACCUGUGUCAAGAUACCAUGUAUUUUCUUGACCUGCACUUGUGUCAUUGCGUGCUAGUAAAAGUGUGCCAUCUUCACCAUUUUUCUCUUCAGCAUAGUUCACUCUCUCCUCAAUUCUGGUGCUUGGAGCUCUGCAUUCUGAAGCAUAAUGCCCAAACUUUUGACAAUUAUAGCAUUGUACUUUGGAUUUGUCAUACCUCGAUCUUGGAUUGCCUCUGCCUCGUCCUCUGGUUGAGCUUUCUCCUUUGUCAUAAUUGGAGUUGUUGUUGUUGAAAUUCCAACCUCGUCCAUGACCACGACCUCUACCUCGUCCUCGACCUCUACCUCGGACAUAGUGCAUUCUCUCGUUGUCGGAGCUUUCUUCUCUUUUCUUUGGAUUGACUUCCAUCUUGAGAAGUUAUUCUUUGAUUCCUUGCUUCUUCUUUUUUUUCUUCAUAGGCUUGCAACCUUCCUUGAAGUUGCUCGAUCGUCAUAUCCUCCAAAUCUCUUGUUUCUUCAAUUGCACAACAAUAUGUUCAAACUUCGACUCUACUGAUCGAAGUAUCUUUUCAAUGAUCCUUACCUCUUUUAACUCCUCGCCAUUUCUUUUUAAUUCAUUGGAAAUGGUUACAACCCGAGUAAAGUAGUCAGAAAUUGACGCCGACGCCUUCAUGUGUAAAGACUCAAAUUCUCCUCGUAAUGUUUGGAGACGAACCUUCUUAACUUGCUCCGCUCCUUUGUAAGAGGUCUCUAGUUUCUCCCAUGCUUCUUUUGAGGAGGUUGUACCAGCAAUCUUUUCAAAAGCAUCUUCAUCUAAUGAUUGAAAGAUGAGAUACUUUGCUUUAUUCUCUUUCUUUUUCAAGUCUUUUAAAUUCUCCUUCUGCGCCGCAGUUAAAGUGGCUUCAUUUUCUGGCACAAUAAAGCCUUUUUCCACGACAUCCCAUACGUCAUGUGCGCCCAAUAGAGCCUUCAUUUUAAUACUCCAAUUGUCAAACUUACUUCCCUUUAAUUGUGGAACUUGAAAUGACAUCAUACCACCGUUUGCCAUAACUCAAAAAUUGAGUGAGAAUUUGGAGAUUCUGAAAGCACAGAUGGAUCCGGCACGUCGAAAAACCUUGGGAAGGACUCGAGUCAACUUUCGGUCAACGGUCAACGCUGGUCAACGGUCAACGUCGGUCAACGGUCAACGUCGGUCAACGGUCAACACCGGCUUGGUAGUCUUGGUUCGGUCCGGAUUGGUUCAGCUCGAGUUGGCUCGGUUCGACUUGAUGCGGUUCAAAUCGGCUCGGCUUGGUUCAGUUCGGCUCAGUUUGGUUCAACUCGGUGAGUCGACUCAGCUUUAGGUUAGAAAACUUUCGGCGGCAAGUGUGGGAGCGUCCGGUCUCAGAUCAGGAUGAUUUGUGCGGCGUCACGUUCCUCUCGUCGAGAUCUUCGAUUUGAUAUGCUAUAUGACCAUAUAUAACAUCACGUACUAGCUCUGAUACCACUUUGUUGGAGAAUUAACAAAUAAAACACACACAAAAACACACUAUUUUAUUUCUUCAACAACACUUCUCACCAAUUACAACUCUUAUUUUUCACUCUCUACACCUGAGAGAUUUUGCUACUUCACUUGAUAUUUAAACCAAAGGGGAGAGGGGGUAUUUAUACAUGAAACAAACUAAUCACAACCAUUCAUUUAUUCAAUUAAUACACAAAUCCUCACCAUCCAUUAAAACCUACCACUCACCUACUUCACCAACCACACCUAACACACCUAACACAAAUAAUUCAAACCUCACCAACCAUACCUACUCAUGGAACAUUCCAUGAGUUGGGCUUGAUUUAUUCAUCUUGGAUCAAGUUUAUGAUCCAACAGUACUUGCAUCCGAAAAUCAUAUUUUAGUUUACUUACACUCAACGCUUGGAUUUAAGUUUUAGGGGGGGGAUUGAAGAAGACUAAAAUGACACAAAAGAGUUGAGCGAGUGCAGGUUUUGUCUUCAUUUAAGGAGCUCUUUGUAAAUUUUAGGAUUUGUUUCCUGAGAAAAUUUAUGCCAACUCAUUCUUUGCUUCUUUUCUGAACGGACAGAUGCAACCGAAAGUAUAUUCUUGAAUUCUUUAGGAUGAGAGACAUACGUUUAGAUUCAUCGAGCCUUUAAAACAAUAUCAAAUUUUAGAUUGCUGAAAUUUUAUAUAUCUGAGUAUGAUGGUGUUCCAAUUAUAAGCUCCAGGGUGCAACUUCACUAAGUUUUAGAAUACCUUCCUAUAGAAUUGAGAAAUCUCCAUUGGCAUAAAUAUCCUUUGAAAAUAUUGCCAUCAGAUUUUGAAUUGGAGAACCUGAUUGAACUCAGCUUGCCUUGUAGUAAGGUUAAGCAAUUUUGGAAAAGAGAAAAUGUAUAAUGUAUUACUAUUACCAAAGUAUCUAUUUUUCUUUCUUUAAGUAUUUAUAAUGAAGGCUGAUUCAUAGGAAGGCUGUAAAACGGUAAUCAACGAAGGUAAAGGGGUUAGACACUUUUACACUAGAACUUAAGAAAUAAGAGCAUUUACGAAAAAAGGAGAGAAACACUCAUAGGUGUUCCACUGCCUAAGAGAUCAUGAGAGAGCCACGAGAUCAGUGGCCAAGUUUCCCAAAAAGUAAACCUAAAUUUCUGACUUGAGCGUAGGAGGAUUUUUCCGGCGUGCUCUGACCAGUUUUUGUGUGCGCAGGAGUCUGCUAAGUCAUACGAGUCAUAGCUCUGCUCGGUUAGAAGAGUUACGUGAAGUAUCCUACGUUGGUCGUGAGUUCGGGCGUUGAGGAGAGAUCCUGGUUGCAGACAAGCAGACACCAGAAUCUCGCAUCAACAGUGAAGAUGAUUCAAUAUUAAGCAUGUCAUAUAAUCUGGAAGUGGAUAUUGGACCAAUUUGAUGAUGAAUUUCUUUCAAUCUCAAUCUUUUUCUUUUUAGCAACAUGACUAGUCAUUGUGCAAAUUUAAACUCUGACAAUGAUUUCUCAAUCGGUUUCUAAAAUGAUGACCAUGCAUGUAUAUGUGUGUGUGUGUAGAGAGAGAGAGAGAGAUCACACGUGCGUGAUUUCCUUUUGCCAAUAGGAUAUGCAGAGAGCUUGAUCUUACCCAAUAGCAAAACAAACUUCCUAACAAGUGAAGGUAUAGUAUAAAUACUUAUACUUUCAUGUUAUUUUGUUCAUCAGUAGCUUGAUUAUUUUAUAUGCGUCUUUGUUUUUAAUUUUCUUUCCUUAUAAUCGCUAUUAUCUUUGAACUGGUCAUGAUUUGCCUAUAAGAUUUCUCAUGUUGUUUUGAGGUGCAAUGGAUUUUGAAUUUAGUGACGAGCAGUGGAAGCCAGAAGGCAAAUUAUGAAAAUGGAUAAAGAUCUAUAAUUAGUUGUUAUGGGAUGUCACAUAUCAUAUUGAUGGUAACAUUAUAUAUGUGUACAUAUAAUUAAUGGGGUUGGCUCACGAGCCCAUUAAUAAUCGUAUAUUAGCUUAUAUACUUCAAACAAUGUACUAUGAAGCAAUUUCACAAAUACUUGUUAGCUUAUGUUGAGCUUUAUUGAAUCAGUAGUUCACAGUUCAAUAAAAUGCAGGUUUGCUAUUUGAAGUACAUGGUUAUGGUGCGUACAUUCUUCAUAAGGCUAACUACUAAUUUAUCAUUGAAACUUGAAAAAUGUGACAGAGAGAUGUAGAUAACAGCCGCAAAACACUGAGAUUGAAAAUCAGGGCUGCUAAAUUCUACUAAAAGCCCUUAAAAUAGACAGCGAUCACCCUGAAAUGUAUAUACUGAAACUAAGAAAUAUUAAUCGCAAAGUUAUGCAUUAAUAGAACUAUUGACUACUUAUCUUUAGCAUAAGGUAUAUUUUUAACUACAGCUUUCUACUUUGUUCUAAGAACUAGGCAAAAAUGGUGUAUCUUCAAUCCAAUCAACAUGUAUACCACUUAUCUUCCUCUUCACUUCUGUCUAUUUUGAUUUGCACUUCAUAUCCUGCACUUGCUGCUUAGAAAUAGUCUUAUUCUGGACAUUGAAAGUAGAAAAAGUGCUUGAAACAAUCAUUGGCAUAGCCCGAGAUUCCAUUGAAUCGUGGACUCCAAGCUUUCAUAGUUCUAUAAAGAAAAUGACAAAACUUCAUACAACUGGCAUUCUGCUUUUAACAUUUGCACAACCUGAGCGAGUUAGCAAGCCCCUUGUUGCGUUCCCAUUGAAUAGACCUACUUUUGUUAUCCACAGAAGAUCCACCACUCAAAAUGUUUAUCACCAGGCUAUUCUUAAACUGAGCCUAAACUGAGUAGAAACUUCUGCACAUCUCUCAGCAUUUACAUGAAGAAAUCGACAACUAUCGUCAUCUCUCAGCACAUCUCUCAGCAUUCUACAAAGUUGCAUUUCACUAAGCAAUCUAUCCUCUCCAUUCCUAACAAAGUGACAUUGAUUCCCUUAUUUGUAAUCGCCUAACUUGGGUUUUGGGAAUAGCGUGGUCUUAAAAUUACCACCCAAUACUUUGUUCAGUGCCACUGGCAUCCACAACCUCUAGCCCUGUUAGCUGAAUCAUAUUCAAUGGGACAGUGAGGCAGCAUUUCACUAACAUAUUCAAUUUGACUACUUAUAUUGACGCAAAUAUUAGAAUUUGAAAUCACUUCUUUUCUUGGAAUAUUAUAUUAAAAUGACCCCAAAUGAAAGUUCUUGAAUGGAAAUGAUUUUUAUUUAAUUUUCCAACAGAUUCAAGAAAAUCCAGAGAACACAAAAUUUACACAGUAAUAUGAUUAAGAGCUGAGAACGUACAUGUAGUAAAUGUCUAUCAAAAAACACCCAAGGGUUUCUUUAAAAUUAGAAACUAGUAAAUAAAAAGAAAGAAUCAUUUUACAUUUUUAGCAACUUUGGGGUGAGUGAGUGAGUGAGAAAUUGAAACCCUAAAGUGAUGACAACAGUAAGAUUCAGUAUGAAGUGAAACCCCAAUUUGAAAUGUAGGCAUGAGUUGCUGAGUCAGUAGAUGAAGCUAUAAAUAGGCAUUCGGUUUCCUUCUUUUCGGUUUGGAGGGCCAUGGAAUAGUGUAUUGGAGUGGGCUCCAAGUAAUAGCCUCUAUCACUAGAACGACAAAUCUAUAAAAUGUGAUACAUGGGGAAGGAUUGGGCAUUAUAUUCUUAGAUUAGCGCCUUAUUUAGGGUGUAUAUUAAGCAGAUUAUAUAUUACAUGGAGAUGGAGUUUAUGAAAUAGAUUAAAAAGAAAAGGAAAUUUUGGUGCCUAAAGUUUGCCACUUGGAAUAUUUCGGUGUCUAAAAAUUCACUCACCACUUAUUUCAUGUUUGAUUAUAUGUUGAAAAGAUAUUAAAAUAGUAUAAUGCUAUUAAGGCUUAACGUAGAUUUUUUAUUAGUAGAGUGUAGAAUUUUUAAGAAAUAAAUUAUUAAAUUAUUAUAACUAACAUAUUAUUUUAAAGUUGUGUUAUGAAAAAAAUGAAAUAAAAAUGUACAGUAAAUAAGAAUAUUUUAAAACUUUUAUCUUUUUAAAAUUAGUUUUUAACAUAAGGUGAACUAUUUUUUCUUUAAAAUCACAUAUUCUAGUUAAAAUCAAAUAUGUAUUUAUAUGAAGCUUGUAAAUUUUUUUUUUUAGUACUGAUAUUUGAAUAUUAUCAAUAAAAAAAAGGGUAAUGUUCAUGCUGCAUUAUUUUUGUAGCACACAAAAGGACAACAAAGUUUAUGUUAUAAUACUAUCGCUUCUGUUAUGAUAAUAAUUUUUUGUGGCCAAAUAUCUUUUUUUUUUAAGUAAAAAAAAGUGGACAAAAUACAAAUCAGUUUUUAAUCCUCAAUCUCUCCCAAAAUAUAAAUUCGUAGGUCCAUGGGUUGUUAAAACUAUAGCUGACAAAAAGUUACUAACAAAAACAGAAUGUCCAUUUUAUAACUUUCUUAAAAAACUUUCCUUAACUUUUUUAAAAAGUUACCAACAAAAAGUUAUUUCUAAUUUUUAUUUUGUUAUAAUUUUUAUAACAAAAUUCGUAGUUAACUAAACUCUUCUUAUUCCCUUUCUCAACUACCCUAACCCUGUUCCCCAUGUCCCCACUAAACCACGCUCAAUUAAGGCCAUCAGAUUCUCCCGGGCCCACAUUAAUCCAACUGCUCACAGAGACCGACAGCCUCUCUAUCUCCAUUUCAAGCUCCCUCUUCAACUGGCUUCUGCUACCGUCCUACUCUUUCUCGGCUUCGGAGUCCGUAUUUGCUCGGCCUGUCCCACGAAACUCCCUCUCACUCCAAUUGUCGCCCCACAAGACCAAUUGCUUAAUCAAGACACCGAACAAGAAGAGGAUGAGAAGUUGAAACAAGAAUUUGAGAAUUGGAAAUAAAAAACGUACGCAUUGACCGUGCCUUUGAGAGUCGUUUCUCUUCAGAACUCAGUGCCUCAAUCUUGGGUUAAGGAUUUUAUGCGAAGUCAGGGAAAGAGAUUGAAGUUUCAGAUGAAUUUGUGUGCUAGCAUUGAUGGGAUCUUUAACAAUUUAUCUGUGCCCUUUAACAAAGUUAAGGCUAAGUCAGCUUCUUAUAUGGCUGCUGAUUUGGUUAGUGUUGGUGAUUCAUGGCUUAGUUUUGCCAUUAAAAAGAGAUUGAUUGAGCCAAUAGCUGGAGCUGAAGACCAAGAUUGGUUCAAAUGCUUAAGUCACAAAUGGAAGGUAACAUCUUUGUCUUUGAUCCUCGAGGUAAAAUAUGGGCGGCACCAUACAGGUGGGGCACAACGGUGAUAGCCUACAAGAAAAGUAAAUUUCGAAAGCAUAAUUUGGCUCCGAUUGAGGUAAUAAUUUUCUUUAAACUCAUUUAGUUUUAUAUCAAACAAAAUCAAGACUGCCUUUCUCUUCAAUAUUUUUUAUGAUAAUAUCUUUAGAAGCAUCUCAUUGACGGGUAACAAUGGCAUCCCUGAAAGAGUCUAUAAACUCAAUGAUAUUAUCUUCUACAAAUGGUUCAUUAAACUUUGUCGUUGUGCUCAAAUGUACACUCAGAGCAAUGAGAAGUUAUGCCACUUUAGCAUGUAGUGAUGGCACUUAAUAAGUGAGUUGCUAGGAUGUGAACUAGAAAAAUUAAAUAUUGUCUCCUUGGGUAUGCUAGCUCGUAAGUCAGGGUUAAUAUCAGAGCUUAAGAUAGUAUAACCGUGAGAACCUAUUGACUGCCAAUUAAAAUAUCCAUUAAAAUGUCUAGGGAGUUAUGAAGGUGGAGGUAACUUCCAAUUUCUAAGGCCACAGAGUAGACAUCAUCCAGGAUCCUAGGAAAGUCCAGUUAACCUCCUGCUCGAUGCAAUUAAUAAAUUUGGUCAAUGCCACUGAAACUUGCUAACUGACGUCACAAUGCGACAUGAGCACUUCAAAAUGGGACAGACGGUCAGUGGCACUAAAUUUUUCUUGCCUAAGAUUGAGCAAUUGGUCUAACUACUAAUCCCCCAGAUUUAAGAAUCUUUUGAUGAUAAUUUAUCACCUGCAGCUGUGCCGGAAGAUUCAAGUAGCACUGAAAAAUAUGAUAAUUUAAUUGAUAUGGACAGUUUCCAUAUCACUUUUAAAUCAUCUUAUGUAAUUGUAAUGUUAGGAAGCAUUAGUGAUCUAAAAGUGAACUAUUAUUGGUGUCAUUGGUGGUUUUAUCUUGUUAAAAUAUGGAUGACUUCCUGUUACUAUUUUAUUGUAGACAAUCUUAUUCAAUUAACAUAAGGUUUAAAACCAUUAUGUUUUAUGUAAAUCAAUCUAUUAAUUUUCAUGAUAUUUAACUGAGUUAAAACCAAGUGCACUCAAUAAAUGUCUUUUCCUUUAAAAAAACUACUACGCUUUGAUUUUAGUGCUUAAUAUUUCGUAACUACAGAUUAUCUAAUUGCGAGUUGCUGUCCAUAGCUGCUAAUUUGUAGUGAUUAUCUAAUUGACUGAGGUGACAAUAAUUCUUUUAUUUUCAAUAGCACAAUGUGGAAUUCAAUAAUUAAAUUCUCCUAUUUAAUUUGUUUCAAGUUAAAUUAUUAAUUACUUAAACUCUGUUUUAAGUCUUUAAUUUUAUGUGUUUAUGCAGAAUUGGAUUCUUGAGCGUGUUGGACACGACCAACAAUGAAAUUGAUAGUAAACAAACAUUACAACGUGUGGACUCCGGUAAGCACCAAUGAAUGUCUAGCCCCGUUGACUCCGCCAACUAAAGUUUUGUAAAAUUAAAAAAAAAAAUACAUAGAAUUCCACCAAAUGCAAAACGCGUGAAAUUUAAUUUUCGACCGUGUGGACCAAAACAUAAUUUAACAAAAAAGGAAAAAAUGAUAAGAUUUUUAAAAUGUGUGGAAGGUGAUCCAUAUUUUACUGAAACGACUUGUUAAAUUUUUCAAGGAUUUAGAAUAUUUGGUCAUAAAUUACGUGCAUGUUAAUUUUUCCGCCAUUGACUAUCAUAUUCUAGACUUAAUGGUACCUUUCUUGAUGAAGGGUACUUAGUCUCUCUUCUCCUCUUAUAAAAAUUAUAUUAAUUGAUUUCUUGUUAUAGUUAAUAGUCUUUAAGAACGGAUAGAUUUAUUGUUUUCAUGACCAAAUUAUGCAUGCCUAAGGUUGUAACUACUAAUAAAAUUAAUAUUUAAUGUUUAUGUUAAAAGAUAUAAGUUUUUAUGCAUUCAUUAAUUGUUAUUAGCUAAAGGAUGAAAUAUUUUUUCCCAAUCAGUUGAUGCAUCUGCAAGAGUUUUUUUUUUUCUUUUAUUGACCAUAAUUAUAUUCCGGGUACAAUAAAUUGUCUUUGGUGCUUGGAAAAUAUGACACCUCUCUGUCAACUUACUGGAAAUAUCUCCUCAUCUACUCUCAUUUAUCUAAUAUGAAUUGAAGAUCUCAUAUUUCCAAACUAUGACUUCCAAAUCUCAUUAUCAUUUGAGCAUUCAAAACUAAUCAAGUGUGGAAAUAAUCAAAUAUAUGCAAAAAUCGAGUCACAAUCUUUGGCCCCUCAAAAUUCUAAUUAUAUAACUUCUAUAUAUCUCAUACAUUUUCCAAAUUCCUCUUCCAUGAACAUCACUAGGAGUAUGUUCAUCUCUCACACAUUAACUUGAGUGAAGAGUUUCCAAAUUGAUUAUUAGAAAACAAUACAAAAGCUAGACACGUUUGAUCUGUCUAAUAAUUCUCUUUCGGUAAAAUUAAUUAAUUUUAGGGGAAUUCAGCCAACCUCUGUAAUUUCAGAGUGAUCAUUAAUUAAUUAAACAAUACAAAUAUCUAAAGUGAUUAGAUGUUUGCCGACAAUACAAGUUCAUGGCUUGAAAUUUGAUCUCUAUCAAUUGGUUUACAAAUGGACUCACUUGUGCCUUUGUGGUGAUAAUUGAACCAGAGAUGUGAAGCUGUAAGGAUUUGGCUGUAGUCAAUUGUUAUAAAGACAUAAAGACAACUUCCCAUGAUUAUUAUUUUUUUCCAAGAACUAUUUUACAACAAAUUCAUCUCGCCAAAAAUUCUAUUUUGCUAACUAACAAUAAUUGAGCACUUGACCGCAUUGACUCCACGUCUCCAGCUACUUUCUAAGUAAAAACAUGGAAAUGUAAUCUCCACAAAAUGCCAAACGUGUGGAAUUUAAUUUUUGGCCUUGUGGACCAAAAUGCAAAUGAAAGAAAAAGAGGGAAAAAAACAAGGCUCAAAGACUUCUAAAAGAUGUAAAAGUCUUUGGGCUUUUUUAUAAUGGUGGAUUUUUUAAAAGGAAAAAAUAACAACACUUCUAUGGUUUGUUUUAAUAAUCACAUUUACAUAUAUUCUCUAAUUUUCAAAAUGGACACAUAAAUCUUUUUUUUUCUACAAAUGUAUAUUAUUCGUAUUUUUUAUUAUUUUUAAUAUCAUAUUGUUAUUUAUUAUAAAUGUUUAAAGUAAAUUUUUAGGUUGAAAUAUAAUAAAAAGGUAUAAUCGUUCUCAUAUUAAACACCCAUACUUUUAGUUUCUAUCCAUUUGUCAUUUCAAUCUCCCUCAAUUAUUCUUUAUUGCUAGCUCAAAACGCAUCGCUGUUGAAAAUUAUAGCAAAAUGACAAAUAUGGAAAAAAAGGGAAGAAAAUUAAUGCAUGAAAGACUUGGAGAAAACAACCAAAUAAGUCAACUAUAAGCAAGCUGGGUGUAUAAAUUGUUAGAUGUGUUAUAAACAAAUACGUAUAAUGUUAAAGAUAUAGUUAGAAUGGGUGGUUCAAAAUCAAAAAUGGUGAUAAUGUUUGUUCUGCUCUUAAUAAUAUUUGAAGGUGGGUGGAGUGAGGGAUGUUUGAAUCAUGAGAGAUUUGCUCUUUUGCAACUUAAACUUUUCUUCACUGAUCCUCAUAAUUAUCUUCUCGAUUGGGUAGAUGAUGAGGGAGCUACUGAUUGUUGUCAGUGGGAAAGGGUUGAGUGCAGCAACACCACAGGUCGAGUGAUAAAACUUGACCUUGCUUUUACAAGGAAUAAUUAUUUGGAAGAGUACAGAGACUUUGUACACAAUCCGGGAGAGUAUCUGAAUGCUUCUUUGUUUACUCCCUUUCAACAACUUGAGUCACUUGAUUUAACUAACAACAACAUAGCCGGUUGUGUUGAGAAUGAAGGUGCUUCGUUUAAUUUAAUUAAUUUACUUUCUCCCCCCUAAUUUAAGUUGACUAUCAAGACCGAGCAAUUAGACGCAUAUUCAUUUAGUCGACAAUUUUCACUUUUUUUAAAUGAUUAAUUUUGAAAUUACACCAGUAUCUAUAAUCAUUUUUUUAUUUUACUUGCAGGUAUAGAGAGGCUAUCAAGAUUGAACAACUUGAAGAUGCUUAAUUUAAGUGAUAACUCGUUCAACAAUAGCAUUUUAUCAUCUCUAACCCGUCUUUCAUCAUUAAGAUCAUUAAAAUUAUCUGACAAUAGAUUGAAAGGAAGUAUUGACUUUAAAGGUACAUAAUUAAAACUUCAUCCCUUCUCCAAGCUCUUUCAUUAACUUGCUAAAAUAAGAUUCAAGGCUUUGAAUUCAAUUUUUUUAUGAUUAGUAUUAAAAAAAACAGUUUUAAGCAAUUUAUAAAUACAAGUUUUAAUGGUUAUCGUAAUUUCAUCUUGUAAUUUCAUGUCUUGAAUUUAAGAUUAAAAAAAUAACACUAACAGCGAACCAAACACCUCCACAACUUAUUAUUAUUAUUAUUAUUAUUAUUAUUAUUAUUAUUAUUAUUAUUAUUAUUAUUUUAAUUUGUUGUGAGGUUUGAAACAUUCAACUCAAUUUGUACUUACUACAGAAUUUGAUUCUUUGAGAGAUUUAGAGGAGCUAGACAUUGGCUGGAACAAGAUUGACAAAUUUGUGGUCUCAAAAGGUACUACAAAUACCAUAUAAAAAUGCUAACUUAUACAAAUUAGUUGGAUUCUUUGCCAUUUGGUUUAUUAUUUUACAGGUUUGAGUAAGUUGAAGUCUCUCGGUUUAAGUGGUAUCAAACUCAACCGUAGCAUCUUAUCUUCUCUUUCUUCAUUAAGAGAAUUAGAUAUAAGUGAUACGGGAUUCAAAGGAACAUUCGAUGUUCGAGGUAAGCCUAAGCCUUGCUUUCUCAUUUUAUAUAUGCCAACUAGAUUUGUGUAUCAUCGACAUAAUUUAAUAGUUAAUUUGAUAAGUCUGAAGGAAUUACAUGCUAAUUUAAACAUACUUUUAUUUACUUUGUCAAUUAAUUAAUUUAUUAAUUACUAUUUGGCUUGGUUUGGACGAAAUUCUCAUGAUGUUUUAAUUUCUUUAAAUUAAUUAAUUAAUUAACUCUGUUUUUAAGUCUUAAGUCUGGGCAUGUUUGCAGAAUUUGAUUCCUUCAAUAACUUAGAAGAAAAAUAGAAAAAGUCGAGCAAGAGACUCUCGCCCUAUUUUAAGAUGAGAGUAGCGAUCACUUACCUGAUCUACGACCUACUAUCUACGCGUACCAGCCUUCCUUUGUUUUGCAUCACGAGAUGGACUCUUCGCCCAUCCCCUAAGGUCUUUCAAAUUAUACCUAAUUGGGGAGAGGACCCACCAGGAGUCCAACUCCAGAUUGGUGGCUAAUGGGCCUCGCGUAUCCUGCCUUUUCGUAGAAUGCAACGCUUAUACGUUCACUGAGGAAUGAAAUCCUAUCUUUUAUCCGAGCUAGGGAUCAGAAAGCAAGAAGGUGGGGGUCAGAAAUGAGUAGCGUAGGUGAUACCGAUAGGGUGGUUGGAUACGCGACAGCAACGGCAAGGCACUCUUGACCCCGUCCGUAGAGGGUCGGUACGAAUGAGACUGUGCUAGAGAUCGCAGUGAGCAAGUAUGCCUUGUUGACUGGGUGUUGGUUUUGAAACAAGGAUGAGUCCCUCAGGGAGUCCGUCCAAGCUUCAGCUACUAAUGCCUGGGCUAACUUCUUGGGGGUGAACAAAGUGCUCUGAGUCUGAGAUCGAUACUGGUUAACGCCACAAGUGCUCUGCCAUUGGUCUACACACAGAGUCAUCAGGUAAAGUCAGAGCUUGGACUGGGAAUGAGAUCAGAAGAGGCUAGGCUACUAGGGAAGAUAGAAGCGAUCCACAAAUCAAACCACUAUCCCAUUGGCCGCUUCAUGCGCCGAACACUCUUAAUAAGAAGCUUUAUUUUAUAAGGUAUGUGUCUAUGCUCUCGAUACACGGCUUGAGAAGGCGGCUCCUUUUUAUUCUUCCUAUAGGAGCUACUCCUGAUUCAGUCAAUCAGAACAAGCCUUCGGACCUACCAACCAAUCAAACUAGCUUGAUGCGGAGGCAAAUACCCAGGGAUACUAUAGCUCAACACACGCCUGGCCGGGGGGAAGGAAGCCCUCGAAGCGAGCUCCGUACCAAAUAGCUGUGGAGAGAGAGAAGCCAAACUCUACCGCACUGAAGAGCGAGAUAAAUAACUGACAUCCUUGGUUGAUGAUCCUCGUCGGUGGAAGGGAAAGCGCGAUGAAAGGCAAGUCGGUAGUAGGUCCAAUGGAGAGAGGAAUUGAGAAGAGAUAGGGUCCGCUUUCUAGGCUGACGUUGGACAGCUGUUGGAUAGCCCCGACCUACACAAGUGGUUUUAGAAUGAACUCACAUUUUGAAAUGUUCUGUUAGGUUCUUAGUAGCAGUCGGCGAUCUUUUCUUCUUUUACUUCACAUAGCUUUUCGUCUCCUUGAUAGCUGGAAGUUCUCCAAAAGUAUGAAAAGCUGGAGGACUUUGUACCAUCCAUUCCGGUGUGGUUGGAUUCUGUUCAACAGCCCAAGGACUUGGAGCACAUCUUUUGUUAUUUCCACUGCUUGAAGUGAUUGUUACGACCACGAAGAAACGACGAAUCCCAACUACGGAUAUAUAAGAGCCAAAACUGCUAAGGGCAUUCCAUCCAGCGUAAGCAUCUGGAUAAUCUGGAAUGCGACGUGGCAUACCCGAAAGCCCUAAGAAAUGCAUGGGAAAGAAGGUCAGAUUAACCCCGAAAAAAGUGAUCCAAAAAUGGAUUUGCCCUAAAGUUUCAGGGUAUGUCCGACCAAAGAUUUUACCACCCAAUAGUGAAAUCCUGCAAAUAAAGCAAAAACGGCUCCCAUAGAAAGUACAUAAUGGAAAUGUGCAACCACAUAAUAAGUAUCAUGUAGAGCAAUGUCUAGCCCAGAAUUUGCCGGGACUAUUCCAGUGAGUCCUCCUAUAGUGAACAAAAAGAUGAACCCUACAGCAAAUAACAUGGGUGUUUUGUAUUGUAUCGAACCCCCCCACAUGGUAGCGAUCCAACUAAAGAUUUUGAUUCCAGUGGGGACAGCUAUGAUCAUGGUAGCUGCGGUGAAGUAGGCACGGGUAUCAACGUCUAAGCCCACAGUAAACAUAUGAUGAGCCCAAACAAGAAAUCCAAGAACACCUAUACUGAUCAUGGCAUAAACCAUGCCUAGAUACCCGAAGACCGGUUUUCCCGAAAAAGUCGAAACGAUAUGACUUAUGAUACCGGAUCCAGGCAGAAUGGGAAUAUACACCUCUGGAUGACCGAAAAACCAAAAGAGAUGCUGGUAUAAUAUGGGGUCUCCCCCUCCAGCGGGAUCAGAAAAGGUUGUAUUAAAGUUUCGAUCGGUUAAUAACAUGGUAAUUGCCCCCGCCAGUACCAGAAGUGAUAAUAAAAGUGGGAAUGCUGUCACUAGAACGGACCACACAAAUAGGGGUGAUCUAUGCAUAGUCAUUCCAGGUCCACGCAUGUUGGAGAUUGUUGUUAUAAAAUUGAUAGAACCUAAAAUGGAUGAAACACCAGAUAGAUGAAGACUAGAAAUUGCUGAAUCAACUGCUCCUCCAGAAUGGCUGGUAAUACCACUUAAGGGCGGAUAGACCGUCCACCCAGUGCCGCUACCCACUUCUACUAAGGCUGAGCUUAAUAGGAGCAAGAGACUUGGUGGCAACAACCAGAAUGAAAUAUUAUUUAAUCGUGGAAAUGCCAUGUCAGGUGCACCUAUCAGAAUCGGAACAGACCAAUUACCAGAUCCACCUAUCAUCGCCGGCAUAACCAUAAAAAAGAUCAUUAAAAAAGCGUGAGCCGUUAUUAAAACAUUAUAAAGUUGAUGAUUCCCACCAAGAAUUUGAUCGCCGGGAUGUGCUAAUUCCAUACGAAUCAAUACUGAGAAGCAUGUGCCCAUCACUCCAGCAAUGGCACCGAAGAUGAAAUAGAGAGUCCCUAUAUCCUUGUGGUUAGUGGAGAACAGCCAUCGAACCGGAUUUGUCAUAAAAUUGAGAUUCUUUCGUUUCCUUCCUUAUCAGAGAGGGGCCCCUUAGGGAGCGGGGCUUCUUUAUUGAAAAAGGGGGAGUGAGGGGGGAAGGAGCGAAGCGAAAGCGGGGGGGUCCGGAAAGCCCUUACUUUAUUGAUGGGACAUUUUGAUCCCCUUUUCCUCUCACCCCCCGUUCUGGUUCAGGAUUCAGGAAAGGGUCAACGCAAGGAUCUUACUUCGAAGCAAUCUCUGGAGUUUUCCCUUAUCCGAACGGGUCUUGCAAGAAAAUAGGAUUUCAUAUUGAGCUCCAAAUAUACGCUAUUGGGAUAGGAUGGCUCCUACUAUAUCUCCCCCCCCCCUAAGAACCGCACGUGCGAGUUCCCCUGCAUACGGCUCAAGUGGCGAAGGCACUUUCCUUCGCGCUUGAUAAGCGCUUCGCUGUAGCCAAGCUUACUGCUAGCCUAUCGGCUAGAGCCAAGCUUCGACCCCGACUGCUCGUCGCUUCUGGCCGCCUUAUUCCGUCACCCGAGAUCCAAGUCAGCACCGGAAAAAAGAUCUUGAUUCCUCGCGGCCGGGCCGGCUUGGAAGCAAGCUACUUGUCGCCUAUCUCACCCCCUUUCUUAUUAUUAGUAAGAUAGGGUGCCCCUUUCUCUAAUAAUAAGGUAAGCUUCUCUGAAUUCCGCUGGGUGAGCCUUCGCUUUUUGGAUCGUCUUCUGCCCAAUGCGGUACCCUCCCGUUUGUUUUUAGGUUCCCAUUGGGUUUACCUUGUUUACAGGUCGAUCCCAUGGCAGCAAGAAAAGGUGAUCUUGUGCUAUACUCCGGUGAUCUCUUUCCUACCGAGGCACGCAAACUCCCAUCGUGUCCCAGAUCAUAUUUCGUGAAUCGAAAGGGGAAGCCUCCUCAUCCAUCAGCUCCUCUCGUAGAUCAGUGCGGUUUUACGAAGCGUCUAAGCACAGUUCACUCGCGUUGAUCAAUCAAGAGCUUUGCCGCCACUCCUUAAGGUUACCUGUUGUAUCAUACACUUCUUGCAUUCUUUCCCACGCUUCAUACCCCCCUCUAGCUUCCGCACGGAGCGGUAAGGUAAAGGGCCAGGCAUGGUGGGGUCGGAGCAUCCUGUCAGCAAUCUUUUUGGCUUGACCAAGAAGUCUUAUGUCCUCCGAGUCGCGCGGCGUUUUAACCGAAAGAACUUCUUGCGCAAUUCAUGCCUUUCUGUUUUUAUGACCAGAAAUUUUUUCUUGAUUUCCAUUUCAAAUUGUUCUCUGGACUUUUUAUCAAUAUGAGGUGAUCGUAACACAGUAUAUAAGACUCGUGAUUCAGGCAAUCCAAUCUUUCGUGUGUAAGGCGGAAGAGCCUGGUUUUCCAAAAAUGGGUGAUCAAAAGAUCGAAUCACUAUGCGUAUCUUGGUGGUCGUUACUUUUGGUGGUCUUUCUUUUCUUUUUGGCUGACUCCUCCUACUCCUCCUUCUCUUAUCCUCUAUAUAGCUCGUCGUUGGUCCUUUUUUUUUACAUAACAUUCUCAGCCGCUCAAGAGUCAAGAGACUGACUAUCUCUCUCUUUACGCAAUUUCAAAAAUGAAGUAGCAGAGUGACUACUGAUUUUGGACGCGCUGAGUUAUUUAAGCAAAGCCUUUUUUGAUCUUGUUAUUCUAAAUUAUUUUAUUGUCUUUGCUCAACUUCGUCGAGCCUUGUACCCAGGUACACGGAACACUAACAGAAUCUCUGUUCAAACAAAAACGACAAGCAAACCCGAAAACUAAAGGGUCACCUUCUCUAGCAAGCAAGUAGACUUUUCUCUGAGCCCCAGGGUAGCAAAGCUAGCUCUUCGUAUCAUUGGCAUUGGGCAGGUGAACGGGAACCUGGCUACACAACUACUCUUACUCUAGCAGAGGAUCUAGUUCCACACCAAUCUGCUUAUCUUAUAUAAGAUAAAAUAGAUAAACUUAGCGUACCUACAACCGCUUGUGCCCUCUUGCUUUAGCUACUUACUCGGGAACUAGCUUCGCACCUCACCCCGGGAACUCAAGGGUGCGUAGCUUGCUUGUUGAAGGGGUGUUUCCGUUCCUCCGUUGUGGGAUAGUUUUUCCCUAGUUCGGUCCUAUAAGAAGAGUUCUCUAGAUAUCAACUCAUGGUACUCCCCGGGCCCCUAACAACAAAACUCAUAGGUUAGCUACAGCAGUUCUAGCAUCAGCUUCUCGAGGGCCUAAAAGAACCUCUUUCGUCAUUCGAAAGUGGCAUUUUAGCUCCUUUUCGUGAAACAGAUCGGAGAUCAGGUCUUAUCGAUUCAUACGAUUUUCAUACGUCUUUUUCCCACAUUAAUAAACCCCUUUUUUCUUUAACACGCUAGUGCCCAGAUCUUCUUCUUUUGUCUUUGAGCCUGCCUUUAGGUAGCGGCAUGGAAGUCCCCCUUCUUCUCAAGCAGGAAGCCCGCGUAUUCUUAUUCUAAUGUCCAUUGGAGCUUCUCUUUUCUUCCCGCUAUCUGGCUGUUCUAUUUAGACGUCUGUUCCCCAGUCUUACUUUCUCAUGCCCGCUUUCGCUUCACUCCUUUCUACUUCUGUUACAGUAGCUAUAGUUGUAAUGGCGGUUAUGCAGGUCCCCUUCUCAUUGAGUAGCCUAUACUCUGGAAUUGAAGUAGCGAAAUCGGCCUUAGCAUAGAACGUUUACCGCUUGCCUUACUAUUACUAAUAAUCGGGAAUCAGAACAGGCAACUAUGAGACUAAUUUAUCAUUGCCCCGAGCAAGUUACUGCGUACCUGAAGUGAGUGUGCCCAUCUUGGUCUCCUUUCUUUUUUCUUUGCAGCUGCCAUAAAAGUAAAGCCUUAGAUUCUAACAGGAAUCUCACCGCCUGCUCCCCUUAUAAUUAUAAGAUACUCGCUACUAAGGUUCUGAAAGAAGGCAGCUAAAUCAGCAAUAGAAGAGAACUCCAGAUCUAUGAAUAGCCAACAAAGAGCCUAGCUUUAUUACUGGAACUAAACAGCAAGCUGCUCCUACCUUACUUAUCGAGAAGGAGUACUUGGACUGAGUAGACUUCUUGUAGUUCUCUUUCCCCUAGCAACCUUUCCUGCUUUCCCGGUUGCAAGGUUUCGAGCUAACUACAGGAUUUGCUUCCUAGCUAAUAAUACUAAUUAGUAGUAUUGAACUUCGAACUAAAGAUUUUUUUUAGUUAACGGGCAGGUAAGGGCAAUGAAGGAAGCCGUUAGGCUUGAGACGAAACGGAUUCUAUGGAUUGAGUCUGGCAGUGAUGUUAGUUAAGUCCACUACCUGGGGCUUGUCUUGCUUGAGAACCCGUUUGGAACAAUCUGGAUUUUCCCCUUGUGAGUCACUCGAAUUCUUCUAUUUAUCAUUCUUUCAUGAAUAGAAAGAGAAAGAUCUCCGCUUCGUCUUUCUUCCAAGAAAAGAUCCCAAGCCAUUGAUAUUGGUCAUGCGUGGGCUUUCACUCAAUCUUUCACUAUGAUAUGAAAGGCAAGCAGGAAUUUCACCACUAAUGGGCCAGCGCUUGGCGCUUACUCUAGCCCGUGUUUCUAGGAUACACCUAUUAAUUAUAUAUAAUAGUUUCCCCGAUAUUCGUGGCUUUCCCCUUACUUAUUACUUAUAAGUAGAUCGGUUGAGAUAAGUAGAUUGGUUGAGGCCCGACCCUUUCCUUUGGGGUUGCCGACCUUGAUGCCAUAGUGUUUAGGGGGCUGAGCGGGAAACCAACACGUUGUGGAAACGGAAUAGAGCUUUUCCCUUGAUGGAUGUUAUCCAAUAAAAGCACACAAUCAGUGAGAUGAGCCUGCCAGCUCAGCCUUGGCCCUAUGCCUUUUGGCCAGCUUGACUUCUGACCGGUCGAUCCCGCCCCCUCUUGCAACGAUUCGGCGCCUCCACUUGAUGCUUGACGCCCACGCUUCGUUCAGGCAGCGCUCCUCGGAUAUGUCUUGCCAAUCGCCAGAGCGGUGCCACUUCCAGGAUUUGGUGCGGCCAGCUCGGGAACCUUCCCUGGAGUGAAAGGGUACAUGGAUCGGUUCCUCCACCAGAGGUCAGCUGAAGCGGAUUGGUCAAAAAGAAAUUUUCUGGCUUUGCCUCAUACCCGGUAUAACUACCAUUUUUACUUUGAUAUGCUUCUUACUUCCUUACAAAGUUGCAAGGAUCCCUUCUUGCAUUCCCUCCUUAUUCAAAAGGAAUUUAUUCGAAUAUCUAGUUGAUAAAUGUUCAUGAGCACGGGGUUGCCUUGCCUGAGACCUCUACUACUGCCGUGGAGGGUAAUUGAUAACAAUGGAAUAUUUUAGGUUAGUAAUGCAGACCCUUAUCCAUUCGAUCCACUUCUGAGGGAAUCACAUAGCCAGCAUGGCAGCUUCCCGGAAUCCCCAGUCAACACUGUCGAACGCUUUCCUCAGGUAAAUUUGCACACACAUCCUGGCUUUCCCUUGCGGAAGGUGGAAUUUUUUUAGCAUAUCGUGACAAAGCAAGAUGUUAUCCUGGAUGCAUCGCCUUUGUUGUUUAUACCUAGCAGGAGCAGCAAAGACGAAGGCUGAAGCAUCACUAGAGGUAUCUAUUGAGCUUUCUCCUCUUUUUGCAUUAGCCCAGUCACUUCCUUUAUGGAAUGGGUUCACCAGCACGCGGAGGUAAGUAGUUUACUGACUCAGUUCUUUUACUAAAAAAGGAGAAGGGAAGGGGGUGCUAUGAAUAGAAAUUUUGAAUUGCAUAUGCUCUCGAUCGACCUAGGCCUAAAAGGAAUCCGGCUACUCAAUCGCCAGAGAUAGAAAUAAAAGAUCUAAGCUUGCUUUAAUCAUUCGAAAGCGAUGCUCAUUCCAGGGUUUCAAGGCUUGGAAAUAGAUCUUAUUUAAGACAAAAAGAAGUGAGCAUAACCAUCUUCAAGCUCCACCCCGGGAUUUUAGGUGUGAACUCACUUUAGGGAAAUGAGGCUUAUAACCAAUCGAUUCUUCACCCACGUAAGCUCGCCCUGUCACCCUCGCUCUGGUUCGAGAAUCAUGUCACCCUCGCUUUCCGCUUCUGGAAGAUCAAUGACUAAUAGAUAAAGGGCUGUGGAACUAUAGACAAUAGGCGGUAACCUCUCUUGAUCCGCGAGUAGAGCACUUGAACUACUCAGAAAGAGCUGGUUGGCUCAAUUCAAAUAGAAAGAAAAAUAGACACCCAUCUUCUUGGCGAGCUAAUCAGGAGACAUACAAAACCAGCAAUCCAAGUUUUGAAGGGAGGCGGCUGCCUGCAGUCACUAAAGGAAGGGGCUUGGUGGUCUUAUUUUAUUAUCUAUAAAAGAUAGCAUCUCUUCCUGCUGUUCGAAUCAAAACGAUUAGGGACAACCGCUCGCUUCGAGGCAGGUUAAAAAGCAUAGGCCAUAGCUUCUACCUCUCCUGGAUCAUUAUGCUCAUCUGGAAGCGGUUUUUGCUAGGAUGAAUGCUACUUCUAUGUAUUUCCCAUCGCAUUUUCAUAAGGUUUCAUAUCCUUCUUUUUCAAUCUUUUAAUGAUGCUUGCCAAUUCUAAUCCAGGGGAGCACUUAGAUCGCAGAUUUUCGCAAAACGACCUCGCGUAGCCAGUUCAGGUAUAAAUUUGAAUAGGUUUACCAAAAGUUUUCCCUAUUUUGAGAAGAACUUCACUGUCGAAGUACUCAAUAGGGAGCUCAGGUAAACGGAUCCAAAGCGCAGUUUUAGUGACCGUUGCCAAGGAAGGCCUAAAAUCAGGGUGCUUCGAAAAGUGAGAUAAUGGUUUGCUAUCAUCCAAGGUCCCCCAGUAAGAGCUCUUUUGUAAUCCUCCCCAUCAGUUAAGGAUGGUCGUGGCCCAGGUCAAUGAAGUCAACUCCCCACUUGGUCUCCACAUUUUAAAAAUUUUCUCAUGGAUAAAUUUGUACUAAACUUUCUUACCCAGAACCUUAACUAUAAGAAAGAGACUUCCUCCAUGGUUGAAAAAUUCUCCUUUUCUUUUAGUUUCCCCAUUACCAUUAAUGUUGAUCACAAGGGGACAAUUCGAAGGGCCCUGGUUAUGGAUUUGCUGCUGCUGCUCAUCUUCUUCCUACUCGUCUGAUUUAAAGCCUUCAGACUCCGGUUCCGAGAUCUCAAGAUAGUAUGAGCCCUUGUGCUGUACCUGCAUGAGAACGAACAUCACGAAAGGACAGUGGUUGAUUACCGUCUUCCUUUGAUCGCUUCCAUGGUCCGGGACUCUUCCCAAGGUCCGGAGGUAGCUCACAAAGGUCGCCAUUAACUGUUUCAGUCGUCACAGAGGUCGCCAUUCCUUAGCCCCUCAUUGGUUGUUAGGCAUUUGUCACUUCUUCUAUUUCAUUUCCAUAGCGAUUCACUCAACAUAGAAAAGCAACUAGAGCAGAGCUCGUAUCCGGCCUAAAGCUCUUGAACUAUAGGAGGGGUCUAGCAUACUGAAACAUAAAUGUAGCUAUAAAGCCUUUUUGAGCAUCUUCCUUGCGAUCUCCUUAUCCUAUAUCAGAACACUUUUUCACUUUUUUUUGCUAUCACAAUAAAUUGCCAUAGAUCGAAAGUGAGUCCAGGCUUAGUGCUUCCGCCUAUCCGGCAGCCGUUACCAGCUGUUCACCACUCCUCCCUUCUAUGCUCCGUGGGUCUUUUGUUACCUAAUUCCCUUAAACACGGAAUUGCUCCUAGUCUUUACCCAAGAGAUGUCCCUGAGACUCAAUAAGAAAAUUGUCUCUUUGCUUAGCUUAAGCACAAGAUUCGACAGUUGUGAUUCCGUCUUGGAUUGAGCUUUCUCACUCUUUCUAUGCCUCUUCCUGAAGUGAACGAAUACAUCUCUUUCUGACGUGAAUGAACGCGAUUCUCUAAUAAGACCCAAUCUUAUUGAGUCAAGUAGAAGAUUCUUGUAGAAAUUUUUUUUGAUUGACUUACUCCAACAUCAAGGUGGAUUUAGCUUGGAUUAAUAGAGAUUAAUAGAACAGACGGGAACUAAACAGAUAGGAAUGCCCGACACAAUGCGGCUACUAGAAAAACGUAUAUUAGAUACACCAUUUCUUUGUCACGUGCAUAGCCCUGCUCCUUGUCUUUGAAAGUCCGUAGCAAUGGACACUAUAUAAUUCCUUGUCGCUCUCGUACGCACCAACCCUUGCCUUGUCUCUCGAACCCUUGCUUCUCUCUUGUGCUCCCUAGAGCUAAGUAAGCAAUUCUCUCUCCUCUCUAGCCGUGGCCGCUAGGAAUUGCUUUCGCUCUUCUCUCUCUGGGGUGCUGGUGGUCGAUAGUUGUAUGUAAUGUUGAGGAAAGAGAUUCGGAUGAAAGAGGUACGACGGGAUAUUCCUCCCCGGUUCGGAACUAAACGUUGAGCGGCGGAUCAAGUAAAAGCUGGCAAUCCUCCACCUAACAACUCCUCCUUUACAGUAUCAGCUGUUAAUAAGCUCUAAUAGACAACCAACCCCAUCUAUUCUUGAUAAACCGGGGCACCUUUCCUAUGUGUCAGUGCCAUUUUUCUCUAAGGCUUAAAGUGAAUCUGUCAUAGCUUGUUGCCAGCAGAGCUGGCCCACGGCUUCCGAAAAGGUUUGAGGUUCCCGCAUGAACACUGGCAAGAAAGGCACGAUCUUUGGGAGAAAACGAGUUAUAGGAUCCAUAGGAUUUUUCAUGCGAGAAGACCUACGUACCUCAGUAGAGGGUAGAUAGGAUCUGGAGACAAGGAAGAUGAUGUAGAGGUAGUAGGUUGGCCAGCCUGAUCCAUCUCAGAUGCCUUGCACUUUUUUAGCGCCUAGUGUAAACCGGAGUGGCAGGUCGGCUAGAAGGAGACGGCUCCUCAGUGGGACCAGAUGAAGAAAGCUCCCCUUACUAGUAAAGGGGGUCCGAGGUUCAGGAUAUGAAAUAAAGCAACUUGACGUAACAGAAAAAAGCGUAAACCGAGUUGAAUCAUAAAAUCAAGUUUCAUCCCCAACUGAGGAAAUGUAAUUGUUAAGGUCGGUAACCUGUGGCUACCUCAGGACUAUCUGACUACACUACUUGCGUUAAGGCGCUGAAGCCGGAGUUUUCUUGGUAGGGGUUAGCUUAUUCCCAGACGAACCAGCCCAGUAAGAGAGAUUCCCCCAGACACCAAUACCUGCGGGAACUAGUAGCCACACUACGGCGUAUGAGAAAUUCCCUGACGGCUUCCCUUAACCGUAGGCCACAGUUGCUUCCUUCGCUCUUGAAUCUAAAACCAUAUCUGGUUUCGCCUCCCCUUGGAGCGACCCUUCCGAAACAGCAUUCUAGCAACUUCGUUUUCAUCCAGCGUUCUCACCAACCAGUGAGCCGUCACAGAGUCUCCCGCUAACUCAUGCCAAACCCUUAUGAAGGUAUCCGACUUUUUCCAAUUCUUUGUGACUUCAUCAGUCUAGCAAUAGCAGCAUGCCAGUAUUUUGCCCUAACUACGAAGCUUGAGUCAUGUCUUCGCCCGUGAACGCAACAGGACGCGGUCGUCUAACUCGACUUCCGCAGCGAGUCUCAUUGCAGCUCUCUCCUGCAGUAGUGAAUUUUUUUUUAUUUUACUUCAAAGAUUUUUUUUCUCACAAGAUGCUUGUUUUGCAGAGGGGUGAAAGUUUUGAAGAAAUAGAAGAAGAAAGAAAGAGUAGUAGCCAUGAUCGAUUUCCUCUGCGCAGGAGCUUGGGAUUUGAGAGUAAGCAUGACUCUGAGAAGAUCUCUGAUUGUGAUCAAUUGGGUCUCACUCAAAUCUUGGUAAUAACGAAUGACUUGCUUGAUUUCUCUGCAUCGGCUCGUGAAAUCUUGGAUGAUCUUAUCAAGUUCAAUUGAACUAAGAAUGUCGAUUGCUCUGUCGUAAUAGUUUGUGGUCACUCCAAAGCUUCCAUGGCGGAAUCAGUACCCCCCUCCACUGAACUACGGAUGCCUGUACGCAACCCCAUGAAGCAACCGAAGAUCCAUUGAUCGCUUUUUCGACACCCGUAAUUUUCCUGUAAAAGAAAGAAAAUCCCGGAAACUCAGAUUCUUCAUUGUUGAAAAAUCUUAUAAAAAUAAGUAAUUUAGGAAUUUUCAUUACUGGGAACACGUCGCUAGCCUAAGGCGGGCUUCGCUAUCCUCCCGAAGCUGGUAUUUUCCAAUGUAAUGGUUUUUGACCACUCACUUAUAUGAGUACAAGGGGCUUGACUAUAUUUUUUUUACUUUAUGUAAUUAAGUUUAGCUGGAGGGUCCAUCUAGCCACCCUAAUUAACCCGGUUGAGGAUAACACAUUAUUAAAUCCGAAUGAUGAUUUCAUAAUCAAUCAUAGAGGUGUGAAAUGGCGUCUUUUCAGAAGUCAGAUAGCCCUUGAAGGUGUUAGCGCACACCCUUUUUCUAUCAUAUAAAUUUAGCUCCGAAGGCAACCCGUCGCGUCCUCGUCACGGCGUUAGCAGCCAUUGACGAUUAUUGAAGACUAAGCUAGUUGGCCUAGAAUGGAGCGCAUACUACUUCUUUGAAAUCGCGAACAUCUUACUCUUACCUUUCUUCUUAGUCUGAUCCGGGAGUGUUGGACAUGAGGUACAAUGAAAUCGACAAUCUUGUGGUUCCUCAAGGUAAACAAUUAAAAUAUUAUUCAAUUACAUUAUUUUAAUUCAUUUGAUUAGGGAAGGCCAAAAAGGUCCAAAAUAAUAAUAAUAAUAAUAAAGAAACAAAUAAUUUGUAUUAUUUAAAAAACAGAAUGUAAUAAAGAUUUGAUUCCAGUUCUUUAAUCUUUAAAGCGAUUGAAAAACAAUGUUGGACUUUUCCCAAAGCAUAAAAUACGAAUUGAAUGCCAAUUAACUUAAUCAUUCAUUUCGUUUAGCUCUAAAUUUAGACAAUGAAUUUUUAUAUUAUUUCAAAAACAGGACGUAAUAGAAUUUUUUUUAAAAACAGAUUGUAAUAAAGAUUUUAUUCCAAUUCUUUAAUCUUUACUGCGAUUGAAAAACGAUACUACUUCCCAAAGCAUAAAAUACGAAUUGACUCCCAAUUAAAUUAAUCAUUUAUUUUGUUUAGGUCUAAAUUUUAGAGGAAUGAAUUUUGAUUCUCUUCAAUCUUUUCUUAAUUAUUAUUAAUAAACAGGUUACAGAGGUUUGAGGAAGCUGAAAAGCCUUGAUCUAUCGGGAGUUGAAAUUAGAGAUGGAAGCAAGUUGUUACAGUCAAUGGGAUCAUUCCCAUCCCUCAACACUCUUUACCUGAAGGAUAAUAAUUUUACCGAUAUAGCGACAACUACUACUCAAGGUAAGUAAAAGGUACAGAUGUGGCCAAAUUUAUAAAUAAAUUGUUAAUUAAUUAAUUUUUCCAUAUUAUUAAUUAAGCUAAAUUUGCUAAAUAUAAACAAACAGAGUUGGACAAUUUCACCAACAUGGAAUAUUUGAGAUUGGACUUUUCCUCUCUCCAUAUAAGCCUUCUGCAAAGCAUUGCAUCAUUAUUCCCUUCGUUAAAAAAUCUGUCGAUGUCUUUCUGUGAAGUCAAUGGUGUCGUACGCGGUCAAGGUAAAAGAAAAGUGUUGAUUGUGAACUCACUCACUGGUGUCCUAUGUGUUCAACAUUUUUAUUUAUUUAUUUUAUUGUUUAAUGUUUCUGCUAGGUUUUCCUUAUUUCAAGAGUUUGGAACAUUUUGACAUGGAUGACACGCCCAUUGCACUCAACACCAGUUUUCUUCAAAUCAUUGGUGUAUCGAUGCCUUCUCUUAAGUACUUAUCACUGUCAGAUUCUACUCUUGGCACUAACAGCAGCAGGAUUCUUGAUCAAGGUUAAUCAGAUGCUCCCACCCUCCCUUCUUAAUCUAUAAUAUUAAUUUUCAAUUAAAUAUUUAAUUACACAAACGAAUCACUUAUUAUAAAAGAAUAAUACUCAUUCAUUAAUUUUUAUAUUGUAUUAAUAAUUGAUGAAUUUAAUAAAUUUUUAGGCCUCUGUUCGUUGAUGCAUCUGCAAGAGUUGUACAUUUAUAAUAAUGAUUUGAGAGGCAGCUUGCCUUGGUGCUUGGCAAAUAUGACAUCCCUCCGAAUAUUAGAUGUUUCUUCCAAUCAACUUACUGGAAGCAUCUCCUCAUCUCCCCUCGUUCAUUUGACAUCCAUUGAAGAGUUGUAUCUUUCAAACAAUCACUUCCAGAUCCCAAUUUCACUUGAACCACUUUUCAAUCAUUCAAGACUCAAGAUUUUUUAUGCUGACAACAACGAACUAAAUGCAGAAAUAACUCAGUCACAUUCUUUGACCGCCCCAAACUUCCAAUUAUCACAUCUCUCAUUGUCUUCCGGUUAUGAAGAUGGCGUCACAUUCCCCAAAUUCCUUGACCAUCAACAUGACCUGGAGUAUGUUGAUCUCUCACACAUAAAGAUGAAUGGAGAAUUUCCAACUUGGUUGUUGGAAAACAACACAAAGUUGAGACAACUUUCUCUCGUCAAUGAUUCUCUUGCAGGACCUUUUCGGUUGCCAAUUCAUUCACACAAAUGGUUAAGAAUGUUGGAUAUAUCCAACAACAACUUCCGAGGCCACAUUCCAGUAGAAAUUGGAGAUGUUUUACCAAGUUUAUACGUUUUCAACAAUUCCAUGAAUGCUUUAGAUGGUAGCAUUCCCUCUUCAUUUGGUAAUAUGAAAUUCCUCCAAAUUCUGGACUUAUCCAACAAUCACUUGACUGGUGAAAUCCCCGAGCACUUGGCCGUCGGUUGCGUCAACUUGAAGUCUAUUGCAUUGUCAAAUAACAACCUACAAGGUCACAUGUUCUCUAGAAAUUUUAACUUGACAAACUUGAAAUGGUUACAAUUGGAGGGCAAUCGCUUCGUAGGUGAGAUCCCACAAAGUUUGUCUAAAUGCUCCUCACUAGAAGGAUUGUAUCUUAAUAAUAAUAGUCUUUCGGGUAAGAUUCCACGAUGGUUGGGUAAUCUCACAUGGUUACAACAUAUUAUAAUGCCCAAUAAUCAUCUUGAAGGCCCUAUUCCAGUGGAGUUUUGUCAGCUUGAUUGGCUUCAGAUUUUGGACAUUUCAGACAACAACAUAUCUGGAAGUUUACCAUCUUGUUUCCAUCCUCUCUAUAUCAAACAAGUUCAUCUUUCAAAAAAUAUGUUACAUGGACAGCUAAAAAGAGGUACAUUCUUUAAUUGCUCUUCCCUUGUGACAUUAGAUCUUAGCUAUAACCGCUUGAAUGGCAGCAUUCCAGAUUGGGUUGAUGGGCUUUCUCAGUUAAGCCACCUUAUCUUAGGUCACAAUAAUCUUAAAGGUGAAGUGCCAGUUCAAUUGUGCGAAUUGAACCAACUACAAUUGUUAGAUCUUUCUAAUAAUAAUCUUCACGGUCCUAUUCCUCCUUGCUUUGAUAACACCACACUUCAUGAAAGUUACAGCAAUAGUUCUAGUCUUGAUGAGCAAUUUGAAAUAUCUUUUUCCAUCAACGGCCCUCAGGGAGGUGUAGAAAAGCAAAUCCGUGAAAAUUUUGAGUUCACAACAAAGAACAUUGCGUACAUUUACCAAGGAAAAGUGCUUAGUCUCCUAUCAGGACUUGAUCUUUCUUGCAACAAGCUAAUUGGUCAUAUUCCCCCUCAAAUUGGAAAUUUGACAAGGAUUCAAACAUUGAAUCUAUCACACAACAACUUGACAGGAUUGAUCCCAUCAACAUUUUCAAACUUGAAGCAAAUCGAAAGUUUGGAUCUUUCCUACAACAAAUUGAAUGGGAAAAUCCCUCAUCAACUUGUGGAGUUAAAGGAAUUAGCUGUUUUCAGUGUGGCAUACAAUAACUUAUCAGGCGAAAUUCCAGAAUGGAAAGCACAAUUUGCAACCUUCAACGAGAAUAGUUAUGAGGGAAAUACUUUUCUUUGUGGACUGCCAUUGCCCAUUUGCAGAUCACGAGCAACUAUGUCGGAGGCGUCAAUCGGCAAUGAACGAGAUGAUAAUUUAAUUGACACGGACAGUUUCUUUAUCACAUUUACAACAUCGUACGUAAUAGUGAUAUUUGGAAUUGUUAUUGUUUUAUAUGUAAAUUCUUAUUGGCGACGUAGAUGGUUUUACUUUGUUGAAAUGUGGAUAACUUCAUGUUAUUAUUUUGUUGUAGACAAUCUUAUUCCAACAAGAUUUUGUCAUUGAAAUUAAUUAGUAGCUUAAUUACGAUUCUUUAAGUACUAAUCAAGUUUGGUUAGGAAAUAAAUUUAUUUUUAUUUUUUAUUAAAAUUGUAGUAGUAUUUAGCGUUAUAUAGCUUCCAACUUCCAAGCACUUCACAUUUGUCUCCACACUUCCAAACCCAUAUCUAUCCACCAUAACUUAUACUUCCCUAUACUGUGCAGCAUACUUAAAUAAGAGAACCAUCUCCAAUUUUAAAAGCAGCCACUCUAUAACAUUCAUUUAGAAACUAUAUUCAGAAUAGUUUUAUAAUCAUACACAAGAAAUGAAACACCUAGAUGCACUUGAUCGCCUAUUUUACUUUAAAAAAUAAUGAUUAUGGUGCUAUCAUCAUCUUCUUCGCUAGCAACAUUAACACCAAAUCCAGCGAUGGACCCAGACAUUUUAUCAAGAAAGGUAUAUAUAUAAUAAAGUUGAAGCUUGACAAAAAAUUUAGGAAGAUUAAUGCCUCGCCACAACAAGGGGCAGCACAACAUCAAAGUAGAGAUGAAGCAAUAUUCUCAAAGCUAAAACUCUCAAAUCCACCCACCAGAAUUUCAUAUCUCCUCAACAAUUUUAAGAACUAAAGAUAAUUAGGAUCUAACAUUAGUUUUUUAUAUAUUAGUUUCAUAAUUUACAAAUCAAUGAAGAUGAAGAUUAUGCUAAUGAAUUCAAAUUAUACCAUACAUUCUCGAGAUGUUACCAAAAAUUUCUAAGUCAAUCCCACAUAUUUCAUAAUUUUAAGACUAGAAAAUUUCAUUAGUUAGAAGUUUCAUUACCUUCAAGUGGAAGAUGAAGAACAUUAUACAAUUGAUUCAGAUUAUAUCAUACACACUCCAAAUGCAACUAGAAAUUAACAAGUUCAUGCGCACAGAUUUCAUAACAUUAUGAAUGGAAAGUUUCACAAAGAGAAAUUCUAAAUUCAAUCUCUUGCAUCGAGGUAGUUUGAUUGAUUUGAGUUACUUUCUGAUCAAGCUAUUAAUAUAACAUUCAAGUCAGGGAGAAAGUAAAUUAAAACUGGGAAGAAAUAACAGUAAAAAUUUGUUGCUAAACAUGAUGUGUAUUUUUUUUUUAAGGCAAUUUGGAAACACAGUUGUUACUACAGAUAUUCUCCUCAACUUAGAGAUAAAUACAAAUAUUAAAAUGCAUAUGAUCGCACAUAGUACUUGGAGCUUAGUAAGAUUUCAUUAAGAGAAGCAAUCAAACCACUUAUCAAUUGUUGCAAUCGUUCUAUAAGCUAAAAUAGCAAUAUAAUACAAGAAAAAGAACAUAUAGAUACUUGGCAAGAGUUCAUUAAGAAGUCGCAUCACAUUCGGGUGAGGAGUUUGCUUCUGAUAUCUUGCUAGCUGGGGCUUUUUCUUGUCUUUCUACGUAUGCCGAGGGAAACCAACCAGCUUGGCCCUUGCAUUCACCUUCCGACCAUCCAAUAGGAGCCACCUUGAGAAGUUAUAACUAAAACGGUGAAUUAAACAAAAGUUGACCGUUCAAAGACCUAAGGGGAAAACUAAUUCUUUUACGUAGGAGGAGUGAAUUAGUUGUGAUCACUGAAAUAACAGCUUAACUAUGGAAGCAUAACAAGAUAUAAAUUCACACGUCUAUAAGGGUAAACUGGGUGGUUUAGAACUGAGCUAGCAACCCUACUAUAUUCUGAUUUGCACUUCAAUGUAAAAGGGAAUAUAUGGUAGGAAGAAAGAAAACCAACCAUCAUUUGUUAACUCAUUGCUUUUCAAUCAAAAUUUUAAGAACCAAAUGCCAUGUGCUUUGAACAUCAAAUAAGUAUAAGCAUUAGUUCUAAAUUCCACAUAUCAUAAGUUAGAAGGAUAAGUUAAUAGCAUAGUAGAAAAAUCUGUGUUGUUAUUUAGAGGGGAAAGUACCUGGCGAACCACAACAUAAUCAUCAAUUGAAAGACUUAGCUCUCCAUUUGCUUGUGCAUCAAAUGGAUGCAUAACCUGCAAGAUAAUGGGAUAAAUAGAACUUAAUCUUAAAAAAAGCAUAACAAAAGCAGCAACAGUACCAGCAACGUUCAUUGUAACCACUAUGAUCAUGGCCAACAAAGAUAUAUUAGAAACAAAAUUCCAUUUUUACUAUGAUAUCAUGACGAUUGGGUUACCAAGAGCUAUCAAAGUCCAAUAAGUUCUGUAUAACUUUAUGUAGUUAUUCAAAUUAUGUAUCAGAUUUUAAAUCUGAAAUUUUGACUGCUCUCCACAAAACAUGGCCUAUGCACAAGAAAUUCAUAGAUAAUGAGGAUUGCAAGUGUCUGACAUCUUUUGAGUGAUGGAUUUAACAUGAGAGCUUAUGGUCAGUCAAUUUCCUCUGCCUAGCAAUAUAAGCUUUCUCGGCCAAAUUUAUCAUCAAAUACAUAGAUUGCCCCAAGUCAAAUCCAUAUAAACAUAGUUUUUCUAGGUAAACCAAGCAAGGAGAAUCAUAAUUCAGACAUAAUCAUAAAAAGGCCCAUCUAACUUAAGAGAAAAUCUCAAAAAGAGGGAUGUUGAGCUAUCAGUCUUGUAUCCAUAAGGAAUGUCAAGACUUUACAUCACCUGCUACAUCGUGAGUGGCUACACAACUUUCAGUGGUUUGUCUUUCUUUGGCAUGCCUAACUCAGCUUUGAUGUUGCUGAGAUAUUGAUAGUAGAGACACAUGAGACUUCUAGCUCAUGCAUUCUAUCUAGCUCAUCCGACAGCUAUCUCUUUUUUAAUUCAUUAGUGUUUGCUAAGCCACAUGCUUAAAAGUCCUGUUGUUCUAAACAAAGUUUCCUAAGAAUGACUUCCUCAGCACCACAUUUGGACAUUUUUAGAGCAAUUUUAUUUGGGGGAAAAGAAUUUUCAAGGUGUUAACUAAUAAAUUUUAAAAAAUAAUUACAAUUUGUCCUACGAUUAUAUGACAAUUUAUCUGGGAUGAAAGGAUAUAGACAGACAUCUUCCACUUUCAAGACUAAUCACUACUUCCGUAGAUGUUUUGCAAUAAUACAAAUACUUGACCAGAUGGUAGUGAUGGUAGAAAAAAAUUUUAUUGCUCCAAAAUUAAAAUAAGAAUGCAAUGUGUUAAGCAAAAGACUAUGCAACAUCAAAUUAAUUGAUAAGUUUGUAAUUCAGUAAAUUAACAACUUUCAUGGUAAAAUACAACAAAUUUCUUUUCAAAAAAAAAAAAUCUUAAAAGACAGCAUUCAAUUUUGUGCGCAUCUUAUUUCUUAAGAUUUUCUAGGAGGGCAAUAGAGGGACUUUCACCUAUGCAAGAGAGCAGAAGCCUUACUUUCGCUAUAAAGUAGACGUCAUUCUGAUUAAUAUGCGUUUGCAAAUCAGCUCCAUUUGAAUCAGUAUUCUGAUAGACACAUGAGGCAUUUACAUCCAUUUCCAAAGUCACAUGUUGCGAGGAGGACUCAUUUGAUUGCUCCUCUAGGAUCAUCUAAUUCAAGUAGCAAGGGUUGGAAGAGAAUAAAAAGUCACAAUUAUUCUUUUGCAUAAGUGAGACGAAAAUGAUAUAUGCAAUAUUAUCAGCAGUAAACAAGAAGAGAACACUCCAAGGAAUAGAUAGAUGCGGACAAGCAAGUUAAAAUGCACAGUUCCAAACCUCCGCAUACAACUUCUCUGAAAUAGCAAUAACGUGUUGAUGAUAUGUUUUCUCGGCAUCUACCUGCAAAGGCCCGAGACCAGGAAAACAACAAUAAAACCACUAGCUAAAGGAGAAAGUAAAGAAAGAAAUACACUUGACAUAAAUCUUGACAAGAAGCACAAUUUAAGACAUAACAAACCCCAAUCAUAUUGUUUAGAACUACCAUUCGUUAUUUCGUUAUUGUAGCAUUUCGAACAAGUGUUGACUUAAUUCAACAUUGUUGGAAAGAUAGGCUUUUAGAAGCGGAAGAAAGCCACUCAAACCAAAGUGAUUCUUAGGAUGAGUUUUAAUCACUCCCCUGAUUUAUUUGGGUUGCAGUAAAACUAAGCGAGCAACUGUUUGACUUUCAAGCAACAUCUAAAUCAGCUAUUAAAAUUCAAAUAAAAUUAUAAUUGAAUAAUAACUGGCCAUCUUGCAUCAAAAAUUAAGUUUAAUUUGUGAUUUUUUUUCUAUAGACAUGUUAGUUCCUGCUAUUGAAAUGUUAAAAGCAUUGAAAAAUUAUUCAAUAAAUUAUGCAAACAUUAAAAUAGAGGACAUAUUAAAAAGUUUCUAAUUACAAUGUUAAGAUUUCCUAUAUUUUAGCAUUUGCAUAUUUUAAUUUAUUUAAAAGCUACGUCGAUCAACUUUGGGAGUGAAGAUUUUAGCUUCUACGAGACUUGAUUGGAAUAUGCAUAAGGAAGAGUGUUAAAAUAUGAUGCAUCCAACGAAAGACAAACCACGUGUAGUCUUUUAAUUAAGCCAAAGUAGCAGCUCAAACAAAUGACACUUGGACCAACAUGCAAUCAUGAAGUGGCCGGAAAAAGGACAAAUGCAACUUUGGCUUAAAUAAAAAAUAACAUGUGACUUGACUUUUGCCGGACAUGCAUCAUGUUAUUACAAGACAACAGAAAUCAGUAUGAUAGUACUAAAAGUUGACAAUAACAUGAAGAUAAGAGGCAGAAUGUCAACACAUGCAUAGGCACACACAAGAAAGUAUUAACUUAUAUACCAUAGCAAAAAGUCUUUGAUAUGCAUCUGUUGCUGCAGUGAUUCAACUGACAGCAUGGCAGCUGUUCCUUCUCUACCAAGAGCCAUUAUUGUAGAUUUAAGCUCGGUCAAUCUUGCUUCUGCAUUUCGAAGCUUCACAGCACUCUCUGCUGAUAUAUCAGAUUCCUUAAUCUUUGAUCGGCGCCUAAAUACUUCAGCUGCCUGGUGAAAAUAUUCAAUAUAAAUCUAACAUAAUUCUAAUCUUGCCUUAUACAUGCAUAUGUUAACUCAAAGCUUACCUGGGCUUCAACUUCAUGUCGAAGCUUGUCAUAACGAUGAGUCAGGUGUCGAGCAUCUUCCAAAGGUGCUCCGUUGAUUAACGCCCGUAGUGGCUCAGAUACCUACAUGUCCAAAAACCUGUAACAUAGUUAGAAAAAUGAAAAGAAAGAGCGAAACCUCAAUUAAAAAGUUCCUCCAACAUAAUCAUGGAAUUUGGGCCUACUUCAAGGAUAUAUAUAAGGAUAAUUUAUGCAAUUUUGGGUCUUAGGAUGAUUCAUAUUAGGUUAGUGUUCUUCUCUUCUGUAUUUAAGGUUAAAAUAGAAAUAAACCUAUGAAAAUAUCUAAAUUAGGGCUGUAAGACUUCCACAUGCAUCCUUCAGUCUCAUGGAUUUGAUUUUACUAUAGAUGCAAGUGUCUUUAUUGAAAAUGCUUGGAGUCAAUUGAGAGAACUCACGGCCAAUAACUUGUCACACGCUAGUCUUUGCUAGUGAUGUAAGAAGUCACAAGGUCUCUUCAGCAUUUGAACCAAUAAAAUUAUUAAGUCAUGGAUGUCACUAGCAAUGAUUUUAAUAUAAAACAUUAAAUAUUUCAGAGUUGUAACUUUAAAAUGGAUUCUUUUAUUCAAUAUCUUAGAACUAAGUUUCCUUAUGAGAAGAUAAUAGUUUCAGUAGUAAUUUACAUAUAAUUUUCUAUAUUUGAAUUAUUUUCUAGUUAGGGAUGAACUAACCUGAUCACGAAGAAUCCCAAGCAAAGUUUCCCUCUCAUUUUCCAUCAAAUCAUGUGAAGUGCCAAAUUGAAGAGCAGCUCUUGCAACGCAAGAAUUGUCACUUUGAUUCUCCGCUCCAUACUUGCAACAAUCUUCGGCCAACUUUCUCGCUACAAUAUUUGAAUACAAAAAUAUUGUACACAAGAACUAGUCAAGAAAAUUAAAAAAAAAAUCAAAUAUUAAAACGAGAGCAAGAGCAAACAAACAACCUAUUUCCAUUUGUUUCAAGUUUACUGCAACAAACACUUCAACGCCACGGACAACAUUCCAUUUGUUUUAUUCUUCUUAUACUUUACGCUUGCAUCAGCCUCAAUCACUUCUUAAUCGCUUGCUUUAACUGCAUCGCUCUCUCUGUGCUCUUCUAUAUAUGUAACGGUUAUGCGGUUGUAGUUCACGGCUGAGGCUACGUGUGGGUUUGACGUGGCAGUUACGUUACAAGGGGAUAAAUAAGAUUGGUUACAACAAACCCACUAAUUUUAUAAAAUUCGAGUAAUAUAGAAUAAAAUAAAAAAAUAAAUACAAAAUUGGCUUUUAUUUUGUAUGGUUGACUGUAUUUUGUGUUCUCUUCCGGCACUACUACAAUUGUUCCCUAUAUAUUAGUCACACCCAUAUAUCAUUAACACAAGAAAUGAAAUCUAAUGUCACCUACUUAGUUAAAGAAUCACUCAUGAAAAAUUUUUACCAUUUUGAUUUGAGGAUCCAUAUUUUGAACUGCAAGCUAAUGUUCAUCAAGAAUCACUGAUGUUCAUAAAAAUCAGAGUAUGGCCGUUGAGUAGAAAAAUUAUUUUUGGACAAAUUAUUUUUGUUGAUAGAAUCUGCCACUUUCUCAUGAAGAAAGGCAUGCGGAGCAUACCAUGGUACCAUACGGAGAAUGUUAGAACCACCCUAGAAUAUCUUUACCCUGAUGUUUCUAACAAAAAUCUGCAUGUGGCAGCAAUUACUAGAUCUACAAUUUCCCAAAUAAUAUUUUGUGUUUCUUAAAAAAAAUUGAAAUACAUAGUUGCAAUUGCACACCGUGAGACAGUGCUACAAUCUACUGAGAUCUAAAUUAUAUGAGACUUUAAGCUACUAAUGUUUGCAUAUUUCUACAUGUCAAAUUAACAUUACCAUCUAUAAUCCGAAACGACAGAUGAUAAACGGCUUUUGGCCACUUAUUACUAGCAUCCACAAUUAAUUUUUGUUCAGCAAUCAGCUUAUUUUAUAGAAAUUGAUUUAGUCAGCAACAAACACUAUAAUACUUGAAAUUAGUUCUUGUUCUUUGUAAUUUUCUAUGAUUUUUCAUAUAUCAAUUAAUCUGCAGUGCCAAGAUGAGGUUUAGUUUUCAAACUAAAUAAUCAAGUAAGCAAAAAUACAAAUUCAGAGAUUAGCGGGGUAAACUAGCUGGGUGGUUUAGAACUGGGCUAGCUACCUCCCUGUAUUCCUAUUUGUAAGGUGAAUUAAUUGAAUCAUGAGAAAACAAUGUGACCAUAGCUCAAUAUGAGAUGAUUUCGGAGAGGCAUAUUGUUUUCGAGUGAAUUUGAUCCAUUAAGAGAUGAAGUGGAUUGAAGUGGAAAGUUUAAAUAACAAAUCCUUGUUCUUGAGUUUUACGACGUCGUUACUCCUUCAGGUGGCAGAUUAUGCAAGUGAAUUCAAAAACACAAUGCAUCAAUCACGGGGACAAAAGACGGGAUCACAGUCUAUGCAUUGAACAGUUACAGUUGCUGCUACCAAUUGUUCGGCAAAGAUCAAGAAGACUGAACGGGAAGCUAAUGCCAUCAAUGUCGUCUUCACUAUAUCUGCUGGGAAUGUAGGUGAACUUUCCUCAUUUGCAGCUGUCUAUACAUAGGCUUUUCCCCAGCUUAAGUACAAAUAAAUGAAGCUGCCUUGAAGGCUUUAUUAUUGACCCCAAUAAGGAUUACUAAUUGAAGAAGACUAUACGGAGUUAAUCUCACAUUUUAGUUCUCUCAAUUUCUUUCAGAAGUGCCUCUGAAAAUAGCUGCCAAACCGUUAGUCAGCUUGUAUACUCUGUUUUCUGGAAACAGAGUAGCAUAUUUAAUCGUUUUAAUUGAAUUGUCUUCGUAGCGAUCAUCAACAAACUCAUCAUAAGAUUUUUGAAGCACCCAAGGACUAUCACUGGGUUUCUCUUCUGGUUGAUUUAUUAAUUAAUCAAAGAACGGUUGGAUGAAGUGCAAUGAUGGAGCAAAAUUUACAAUGUCUCCGGUUUCUCCUGACCAUCGGACUUUUGCAGUGAGAACAUAUAACAAAAAGACCUUCAUCAAAAUUUGUAGACUCCGGGUAUGGAUUGGAUCGAGUUUUUUGUUUGAUAUUGAAGAACCACUUUACUAUCGCGAUAUAGAUUAUGUGCAAGGGGUUGUCUACUGUUCUUUGCCUUGUGCUAUGAUCGGUGCUUUUGACGUUGCCCCGAAACAGUGGAAAAUACUUCGAUUUCCUCCGUUUGAUGAUGCAAAGAACUGGUUAAUGUACGAUUACCUAAUUGACUCAGGAUCAAGUAACAACAACAAUUUAUUAAUAGUAGUAUCACAAACGAAGAAGAUUUCGGAGAGGGUGAUGUAUGCCUAUACCGUUUACAGGUUUGAUCCACAGGGGAUGAAGUGGUCUCAAGUGGAAAGUGAUUUAUUAAACAACAAAUCAUUGUUCUUGGGUCAUACCUCAUGAUGUCAUCAAGUGGAAGAUGAAGAUUAUGCAAGACGAAGAUCGUUUGAUAUUGAAGAAUUUGAACAGAAAGCCCAUAGAAAGUACUUAAAUAAGCAUAUUCUUGUUGGGGUAGAAUAUUAAGAAAGGAGUUGUCUACUGUGUGUUGCGUGAUUAGGCUAUGAUCUGUGCUUUGAACAUUGCCCUCAAAACAGUGGAAAAUACUUCAUAUCCUCGACAUGAUGAUGAAAAAUUGGUUACCGAUUACCUAAUUGACUCAGUGACAACAAUCUAUUAAUAGCACAAUUUGGCGUGAUGCCGUUUAGGUAUAUGGUUUUCAAGUUUGAUUCAUCAGUGAUGAAGUGGACUAAAAUAAGAUGUUUAAAUGAUAAGUCAUUGUUCUUGGGCAUAUCGUCAUUACUACUUCUAGUGAUCAAAGAUGAAGAUGAAGAUGAAGAUGAAGAUGAAAAUUGUGCGAGUUCAAGAUUACCAUCAACUCAAUUUUAUGAUUGGAGUGUCUCACCGUGACUCAGACAAAUUCUGAUUCAACCUCCUUCACCAAUGGAUUUUGAUUAGUUAUUUUGUGAUCAAGCAACUUAAUUAAACUCACAGUUUGUUAGUCUAAUUUUAGUUUUACUGUGACCACUAUUCAAGGUAAGCGAAAGUUACAGAUGUGGCAAAAUCAAUAAUUAAAUUCAUAAAAUGUUAAAAAAUAAAACUUAUAAAUUUUGCAUGACUACUUACUAAUAAAUAAAUAAGUUAGAAUGUAGUUAGUUAAUUUUACACCAUAUUAUAUAUUAUUCGAUAAUAAUAUAAAAUAAAAAGAAUUAAAAAAUAAAUAAUUGAAUAAACAAAUAUGACUUUCUAAACAGUAAAAAUUCUAGAGUUAAAAUUUAUAUUAUUAUUUUAUUUUUUAAAAUUGACAUAUUUCUAUUAUCUUACAUGUACACAGAUUUUGAGAGUUGAGAAGAAUAUAUUUAAUGAAGCUUGCUAACAUUUGGUGGGAUAGCAAGUAAGGGUAAAUAAGAUUUUUUUGUUAUUUAUUUGAAUUAUAUCUAUUUUGUUCAAGUUAAAAUACUAAAUAUAAAUUGGAGGUAGACAUUUUAACAGAUCAUCUAAGCUCUCAAAUCUGAAAUUUUGUGUAGAUUUAAAUUCAUAAUUUUAGUUAAUUUUCAUACAUUCAUAUAAACAAAUUUAUGAGAUUUUUCUUUUCAGCAUGUUAUAUUUUGAAACUUUCAAUGUAUUAUUCUAGCUUUAUUUAAAUAAUUAAUUUAUUUAAAAUUUAUUUAAUUUUGAAUUUGAUCAAUAGUAAAAUUAUUUUUAUAUCAAAUUUUUUUAUUUAAAUAGUUCGUGGAUUGGACAAAAUUAAAAAUUUUUAAUCCACAAAAUGGUGGAUUAGAUAUGAAUUGGGUUAAAUACACAUUCGAUCCGCAGUCGUAUGAAUUUGAUUUGGAUUGAAUUUCAUCAAUCCAUGGAUUAGAUUGGAUUGAAAAAUUUAUUAUCCGCAAAAUCGUGGAUCGAAUAUGGACUGAUGUCCAAUCAGCAAAAUCCAAUCCCCGAACACUCCUCUAUCAAAAUUUUCAAGAAUAUUUUUUAUCUUACAAAUUUUUUUUAAAGUCAUAGUCUAAGGGCGGCCCAAUUUCUACUCCAUCCAUAUAAGCGGAGUUCAAAUCUCAUACCUCUUAUCUCCACACAAGAGAUUUAACCAAUUGAAAUAGCUAGCACCCACAAGUAUACUAGUACAGCAUCUCUUAACGUUUAACAUACGUAAAAUUAACGCCAUAGCUAUUGAUAAACACAUUGUUCAAUAUAUAUGAUCAAGAAUCUGAUCCUGCGAGCAACAGCAGUCAGAAGAACCAUUAUAAUGCCUAGCUCUUAUCCUGGUUAAUCCUCUGGCCCGAUGCUUCAUCAUAGUGAUUUAAAAAACCAACAACAGCUCUCUAAAAGAGAUGAAGAUAUCAUCUACGUAAAGAACAUGAGACGGAGAUUCACAACCCAUAAGAACUGAGAUAAAUUGGACCAGACCAGUAAUCUUGAGAUAAGUUAAACUGUGACUUAAGUUGAAAUCAGAGGACAGGAAUUUUAAAAUCUUUCGGCUAAGCCCCUGAGGAAUUUUCUAGAGUACGACUUCUGCUUACCUCUGUUUAAUUUCUCUUUAUAUUUUUCUUUCAUUUCAUUAAUAAAGUCAAAUAAUAAAUCAAAGAACGAGGGAAGAUUUUUCCAAGUCAUGCAUUAUUUGAUUACCAUCAAUCAAGAAACCGACCAAAUUAAUUUCUCUCCGUGAUUUUUAAAAAUUAAAAAAAAAAUAUUUGAGCAUAACAUCAUUAAUUAUAGAGUGGAUCAAACUGCGUUAAUCAUGAACUUUGUUGUGUUAAUUAUUUCAAUCCCCGAUUACGCAAUUUUUAAAUUAUAGCCUAACGGUGGUCUCAUCACCACGUGUGUGAUUUUCUUUUGCCAAUAGGAUCUGUAGAGAGCUUGAUCUCACCCAAUAGCAAAAUAAACUUCCUAAUAAGUGAAGGCAUAGUAUAAAUAAUUCACCCCCAUAUUAUUUAUUAGCAGCUUGAUUAUUUUAUAUGCAUCUUUGAUUUAAAUUUUUUUUUCCCAUAAUUGCUACUAUGUUCGAACUGGUCAUGAAUUAUCUAUAAGAUUUUUCAUGUUGCUUUUAGGUGCAUUGGAUUUUUUUUAGUUUAGUGCAAGAGUAGAGGAAGGCAAAUUAAGAAAAAGGAUAAAGAUCUAUGAUUAGCUAUUUUGGGAUGUCUCAUAACAUAUUGAUGGUAACAUUAUACAUAUGUAUAUCUAAAUAAUGGGGUUGGAUCAAGAGCCCAUUAAUAAUCAUAGAUUAGCUUAUAUAGCAAUUUCACAAGCACAUGUUAGCCUAUGUUGAGCUUUAUUAUCAAUAGUUCAUAGUUCAUCGGUGCACUGCAGGUUUACUAUUUGAAGUAAAUGUUAUGGUGCGUGCAUUUUUCAUAAGGCCAACCGCUGAAUUUAGCAUUGAAACUUACAAAAUGUAAUAGAGAGAGGUAGAUAACAGCCACAAAACACUAAGAUUGGAAAUCAGGGCUACUAAAUACUAUUACAAGCCCUUAGAAAAGACACUGAUCAUCCUGGAAUAUAUAUACUGAAAGUAAGAAAUAUUAAUCGCAAAGUUAUGUGCCAACAAAACUAUUGACCACUUGUCCCUAGCAGAAGGUAUAUAUUUUUAACUUCAGCUCUCUACUUUGUUCUAAGAACUAGGCAAAAGAAUGAAACUUCACUGUCUAAAGUUUGCCGCUUGGAAUAUUUCACUGUCUAAACAUUCACUCACCACUAAUUUCACAAAUGAAUUUUGUCUAACUAUAUGUUGAUAACGAUAUUAGAGGUAAUAUAAUGCAUUUAAGGCUUAACAUAUAUUUUUUAUUAGUAGAGUGUAGAAUUUUUAAGAAAUAAAUUAUUAAAUUACUAUAACUAACAUAUUAUUUUAAAGUUAUGUUAAGAAAAGAAUGAAACAAAAAAAAAAAAAAAAAUAAGGGUAUUCUAAAACUUUGAUCCUUUUAAAAGUAGUUUUUGACGUAAAUAAAAUAAUUUUUAUUUUUUUAAAUCACAUACUCUAGUUAAAAUCAAAUUUGUAUUUAUAAAGCUUGUAAAUUUUUUUUAGCAUUAAUAUUUGAAUACUUUCAAGAUAAGAAAUAGGGUACUAAUUAUGCUACAACAUUAUUAUAGCAUAUAAAAAGACAAUACCCUUUAUAUUAUUAUACUAUCGUUUUUGUUAUGAUAGUAUUUUGUUAGUGGUCAAAUAUUACUUUUUUAAGUAAAAAAGUAGACAAAUGUAAAUCAAUUUUUAAUCUCUCCUAAAAUUCUAAUUCCUAGUUACCAAACAAAAUUGUUUGAAAAUAAUUUGGCUAAGUGCAUGGGUUCUUAAAAGUUAAAACUAUAGGUGAUAGAAGUUACUAGCACAAGCAAUUUUGACGGUCCAUUUUAUAAAAAUUUUUAAUAAUUUUUUAUUUACCAUUUUACCACCUAUAUAAAGAGUGCCACAUCGACAUAUCAAUUCAUUUGCAAAUUAUAUUAAUUUUGUAAAAUUCAUUUGACUUGCUAAACCCUUCUUAUCCCCUUUCUCGACUGUCAUACCCUAACCUUAUUAAUCCAACUGGCAAGUGCUCACAAUGACCGACAGCCUCUCCAUCUCCAUUUCAAGCUUCCUCUUCAACUGGCUUCUGCUUCCGUCGUACGCUUCCUUGGAUUCGGAGUCCGUAUUCGCUCGACCGGUCCGGCACAGCUCCCUCUCACUCCAAUUGUCACCCAACAAGACCAAUUGCUUAACAUUGAUCGUAUGGCAAUUGUCCGUAUUUCUUGGAUUCAGAGUCCGUAUGGCACAGAACAAGAAGAGUAUGAGAGAGAGAUUUGGAAAUCGAAACGUACGCAUUGACCGUGCCUUUGAGGGCAAUUACUUUUCUUGAGAAUUGAAGUUUGGUAAUGUAAUUUGUUCUCUAUCUGUGUCCCCUUUGUAGUCAUUUCAUUUAUUUGUUUGUUUGCUUUUAUUUGCACUUACGAAGUCUCAGAUAUAUCUACGCAAGAAUGAUGCAGGAGAAAUUGAUCCUCGAGCUUACAAGAAAAGUAAAUUUCGAAAGCAUAAUUUGGCUCCGAUUGAGGUAAUAAUUGUCUUUAAACUCAUUUAGUUUUAUAUCAAACAAAAUCAAGGCUGCCUUUCUCUUCAAUAUUUUUUAUGAUAAUAUCUUUAGAAGCAUCUCAUUGACGGGUAAUCAUGGUAUCCCUUAAAGAGUCUAUAAACUCAAUGAUAUUUUCUUCUGCAAAUGGUUCAUUAAACUUCUUAGACGUAGUUAAAUGUACACUAAGAACAACGAGAAGCUAUGCCGCUGUAGCAUGUAGUGAGAUCUUGUUUGAAGUUGUUUUCUGAAAUGAACUGCCAAAUGGUAGUUUUUUUUUUCUUGGGUGCAUUUGAUGACUCUUUUCUCCUCAUUUUAAACAUGUACCUGCUUGGAAUGGGAAGGAAUAGGCUUCCGAGUUGUUAUAUAUGUUGACAUGCUCUGGUCAUUACACAAAAUGCUCAAAUUGGAAAUUAGAAUGAGAUAUUUGUCGAUGCUUUUUGAGAGAUCUGCAUUCUAUGCACCAUAACAUGAUUAAUGAAAACAGGUUUAAGGACUGGAAAGAUCUGUGGCGGCCCAAGCUUGCAGGAAGGAUUUCAAUGGUUAAUUCUCCCAGAGAGGUUAUUGGUACAAUUUUGAAGUAUCUGGGAGCAUCAUGCAAUUCAAACGACAUUGAUUAGCAACUUGCUGCUGGGAGGAUUGUUGUCAGCAGAAUCUGGCAUUACUGGGAAACCAGGUACUCUUAAAGAAAUGAUAUCUGGUCAAUGCAUAUUAUUGCCUGACAGCUGAUUUUGUUUGUAAAGUCUGCCUCUUCAUACAUAUGAAUGCAUAUGUUAGUGUUUUCUUCUCCUUUUAAUACACAUGAAUGCAUAUGUUAGUGUUGUCUUCUCCAUUCCAUAAAUAUGAAUGCAUAUGCUCUGGGUGUUGGUUACUACUUCAAGUGGAAGGUGAAGGUGAUGCAAGUGAUUUCAGGAGUACAUAUAUUCCAAGGAUGCCGGACUAUUAUUGCUUCCCCCCAUAUUUCAGAAUUUUUUGUCAACCUCCUCCACUAAGGGAUUCCAAUUGAGUUACAAAUAUAUUUUCUGUAGCUCUGUUUUAAAUUUUUGGUCUCAUGUUAAUUUUUCUAAUUACUAUUCUUCAACAAAUCUCUUUUACUUUAAAAAACUGCUACAGUUUGAUUUUACUGCCUUAUAUCAUUGAACAUUGAUACAUGGAAUUUGAAAUCAGACUUGUAACAACAGAUAAAUAGAUAUAGAACAUGCAUAUAAUCUCCAUUUCGAGCUCCCUCUCCAACUGGCUUCUGCUUCCGUCUUACUCUUUCUCGGAUUCGGAGUCCGUAUUUGCUCAGCCGGUCCUGCCCAGCUCCCUUUCACUCCAAUUGUCACCCAACAAGACCAAUUGCUUAAUCAAGGCACAGAACAAGAAGAGGAUGAGAAGUUGAAACAAGAAUUUGAGAAUUGGAAAUCGAAAAUGUAUGCAUUGACUGUGCCUCUAAGGGUUGUUUCUCUUCAGAAUUCAAUGCCUCAAUCUUGGGUUAAGGAUUUUAUGCGAAGUCAAGGAAAGAGAUUGAAGUUUCAGAUGAAUUUGUGUGCUAGCAUUGGUGGGAUCUUUAACAAUUUAUCUGUGCCCUUUAACAAAGUUAAGGGUAAGUCAGCUUCGUAUACGGCUGCUGAUUUGGUUAGUGUUGGUGAUUCAUGGCUCAGUUUUACAAUUAAAAAGAGAUUGAUUGAGCCAAUAGCUGAAGCUGAAGAUCAAGACUGGUUCAAAUGCUUAUGUCACAAAUGGAAGGUAACAUCAUUAUCUUUGACCCGAUAAUUUUUAUUGUCUUACAUUGAAAUUUGGUAAUGUAAUUUGUUCUCUAUUUGUGUUACCCUUUGUAGUCGUUUUAUUUAUUUGUUUAUUUGCUUUUAUUUGCACUAACGAAAUCUCAGGUAUAUCUAUGCAGGAAUGAUGCAGGAGAAAUUGAUCCUCGAGGUAAAAUAUGGGCGGCACCAUACAGGUGGGGCACAACGGUGAUAGCCUACAAGAAAAGUAAAUUUCGAAAGCAUAAUUUGGCUCCGAUUGAGGUAAUAAUUGUCUUUAAACUCAUUUAGUUUUAUAUCAAACAAAAUCAAGACUGCCUUUCUCUUCAAUAUUUUUGAUGAUAAUAUCUUUAGAAGCAUCUCAUUGACGGGUAACAAUGGUAUCCCUGAAAGUGUCUUUAAACUCAAUGAUAUUAUCUUCUACAAAUGGUUCAUUAAACUUUGUUGUUGUAGUCAAAUGUACACUCAGAGCAAUGAGAAGCUAUGGCACUGUAGCAUGUAGUGAUGGCACUUAAUAAGUGAGUUGCUAGGAUGUGAACUAGAAAAAUUAAAUAUUGUCUCCUUGGGUAUGCUAGCUUGUAAGUCAGGGUUAAUAUUAGAGCUUAAGUUACUAUAACCAUGAGACGCUAUUGACUGCCAAUUAAAAUAUCCAUUAAAUUGUCUAGGAAGUUAUGAAAGUGGAGGUAUCUUCCGAUUUCUAAGGCCAGAUAGUAGACAUCAUCCAGGAUCCUAGGAAAGUGCAGUUAACCUCCUGCUCGAUGCAAUUAAUAAAUUUGGUCAAUGCCACUGAAACCUGCUAACCGACGUCACAAUGCGAGAUGAGCACUUCAAAAUGGGACAGACGGUCAGUAGCACUAAAUUUUUCUUUCCUAAGAUUGAGCAAUUGGUCUAACUACUAACCCCUAUUGUAGGUUGAUCAUUAUUUUUCCAAUUAUGUUCAGUUUGACCCAAAAAGUUACAGAAUCUUGAGCUGAAUAUUGUCACUGAACACUGUCAAUGUCAUUUAGCAUACCCAACUAACUUGAGUUUGGUAAAACAAACACACUGUGCGUCUCAUCUCUCACAAUUCAAAUUAUCAUCUGUAAUGAUGGAGAAUUUUUCCAAUGUAUGAAGUAUGCUUUGAUAUGUGUACCUUGGAGAAGAUAUCUCCAAAUAAAGAAUAUGGAGAGAAAACGGUUCAGUAGUUUAUUAUUCUGUAGGCAAGUCUUGUCUCGAAAAUGGUCAAAAUUUAAAUGAAUAAGGACAGGGGAUCUUCAUUCUUUUUUCCCUUUUUUAUACCAAGAUAUCUCUCAACCUUUAUAUAAUCCCCACUGGAUAUCUGCUUCUAAUAAUUAAAAUAAAAAUUUCACUCACACAAAUAAAUACUGACCAAGCUCUAACAAUAUAAAGUAACAUCUUUACUCAAGUAAUUUACAGUUCCUCAUCAUCUUAGUGUGAGACUAUCAUUACGUUCCAAAAACAAAAUAAAACUGGUUUGAUCCUGUUUAUUGAUGUUUAAAUGUUGUUCAUUGUGACAUGUAGAAAUGAUGAAGCGAAGUUUAUUUGGUCAUCAAUUAGUAAGAUCUUGUUUGAAGUUGUUUUCUGAAAUGAACUGCCUUUUUUUUGGGCAUAUGAUGGCUCUUUUUUCCUCAUUUUCAACAUGUGCCUGCUUGGAAUGGGAUGGAUUUGGCUGCAGAGUUGUUAUAUAUUUUGAGAUGCUCUGGCUGUUGUGAAAAUUUUAAUAUACUCGCAAGCACACGAAUCUAGAAAUAGAAUAGUGAUAACGAGGUCGAACCCACAGGGAUUAUUGAAAAGUCUAAUUUAAAUCUAAAAUUAAUAUUAAUUCUAACCUAGUUGAGCAAAUUGAGUUUUAAGAGAAAUUAAACUAAUUAAACUAAGAAAAUAAUUAAAGUAAAGGAGAAUUCAAUAAGACAAAAAUUACCAAGGUUUCAGAAUCCACCACUAUUCAACUAGUAAUUAUCUAAUUAUUAAUUAAUCCCCAAUUUUAGAGUGACAACUCGAAAUCAAUCUAUGUCAUCUCAUGGAUAUAACAAUUAAGCCCAAGUAAUUAAAUCUAAUGUAGGUUCUUUUUCUACUUAAUAGUAUGAUAUCUAAGAAUCUCAUGUAAACAUAUUGAAUAACAAAGAGUCAAAGUUUUCUUAAGCACUCUAUGUAAACAAUUUAAUGAAAGACAUAAAAUCAAAGAUAAUCAUGCAUAAACUUUAUAGAUCCAAGCAUAGAUUUAAUCGAAUAUUAAUCCUAACAAUCAAUAAUGCAUAACAGAAUUGAUGAAAAGAUUUUAAUAACAUCCAACUAAUCAUGUGAAAUAAAAACCAUAAUCAUUAAAGAACAUAUAUAGGGAAUUAAAUAAAUAAAAAAAUAAUUAUUUCAUUGAAUAGGGUUUCAUCCUUAACCUCAGUAUAAGAAAAUUAGUUAGACAUACUUGAAUUGGGAAAAACAAAAGAGAUAAAACCGGCCAUGAGGAAUAUUGAACUGUUGGUGCCGAUUGCUCUUUUCCAGCCUUGCGUCUGCUUUCCUCUGGCGGCUACCUCCCCCCUUGCAAAAGCCAAAGUUCGGCUUUUAUAUUGUAACUCCCCCACAAAAUCCUCAAAUCAAAAGGUUUUAAAACAAGCCAAGCACAACCGACUUUGAGCCCAUGCAUGUGAAGCCCAAUUGGAAUUUUCAUUCCUUUUUUAAUGCCAUGCAAUUGCUUUCCCACGUGCUGGCCACUUUAGCUUUAAAUUUCUUCUUUGUUUGCACUAGCAUGGAGAAUUCAAUUUAUUGGCUUCGGCUUCUUCGGAUUGAAUUUCAUACACAUCUACUUAAUUGCUUCCACAAAUUGACUUGAUUUUUAAUGUUGUCCAAUUGUUAUUCUUUAUGUACUUUUCAUCCUUAAUCUCCAAUUAAUUCCCUAUUCAAUAAAAUUAACUUAGCAAUUAUAUAAUAAAGGGUAAAAUAUGUAUAUAAAUUAUGCUCAUCACUGGCCAUUGCACAAUUUGUUCACACUGGAAAUUUGAAUGAGAAAUUUGUUGAUGCUGUUUUGAGAGAUCUGCAUUCUAUGCACAAUAACAUGAUUAAUGAAAAUGGAUUGUAGGACUGGAAAGAUCUGUGGCAGCCUGAGCUCGCAGGAAGAAUUUCAAUGGUUAAUUCUCCCCGAGAGGUUAUUGGUUCAGUUUUGAAGUAUAUGGGAGCAUCAUACAAUUCAAACGAUAUUGAUUCGCAAGUUGCAGGUGGGAAGAUUGCUGUUCAGCAGAAUCUGGCAUUACUGGCAAACCAGGUACUCUUAAAGAAAUGAUAUCUGAUCAUUGCAUGUUAUUGCCUGACAACUGAUUUUGUUUGUAAAAGUCUGCUUCUUCAUACAUAUGAAUGCAUAUGUUAGUGUUCUCUUCUCCUUUUCAUACAUAUGAAUGCAUAUGUUGGUGUUGUCUUUUCCUUUUCAUACAUAUUAAUACAUAUAUUGGUGCUCUCUCCUGAGAUGGAUGCAAUAAAGGCUUUUGGUCCUAAAUUUAGGUGAAGAAAUGGCAAGGGAUGUGAGAUUCUGUCUCAUUAAAUUAACAAAAACCCAAAACAAUGAAAACCCAUAAUAAUGUGGUGGGGGUAAAUUGGCACCAUUUGGUUUGUUUACUUAAUGUGAAUACACGAGCAAUAGGGACUAACAAAAUGAAGUGACAACAACAAGUCAGUGUCCUUUGAUGGAUGCAUUUUAGGCAAAAAUAGGUUUGUAAUUGACCAAUUUCAAAAAAUUUAAAUUAUGUGGUUAUUAGCUGUAAUGAAGGGGAUAGGAGGUGCAAUCAGGUGGAUCCAGGAAAGUUCAACAAAGUUCUGGUAUGGCAUAGUGAAAUUGGUUUGUGCAACUCAAGAGUCUUUCAGGUGAACGAUGAUAUGUUUUGAUUUAUAAAUGUUAUAAAUCUACCGUCCAUAGUAUUCUAGUAGAAUCAUCUAUAAGUUCUAGUUAUUGAAAUUGUCUACUUUGUCCAGUUUGAGUUAAGGGCACAUGUAAUAGGAAAAAUAGUUGUCACAUCUUUUUGGUUACCUAACAUUUGAUCAAUCCUAUUAUGAGGGCUUCAAGAUGUCUAACAAUAUGUAGAAUGCCCAUGCUCCUCCCCAUUGUUUAUCUUAUACAAUAAUUUGUUUUAGAUGCUAAUAUAUUUGUCGAUACCGGUAACGAUAUUACAAUAUCUGCAUUUAUUGGGUUUUACAUAGGUUCGACUGUUUGACAGUACACACUAUCUGAAGGCAUUUGGAAUUGGAGAUGUAUGGGUUGCUGUUGGGUGGAGUAGUGAUGUUCUUCCUGCUGUCAAACGUAUGUCUAAUGUUGCAGUUGUUCCCAAGUCUGGUGCUAGCUUAUGGGCCGAUCUUUGGGUAUACCCAUGCCGGCCAUUCUACUUCGAUAUUCACGUUGUUAUCUCCUUCAUAUUAGCGAUCAUAAACUUGAUAAUGUGACUAAUAAGUUCGUAUUCUCUUUAUAGGCAAUCCCUGCUGCCUCAAGACUUGAAACAAAAGAAAUUGGAGGGCGAGUCUGAGGUCCAUCUCCAUUAAUCCAUCAAUGGAUAGAAUCCUGCUUGCAAACAGCGAGAACAUUGCCUUUCAAGCAAGAGGUUAUCCCGGGCGCAUCUCCCUCUGCCCUUGAAAGUACUCUGGUUAAGUUGCCUGAAGAACUUCUGAAGGGUAAACCAAGUCUGGAUACUAACUUAAUUGCUGGAGUACCCCCGGCUGAAAUUCUGGCCAGAUGUGAGUUUUUGGAGCCAUUGUCUGAAGCUACAUUGUCAUAUUAUGAGUGGCUGGUUGCUAAUCUGCAAAAACCUGCCCCCCUCUUGAUGAAUAGGCUGCAACAUUACUUGUCAUCAUUAAUCCAAAGCUUUCUAGCAAAAGCUACAUUGAAAAGUUAAUGGCACUGCAUGCCAGUCAUUGUAAUGCUGUCAGGGCUAUUGGGUCAGGGCUAUUGGGUCAGAGCAUAACUUCAUUAGGAAAAGAGGCUUCAGCUACGUUAAAUAUUACAGGAUGUACUGAGAUGGCUGAAGUUCUUGAGGUUUUACGAGAAACGAAAGAUGAGUGUUUGUUUGAACAAAGUUGUUGCCAUCUUGCAGAGUUUGAGAAGAAAGAUCACUGAGCGAAUGCCACCGAUUUCUUAAUCAUUGUAGCCUCCAUAGUUGAAGUUUCCUUAUUUGAAGCUGUUUAUGCGUACGCUUUUUCCCUGCUCAAGUACAGGAAAUUGAAGAAUUAACCAGAUGUGAUAUGCUGAAAGAGGGAAGUUUUCUUCCUUGAACGUGGCCUUGUGAUUUGUCUUGGAAGGAAUAGGAUGAUCACUGGCAAGAACCCUAUCAAGGUAGAUUUUAUGGUGCUAACGUAUUAUUAAGCAUUUUGUUACAUCAGCAAUGAUGCUUUCAUAGCAUGAAAGGGUUUAAAUUUAACUGAAUGAUUCUGAUUAAUCAAUUAUGAGUUUGAAUCGAGUAAAAACUAAAUACAAUCAUCGUUAACAAUACUGAAAAAAUUUAACUGAAUCAUCGUUAAUUGAGUAAAUAGGAUCUUGAUAUUGAAGAAUUUGAAAUCACAACGCACACAGGAAAUUGAAGAAUUUGAAAUACAAUCAUCGUUAACAAUAUAAGAUGAGUGUUUGUUUGAACAAAGUUGUUGCCAAUCUUGCCGAGUUCGAAAAAAAAGAUCACGGAGCAAAUGCCACUGAUUUCUUCAUCAUUGUAGCCUCCAUAGUUGAAGUUUCCUCAUGUGAAGCUGUACAUCAAGUACAGGAAAUUGAAGAAUUAACCAGAUGUGAUAUGCUGAAAGAGGGAAGUUUUCUCCCUUGAAUGUGGCCUUUGUGAUUUGUCUUGAAGGAAUAGGAUGAUCACCGGCAAGAACCCUAUCAAGGUAGAUUUUAUGAUGUUAACAUAUUAUUAAGCAUUUUGUUACAUCAGCAAUGAUGCUUUCAUAGCAUGAAAGUGUUUAAAUUUAACUGAAUGAUCUUGAUUAAUCAAUAAUGAGUUUUAAUCGAGUAAAAACUAAAUACAAUAAUUGUUAACAAAUACUGAAAUUGGGUAAAUAUGAUCUUGCUAUUGAAGAAUUUGAAAUCACAACCCACACAGGAAAUCACCCUUCGCGUGGAGAUGGAGAUGUUUACUGCAGCGAUAUUGAAUAUGUCCACUGCUCUUUGGGUUAUGGUGCGACUUGCGAUUUCAAGGUUGCCCUGAAACAAUGGAAAAGAAUUAACAUACCCUGCAAUGAAUGAAAGCGGCUGGACUAAUUCUGAUUACCUGAUUGACUCAGGAUCGGAUGGCAAUAAAGACAGUUUAUUAACAAUGCACAGUCCCGAGUACUUUUUCAGGAUCAGAUAUUACGUGGUCUAAUGUUGAUAAUAAUAGAUUAUCAAAUGAGAGAUGCUGAGAGAUGCUGGUCUAGUAUUGCAAGCCCCCAGAUUUAAGAAUCUUUUGAUGAUAAUUUACCACCUGUAACUGUGCCGGAAGAUUCACCUAGCAUUGAAAAAGAUGAUAAUUUAAUUGAUAUGGAUAGUUUUCAUAACACUUUUAAAUCAUCUUAUGUAAUUAUAAUGUUGAGAAGCAUUAGUGGUCUAUAUGUGAACUAUUAUUGACGCUAUUUUGUUGUAAACAAUCUUAUUCAAUUAAUGUAUAAUUUAAAAUCAUUAUGUAAAUCAAUCUAUUACUUUUCAUGAUAUUUAACUGAGUUAAAACUAAGUGCACCCAAUAAAUCUCUUUUCCUUUAAAAAACUGUUACGCUUUGAUUUUAGUGCUUAAUAUUUACGGAACUCCGGUACAGGGAAUUCGAAAUCAAACUCGUAACUACAGAUUAUCUAAUUGCAAGCUUUUGUCCAUAGUUGCUGAUUGUAGUGAUUAUCUAAUUGACUGAGGUGACAACAAUUUUUUUUUUUAAUUUUCAAUAGCAUAAUGUGGAAUUCAAUAAUUAAAUUCUCCUUUUUAAUUUGUUUCCAGUUAAAUUAUUAAUUACUUAAACUCUGUUUUAAGUCUUUAAUUUUAUGUCUUGGCGUAUAUGCAGGGUUGGAUUCUUGAGCGUGUUGGACACGACCAACAAUGAAAUUGACAGUAAACAAACAUUAUAACGCGUUGAGUGUCGACUCCGCUAGCUGCCCUACAAGUCUACAACUUUACAAACAAUAACUGAGUACACACAUUUGAUUCUCAGGGCCUUUCAAUGAAUUUCUAGGCCGGUUGACUCCACCGACAAAAGUUUUGGAAAAUAAAAAAGAAAAUUCAUAGAAUUCCACCAAAUGCAAAACGCGUGGAAUUUAAUUUUCGGCUGUGUGGACCAAAACAUAAUUUAAUGAAAAAAAAGAUAAGAUUUCUAGAAUGUGUGGAAGGUGAUCCAUAUUUUACUGAAACAACUUAUUAAAUUUUUCAAGGAUUUAGAAUAUUUGGUCAUAAAUUACGCUCAUGUUAAUUUUUCCACUGUUGACUAUCAUAUUCUAGACUCACUGGUACCUUUCUUGAUGAAGGGUACUUAGUCUCUCUUCUCCUCUUAUAAAAAUUAUAUUAAUUAAUUUCUUAUUAUAAUAAAUAGUCUUUAAGAACGUAUAGAUUUAUUGUUUUCGUGACCAAAUUAUGCCAGCUUAAGGUUGCGACUAUUAAUAAAAUUAAUAUUUAAUGUUUAUGUUAAAAGAUAUAAGAUUUUUUGCAUUCAUUAAUUGUCAUUAGCUAAAGGAUUAAUUAUUUUUUCAACCCAAUCAGUUGAUGCAUCUGCAAGAAUUUUUUCUUUUAUUGACCAUAAUUAUAUUCCGGGUACAAUAAAUUAUCUUUGGUGCUUGGAAAAUAUGACUUCUUACUUCAAGUUUGAUGUGUCUCUCUCCAUAAGCUUACUGGAAAUAUAUCCUCAUCUACUGUCAUUUAUCUAAUAUCAAUUGAAUAUCUGACUUUUUCAAACUAUCACUUCCAAGUCUCAUUGUCACUUGGCCAUUCUUGGACCAUUCAAAACCAAACAAGUGUUGAAAUAAUCAAAUAUAUGCAAAAUUAGAGUCACGACUUUUGGUCCUCCAAAUUCUAAUUAUAUUACUUCUAUAUAUCUCAUUGUCAGGUCACGAACUUGUUGGCACAUUUUCCAAAUUCCUCUUCCAUCAGCUCUUACACGUUAACUUAAGUGGAAAGUUUCCAAGUUGAUUGCUAGAAAGCAACGCAAAAUCAGACACGCUUGAUCUGUCCCCUAAUUCUCUUUUCUACGUUGAAAAAGAAAAAAAAUAAGAAAAAAGAAAAUAGAUCUAUGUAAAAAUAAAUAAUAAACUGAGUAAAAGUACAUUUGUUUAUUUAACAUCUGAUCGGGGCAUUUUUGGUGUAAUUUCGUGCUGUGUUUAACCCACAACUAAAAUCAAACAGCCCCUUAGAAUACUUCUUCCAUUUUGGGUGCGUUUGGGAUUGAGGUUGGGCAGCUGUAACUUAAAAACUACAGCACUAAAGUGUUUGAUAAACACUAACUGCUGUAGCUUUUAAGCUAUGUUGAUAUGGUUUUUCACUUGUAUAAUACAAAAUUUAUUAUAUCUUUAAUAAUUUUAUCAAAAUUAUUAUUUAAAAUUUAUAUUUACUAUAUAUUAUUAACUUUUGUUUCAUAAUUACAGCUUUUUUUUCACAGCAACUGUAGCUUAAAAGCUACAGCAUCUCAAUCCCAAACGCACCCUUUAUCUGCUACUUUUGUGGAUCUUAUAGGGUGGGCAUGUGAACAGAAUUUAAAAAUUUUAAUAGUCUCAAAGAAUAAGAUAUGCUAAAGCUAAAGUUGUUGCACCUUCUAAUUAAAUAAAGUUGUAUAAUUUCACCAACUUGGAAGAAUUGAUAUUAAUGGACGGUCCCCUCUCCAUAUAUGAAGCCUUCUUAAAAGUUAAUUUUUAUUUCAGAAAAAAAAAGUUUAAGUUACAUAUAUUAUAGUAAGAUUUUUUUAGACCAAUUCCCUUCUUGAAAUAAUAAUGGAAAAGCAUUAAUUUAAAAAUAAAAUGAAUAUGUAUUGAUUAUAUCCUGAUUUUCAUCGAUUAUAGUGAGAGUUUCUCCAAAUCAAUUCCCUUAUUCAAAUAAUACAGAAAAAAUAGUAAUUUAAUAGUAAAAUAAACAAGUGUUGAUUAUAUAUUCUAAGUUUCAUCGAUUAUGUGAUCAAAGUGGCAUUGUUGAUUUAUUUCUUGUUCAAUGUUAAUUUUUAGGUUAUAUAAAUUUCAAGGAUCUAAAAUCUUUGGUCAUGGAUUACACGCUUGUUAAUUUUUCUGCCAUUAACUGUCAUAUUCUAGACUUAAUGAUACCUUUCUUGAUCAAGCGUAAUUAUUCUCUCUUCUCCUCUUAUAAAUUCCUCUUCCAUUAACAUCACUAGGAGUAUGUUGAUCUCUCAGACGUUAACUUGAGUGGAGAGUUUCCAAAUUGAUUGUUACAAAACAACACAAAAACUAGACACACUUGAUCUGUCUAAUAAUUCUCUUUCGGUAAAAUUAAUUAAUUUUAGGGAAAUAUUCUGCCAACCUCUGUAAUUUCAAAGUGAUCAUUAAUUAAUUAAACGAUACAAAUAUCUAAAGUGAUUAGAUGUUUGCCGACAAUACAAGUUCAUGACUUGAAAUUUGAUCUCUAUCGAUUGGUUUACAAAUGGACGUACUUGUGCCUUUGUGGCGAUAAUCAAACAAGUUCCCAUGAUUAUUAUUUUUUCCAAAAACGUUUUUACAACAAAUUCAUCUCGCCAAAAAUUCUAUGUUGCUAACUAACAAUAAUUGAGCACUUGGCCGCAUUGACCCCACGUCUCCACCUCUUUCUAAAAACAUGGAAAAUGUAAUUUCCACAAAAUGCCAAACGUGUGGAAUUUAAUUUUUUUGCCUUGUGGAUCAAAAUACAAAUGAAAGAAACAGGAGAAAAAAAAGGCCCAAAGACUUCUAAAAGAUGAAGAAGUCUUUGGGCCUUUUUAUAAUGGUGAAUUUUUUAAAAGAAAAAAAAUAACAACAUUUUUAUGGUUUGUUUUGAUAAUCAUAUUUACAUAUACUCUCUAAUUUUCAAAAUGGACACAUAAAUCUUUUUUUUUACAAAAUAUAUAUUAUUCAUAUUUUUUAUUUUUUAUUAUCAUAUUUUUAUUUAUUAUAAAUGUUUAGAGUAAAUUUUUAGGUUGAAAUAUAAUAAAAAUGUAUAAUCGUUCUCUUAUUAAACACACAUACUUUUAUUAGUUUCUAUGCAUUUGUCAUCUCAAUCUCUCUCAAUUAUUCUUUAUUGCUAGCUCAAAACGCGUUGCUGUUGCAAAUUAUAGCAAAAUGACAAAUAUGGAAAAAAAGGGAAGAAAAUUAAUGCAUGAAAGACUUGGAGAAAACAACAAAAUAAGCCAACUAUGAGCUAGUUGGGUGUAUAAAUUGUUAGAUGUGUUAUAUACAAAUAGCAUAGAGCCCUCUAGUUAGUUCCAGAGACAGAAAGAGCGUGUGUGUUUUUUCACAGUUAGAGAUAUAGUUAGAAUGGGUGGUUCAAAAUCAAAAAUGAUGAUAAUGUUUAUUAUGUUAUUAAUAAUAUUUAAAAGUGGGUGGAGUGAGGGAUGUUUGGAUCACGAGAGAUUUGCUCUUUUGCGACUCAAACAUUUCUUCGAUGAUAGUUAUCUUUAUGACUGGGCCGAUGAUGAGGGAGCUACUGAUUGUUGUCAGUGGGAAAAUGUUGAGUGCAGCAACACCACAGGCCGAGUGAUAGCGCUAGACCUUUUUGACACGCAUGGGGGAGAGCACAGCUGGUAUAUGAAUGCUUCUUUGUUUACUCCCUUCCAACAACUUGAGUCACUUGAUUUAACUGACAACAAUAUAGCCGGUUGUGUUGAGAAUGAAGGUGCUUCGUUUAAUUUAAUUAAUUUACUUUCUCCCCCCAAAUUUAAGUUGAAUAUCAAGACCGAGCAAUUAUAUGCAUAUUCAUUUAGUCGACAAUUUUGACUUUUUUUUAAAUGAUUAAUUUUGAAAUUACACCAGUAUCUAUGAUCUUUUUUUAUUUUAUUUUAUUUGCAGGUAUAGAGAGGCUAUCAAGAUUGAACAACUUGAAGAUGCUUAAUUUAAGUCGAAACUCAUUCAAUAAUAGCAUUUUAUCAUCUCUAACUCAUCUUUCAUCAUUAAGAUCAUUAAAUUUACUUUGGAAUAGAUUGGAAGGAAGUAUUGACGUUAAAGGUACAUAAUUAAAACUUCAAGCUCUUUCAUUAACUUGCUAAAAUAAGAUUCAAGGCUUUGAAAGAAAAAGAGAGAAAAAAACAAGGCCCAAAGACUUCUAAAAGAUGUAAAAGUCUUUGGGCUUUUUUAUAAUGGUGGAUUUUUUAAAAGGAAAAAAUAACAACGCUUCUAUGGUUUGUUUUGAUAAUCACAUUUACAUAUACUCUCUAAAUUUCAAAAUGGACACAUAAAUCUUUUUUUUUUCUACAAAUGUAUAUUGUAUUUUUUAUUAUUUUUAAUAUCAUAUUGUUAUUUAUUAUAAAUAUUUAAAGUAAAUUUUUAAGUUGAAAUAUAAUAAAAGAGUAUAAUCGUUCUCUUCUUAAACACUCAUACUUUUAGUUUCUAUCCAUUUGUCAUCUCAAUCUCUCUCAAUUAUUCAUUAUUGCUAGCUCAAAACGCGUUGCUGUGGAAAAUUAUAGCAAAAAGACAAAUAUGGAAAAGAAAAAAGGGAAGAAAAUUAAUGCAUGAAAGACUUGGAGAAAACAACGAAGUAAGUCAACUAUAAUCUAGCUGGGUGUAUAAAUUGUUUGAUGCUUUAUAAGCAAAUAACAUACAGAGACAGACAAUGUGUGUUCGUUUUUUCAUAGUUAAAGAUAUAGUUAGAAUGGGUGGUUCAAAAUCAAAAAUGGUGAUAAUGUUUGUUAUGUUAUUAAUAAUAUUUAAAAGUGGGUGGAGUGAGGGAUGUUUGGAUCACGAGAGAUUUGCUCUUUUACGACUCAAACAUUUCUUCAAUGAUCCUCUUAAUUCUCUUUACGACUGGGUAGAUGGUGAGGGAGCUACUGAUUGUUGUCAGUGGGAAAGGGUUGAGUGCAGCAACACCACAGGCCAAGUGAUAGCGUUGCACCUUUCUAAUAUAUAUUUGGGAGAGUACAGCUGGUAUCUGAAUGCUUCUUUGUUUACUCCCUUCCAACAACUUGAGUCACUUGAUUUAAGUUUCAACAAAAUAGCCGGUUGUGAUGAGAAUGAAGGUGCUUCGUUUAAUUUAAUUAAUUUACUUUCUCUCUCCUAAUUUAAGUGGUAUAUUAAAAUUGAGCAACUAUAUGCAUAUACAUUAGUUGACAAUUUUGACAUAUUUUUUGAAGUGAUUAAUUAAUUUUGAAAUUACACCAAAUAUCUAUGAUCAUUUUUUUUUAUUUUACUUGAAGGUAUAAAGAGGUUAUCAAGAUUGAACAACUUGAAGAUGCUUAAUUUAAGUGCUAACUCGUUCAACAAUAGCAUUUUAUCAUCUCUAACUCAUCUUUCAUCAAUAAGAUCAUUAAAUUUAUAUGUGAAUGAAUUGGAAGGAAGUAUUGAUGCUAAAGGUACAUAUUUAAAACUUCUCUCUUCCCCAAGCUCUUUCAUUAACUUGCUAAAAUAAGAUUCAAGGCUUUGAAUUCAAUUUUUUUAUGAUUAAUAUUUAAAAAAAACAGUUUUAAGCAAUUUAUAAAUACAAGUUUUAAUGUUUCUUAUAAUUUCAUCUUGUACUUUCAUAUGUCUUGAAUUUAAGAUUAAAAAAAAAACUCUAAUAGCAAACCAAACACCUCCACAACUUAUUAUUAUUAUUAUUAUUAUUAUUAUUAUUAUUAUAUAUUUUUUAAUUUGUGGUGAGGUUUGAAACAUUCAACUCAAUUUGUACUUGUUACAGAAUUUGAUUCUUUGAGAGAUUUAGAGGAGCUAGACAUUGGCGGGAACAAGAUUGACAAAUUUGUGGUCUCAAAAGGUACUACAAAUACCAUAAAAAAAAUAUGCUAACUUUUACAAAUUAGUUAGAUUCUUUGCCAUUUGGUUUAUUAUUUUACAGGUUUGAGUAAGUUGAAGUCUCUUGGUUUAAGUGGUAUCAAACUCAAUCGUAGCAUCUUAUCUUCUCUUUCUUCGUUAAGAGAAUUAGAUAUAAGUCGUACGGGAUUCAAAGGAACAUUUGAUGUUCGAGGUAAGCCUAAACCUUGCUUUCUCAUUUUAUAUAUGCCAACUAGAUUUGUGUAUCAUCGACAUAAUUUAAUAUUUAAUUUGAUAAGUCUGAAGGAAUUACAUGCUAAUUUAAACACACUUUUAUUUACUUUGUCAAUUAAUCAAUUAAUUACUAUUUGGCUUGGUUUGGACGAAAUUCUCAUGAUGUUUUAAUUUCUUUAAAUUAAUUAAUUAAUUAACUCUGUUUUUAAGUCUUAAGUCUGGGCAUGUUUGCAGAAUUUGAUUCCUUCAAUAACUUAGAAGUGUUGGACAUGAGUUGGAACGAAAUCGACAAUCUUGUGGUUCCUCAAGGUAAACAAUUAAAAUAUUAUUCAAUUACAUUAUUUUAAUUCAUUUGAUUAGAGAAGGCCAAAAAGGUAAAAAAAAAAUUCAAUAAAGAAAUAGAGAAUUUGUAUUAUUUAAAAAACAGAAUGUAAUAAAGAUUUGAUUCUAGUUCUUUAAUCUUUAAAGCGAUUGAAAAACAAUGUUGGUCUUUUCGCAAAGCAUAAAAUACGAAUUGAAUGCCAAUUAACUUAAUCAUUCAUUUCGUUUAGCUCUAAAUUUAGACAAUGAAUUUUUAUAUUAUUUCAAAAACAGGACGUAAUAGAAUUUUUUUAAAAAUAGAUUGUAAUGAAGAUUUGAUUCCAAUUCUUUAAUCUUUACAGUGAUUGAAAAACGAUACUACUUCCCAAAGCAUAAAAUACGAAUUGACUCUCAAUUAAAUUAAUCAUUUAUUUCGUUCAUCUCUGAAUUUAAAUAAUGAAUUUUGAUCUUCAAUCUUUUCCUAAUUAUUAUUAAUAAACAGGUUACAGAGGUUUGAGGAAGUUGAAAAGCUUUGGUCUAUCGGGAGUUGGAAUUAGAGAUGGAAGCAAGUUGUUACAGUCAAUGAGAUCAUUCCCAUCCCUCAACACUCUUGACCUGACCGAUAAUAAUUUUACCAAUAUAGCGACCGCUACUCAAGGUAAGUAAAAGGUACAGAUGUGGCCAAAUUUAUAAAUAAAUUGUUUAUUAAUUAAUUUUUUCGUAUUAUUAAUUAAGCUAAAUUCGUUGCUCCUUCCUUCUAAAUCUAAACAGAGUUGCACAAUUUCACCAACUUGGAAUAUUUGACAUUGCACGGUUCCUCUCUCCAUAUAAGCCUUCUGCAAAGCAUUGCAUCAAUAUUCCCUUCGUUAAAAAAUCUGUCGAUGUCUUUUUGUGAAGUCAAUGGUGUUGUACGCGGUCAAGGUAAAAGAAAAGCGUUGAUUGUGAACUCACUCAAUGGUGUCCUACGUGUUCAACAUUUUUAUUUAUUAAUUUAUUUAUUGUUUAAUGUUUCUGCUAGGUUUUCCUCAUUUCAAGAGUUUGGAACAUUUUGACAUGAGCUCCACACGCAUUGCACUCAACACCAGCUUUCUUCAAAUCAUCGGUGAAUCGAUGCCUUCUCUUAAGUACUUAUCACUGUCAUAUUCUACUCUUGGCACUAACAGCAGCAGGAUUCUUGAUCAAGGUUAAUGAGAUGCUGCCACCCUCCCUUCUUAAUCUAUAAUAUUAAUUUUCGAUUAAAUAUUUAAUUACACAAACCAAUCACUUAUUAUAAAAGAAUAAUACGCAUUCAUUAAUUUUUAAAUUGUAUUAAUAAUUGAUGAAUUUAAUAAAUUUUCAGGCCUCUGUUCGUUGAUGCAUCUACAAGAGUUACACAUUGCUUAUAACGAUUUAAGAGGUAGCUUGCCUUGGUGCUUGGCAAAUAUGACAUCCCUCCGAAUAUUAGAUGUUUCUUCCAAUCAACUUACUGGAAGCAUCUCCUCAUCUCCCCUCGUUCAUUUGACAUCCAUUGAAGAGCUGAGGCUUUCAUACAACCACUUCCAGAUCCCAAUUUCACUUGAACCACUUUUCAAUCAUUCAAGACUCAAGAUUUUUUAUGCUGACAACAACGAACUAAAUGCAGAAAUAACUGAGUCACAUUCUUUGACCGCCCCAAACUUCCAAUUAUCACGUCUCUCAUUGUCUUCCAGUUACGGAGACAGUUUCAUAUUCCCCAAAUUCCUUUACCAUCAACAUGACCUGGAGUAUGUUGAUCUCUCACACAUAAAGAUGAAUGGAGAAUUUCCAACUUGGUUGUUGGAAAACAACACAAAAUUGAGACAACUUUCUCUCGUCAAUGAUUCUCUUGCAGGACAUUUCCGGUUGCCAAUUCAUUCACACAAGCGGUUAGGACUGUUGGAUAUAUCCAACAACAACUUCCGAGGCCACAUUCCAGUAAAAAUUGGAGAUGUUUUACCAAGUUUAUACGUUUUCAACAAUUCCAUGAAUGCUUUAGACGGUAGCAUUCCCUCUUCAUUUGGUAAUAUGAAAUUCCUCCAAAUUCUGGACUUAUCCAACAAUCACUUGACUGGUGAAAUCCCCGAGCACUUGGCCGUGGGUUGCGUCAACUUGCAGUCUCUUGCAUUAUCAAAUAACAACCUACAAGGUCAUUUGUUCUCUAGAAAUUUUAACUUGACAAACUUGCAAUGGUUACAAUUGGAGGGCAAUCGCUUCGUAGGUGAGAUCCCACAAAGUUUGUCUAAAUGCUCCUCACUAGAAGGAUUGUAUCUUAACAAUAAUAGUCUUUCGGGUAAGAUUCCACGAUGGUUGGGUAAUCUCACAUGGUUACAAUAUAUUAUACUGCCCAAUAAUCAUCUUGAAGGCCCUAUUCCAGUGGAGUUUUGUCAGCUUGAUUCGCUUCAGAUUUUGGACAUUUCAGACAACAACAUAUCUGGAAGUUUACCAUCUUGUUUCCAUCCUCUCUCUAUCAAACAAGUUCAUCUUUCAAAAAAUAUGUUACAUGGACAGCUAAAAAGAGGUACAUUCUUUAAUUGCUCUUCCCUUGUGACAUUAGAUCUUAGUUAUAACCGCUUGAAUGGCAGCAUUCCGGAUUGGGUUGAUGGGCUUUCUCGGUUAAGCCACCUUAUCUUAGGUCACAAUAAUCUUGAAGGUGAAGUGCCAGUUCAAUUGUGCAAAUUGAACCAACUACAAUUGUUAGAUCUUUCUAAUAAUAAUCUUCACGGUCUUAUUCCUCCUUGCUUUGAUAACACCACACUUCAUGAAAGUUACAGCAAUAGUUCUAGUCCUGAUGAGCAAUUUGAAAUAUUUUUUUCCAUCGAAGGCCCUCAGGGAGGUGUAGAAAAGCAAAUCCAUGAAAAUUUUGAGUUCACAACAAAGAACAAUGCAUACAUUUACCAAGGAAAAGUGCUUAGCCUCCUAUCAGGACUUGAUCUUUCUUGCAACAAGCUAAUCGGUCAUAUUCCUCCUCAAAUUGGAAAUUUGACAAGGAUUCAAACAUUGAAUCUAUCGCACAACAACUUGACAGGAUCGAUCCCAUCAACAUUUUCAAACUUGAAGUAUGUCGAAAGUUUGGAUCUUUCCAACAACAAAUUGAAUGGGAAAAUCCCUUAUCAACUAGUGGAGUUAAAGACAUUGGAGGUUUUCAGUGUGGCAUACAAUAACUUAUCAGGCGAAAUUCCAGAAUGGAAAGCACAAUUUGCAACCUUCAACGAGAGUAGCUAUGAGGGAAAUAUUUUUCUUUGUGGACUGCCAUUGCCUAUUUGCAUAUCACCAACAACUACGCAGGAGGCUUCAAUUGACAAUGAACGAGAUGAUAAUUUAAUUGACAUGGACAGUUUCUUUAUCACAUUUACAACAUCGUACGUAAUUGUGAUAUUCGGAAUUGUUAUUGUUUUAUAUGUAAAUUCUUAUUGGCGACGUAGAUGGUUUUACUUUGUUGAAAUGUGGAUAACUUCAUGUUAUUAUUUUAUUGUAGACAAUCUUAUUGCAACAAGAUAUUGUCAUUGAAAUUAAUUAGCAGUUUAAUUACCAUUCUUUAAGUUCUAAUCAAGUUUGCUUAGGAAAUAAAUUUAUUUUUAUUUUUUAUUAAAAUUGUAGUAGUAUUUAGCGCUAUAUAGCUUCCAACUUCCGAGCACUUCACAUUUGUCUCUACACUUCCAAACCCAUAUCUGUCCACCAUAACUUAUACUUCCUUAUACUGUGCAGCAUACUUAAAUAAGAGAACCAUCUCCAAUGUUAAAACCAACCACUCUAUAACAUUCAUUUAGAAACUAUAUUUAGAAUAUUUUUAUAAUCAUACACAAGAAAUGAAACACCUAGAUGCACUUGAUCGCCUUUUUUUACUUUAAAAAAUAAUGAUUAUGGUGCUAUCAUCAUCUUCUUCACUAGCGUCAUUAACACCAAAUCCAGCGACGGACCCAUACAUUUUAUCAAGAAAGGUAUAUAUAUAAUAAAGUUGAAGCUCGACAAAAAUUCAGGAAGAUUGAUGCCUCGCCACAACAAGGGGCACACCAACAUCAAAGUAGAGAUGAAGCAAUAUUCUCAAAGCUAAAACUCUCAAAUCCACCCACCAGAAUUUCAUAUCCCUCAACAAUUUUAAGAACUAAAGAUAAUUAGGAUCUAACAUUAGUUUUUUAUAUAUUAGUUUCAUAAUUUACAAAUCAAUGAAGAUGAAGAUUAUGCUAAUGAAUUCAAAUUAUACCAUACAUUCUCGAGAUGUUACCAAAAAUUUCUAAGUCAAUCCCACAUAUUUCAUAAUUUUAAGACUAGAAAAUUUCAUUAGUUAGAAGUUUAUUACCUUCAAGUGGAAGAUGAAGAACAUUAUACAACUGAUUCAGAUUAUAUCAUACAUACUCCAAAUGCAACUAGAAAUUAACAAGUUCAUGCGCACAGAUUUCAUAACAUUAUGAUUGGAAAGUUUCACAAAGAGAAAUUCUAAAUUCAAUCUAUUGCAUCAAGGUAGUUUGAUUGAUUUGAGUUACUUUCUGAUCAAGCUACUAAUAUAACAUUCAAGUCAGGGAGAAAGUAAAUUAAAUCUGAGAAGAAAUAACAAUAAAAAUUUGUUGCUAAACAUGAUGUGUAUUUUUUUUUCAAGGCAAUUUGGAAACACAGUUGUUACUACAGAUAUUCUCCUCAACUUAGAGAUAAAUACAAAUAUUAAAAUGCAUAUGAUCGCACAUAUUACUUGGAGCUUAGUAAGAUUUCAUAAAGAGAAGAAAUCAAACCACUUAUCAAUUGUUGCAAUCGUUCUAUAAGCUAAAAUAGCAAUAUAAUACAAGAAAAGGAACAUAUAGAUACUUGGCAAGAGUUCAUUAAGAAGUCGCAUCACAUUCGGGUGAGUUUGCUUCUGAUAUCUUGCUAGCGGGGGCUUUUUCUUGUCUUUCUACGUAUGCCGAGGGAAACUAACCAGCUUGGCCCUUGCAUUCACCUUCUGACCAUCCAGUAGGAGCCACCUUGAGAAGUUAUAACUAAAACAGUGAAUUAAACAAAAGUUGACCGUUCAAAGACCUAAGGGGAAAACUAAUUCUUUUACGUAGGAGGAGUGAAUUAGUUGUGAUCACUGAAAUAACAGCAUAACUAUGGAAGCAUAACAAGAUAUAAAUUCACACGUCUAUAAGGGUAAACUGGGUGGUUUAGAACUGAGCUAGCAACCCUACUAUAUUCUGAUUUGCACUUCAAUGUAAAAGGGAAUAUAUGGUAGGAAGAAAGAAAACCAACCAUCAUUUGUUAACUCAUUGCUUUUCAAUCAAAAUUUUAAGAACAAAAUGCCAUGUGCUUUGAACAUCAAAUAAGUAUAAGCAUUAGUUCUAAAUUCCACAUAUCAUAAGUUAGAAGGAUAAGUUAAUAGCAUAGUAGAAAAAUCUCUGUGUUGUUAUUUAGAGGGGAAAGUACCAGGCGAACCACAACAUAAUCAUCAAUUGAAAGACUUAGCUCUCCAUUUGCUUGAGCAUCAAAUGGAUGUAUAACCUGCAAGAUAAUGGGAUAAAUAGAACUUAAAUCUUAAAAAAAGCAUAACAAAAGCAGCAACAGUAGCAGCAGCGUUCAUUGUAACCACUAUGAUCAUGGCCAACAAAGAUAUAUUAGAAACAAAAUUCCAUUUUUACUACGACAUUAAUAUGUACUAUAUGAUAUCAUGACGAUAGGGUUACCAAGAGCUAUCAAAGUCCAAUAAAUUCUGUAUAACUUUAUGUAGUUAUUCAAAUUAUGGAUCAGAUUUUAAAUCUGAAAUUUUGACUGCUCUCCACAAAACAUGGCCUAUGCACAAGAAAGUCAUAGAUAAUGAGGAUUACAAGUGUCUGACAUCUUUUGAGUGAUGGAUUUAACAUGAGAGCUUAUGGUCAGUCAAUUUCCUCUGCCUAGCAAUAUAAGCUUUUUCGGCCAGAUUUAUCAUCAAAUACAUAGAUUGCCCCCAAGUCACAUCCAUAUAAACAUAGUUUUUCUAGGUAAACCAAGUAAGGAAAAUCAUAAUUCAGACAUAAUCAUAAAAAGACCCAUCUAACUUUCUUUGGCAUGCCUAACUCAGCUUUGAUGUUGCUGAGAUAUUGAUAGUAGAGACACAUGAUACUUCUAGCUCAUGCAUUCUAUCUAGCUCAUCUGACAGCUAUCUCUUUUUUAAUUCAUUAGUGUUUGCUAAACCUCAUGCUUAAGAGUCCUGUUCUCCUAAACAAAGUUUUCUAAGAAUGACUUCCUCAGCACCACAUUUGGACACUUUUAAAGCAAUUUUAUUUGGGGGAAAAGAAUUUUCAAGGUGUUAACUAAUAAAUUUUAAAAAAUAAUUACAAUUUGUCCUACGAUUAUAUGACAAUUUAUCUGGGAUGAACGGAUACAGACAAACAUCUUCCACUUUUAAGACUAAUCACUACUUCCGUAGAUGUUUUGCAAUAACACAAAUGCUUGACCAGAUGGUAGUGAUGGUAGAAAAAAAUUUUAUUGCUCUAAAAUUAAAAUAAGAAUGCAAUAUGUUAAGCAAAAGACUGUGCAACAUCAAAUUAAUUGAUAAGUUUGUAAUUCAGUAAAUUAACAACUUUCAUGGUAAAAUACAACAAAUUUCUUUUCAAAAAAAAAUCUUAAAAGACAGCAUUCAAUUUUGUGCGCAUCUUAUUUCUUAAGAUUUUCCAGGAGGGCAAUACAGGGACUUUCACCUACGCAAGAGAGCAAAAGCCUUACUUUCGCUAUAAAGUAGACGUCAUUCUGAUUAAUAUGCGUUUGCAAAUCAGCUCCAUUUGAAUCAGUAUUCUGAUAGACACAUGAGGCAUUUACAUCCAUUUCCAAAGUCACAUGUUGCGAGGAGGACUCAUUUGAUUGCUCCUCUAGGAUCAUCUAAUUCAAGUAGCAAGGGUUGGAAGAGAAUAAAAAGUCACAAUUAUUCUUUUGCAUAAGUGAGACGAAAAUGAUAAAUGCACUAUUAUCAGCAGUAAACAAGAAGAGAACACUCCAAGGAAUAGAUAGAUGCGGACAAGCAAGUUAAAAUGCAAAGUUCCAAACCUCCGCAUACAACUUCUCUAAAAUAGCAAUAAUGUGUUGAUGAUAUGUUUUCUCAGCAUCUACCUGCAAAGGCCCGAGACUAGGAAAACAACAAUAAAACCACUAGCUAAAGGAGAAAGUAAAUAAAGAAAUACACUUGACAUAAAUCUUGACAAGAAGCACAAUUUAAGACAUAACAAACCCCAAUCAUAUUGUUUAGAACUACCAUUCGUUAUUUCGUUAUUGUAGCAUUUCGAACAAGUGUUGACUUAAUUCAACAUUGUUGGAAAGAUAGGCUUUUAGAAGCGGAAGAAAGCCACUCAAACCAAAGUGAUUAUCCUUGUAUUGAUCAAGGGAUGUAAACAUAUUACAUUUGCAGGAUGAGUUUUAAUCACUCCCCUGAUUUAUUUGGGUUGCAGUAAAACUAAGCGAGCAACUGUUUGACUUUCAAGCAACAUCUAAAUCAGCUAUUAAAAUUCAAAUAAAAUCAUAAUAGAAUAAUAACAGGCCAUCUUGCAUCAAAAAUUAAGUUUAAUUUGUGAAUUUUUUUCUAUAGACAUGUUAGUUCCUGCUAUUGAAAUGUUAAAAGCAUUGAAAAAUUAUUCAAUAAAUUAUGCAAACAUUAAAAUAGAGGACAUAUUAAAAAGUUUCUAAUUACAAUGUUAUGAUUUCCUAUAUUUUAGCAUUUGCAUAUUUUAAUUUAUUUAAAAGCUACGUCGAUCAACUUUGGGCGUGAAGAUUUUAGCUUCUACGAGACUUGAUUGGAAUAUGCAUAAGGAAGAGUGUUAAAAUAUGAUGCAUCCAACGAAAGACAAACCACGUGUAGUCUUUUAAUUAAGCCAAGAGUAGUGCUAGAGAGAGAGAAGCACGAGAGAAGGACGAGAGAAUUUUGCCCCUUUCUCUCUACCCACUCAUUCUCUCUCUACCCCUUUUUUCAUUGUUUCUCUCGUCUUUCUCUCGUGUUUCUCUACACCAAGCAUUUUCCUUAAGCCAAAGUAGCAGCUCAAACAAAUGACACUUGGACCAACAUGCAAUCAUGAAGUGGCCGGAAAAAGGACAAAUGCAACUUUGGCUUAAAUAAAAAAUAACAUGUGACUUGACUUUUGCUGGACAUGCAUCAUGUUAUUACAAGACAACAGAAAUCAGUAUGAUAGUACUAAAAGUUGACAAUAACAUGAAGAUAAGAGGCAGAAUGUCAACAAAUGCAUAGGCACACACAAGAAAGUAUUAACUUAUAUACCAUAGCAAAAAGUCUUUGAUAUGUCAUCUGUUGCUGCUGUGAUUCAACUGACAGCAUGGCAGCUGUCGCUUCUCUACCAAGAGCCAUUAUUGUAGAUUUAAGCUCGGUCAAUCUUGCUUCUGCAUUUCGAAGCUUCACAGCACUCUCUGCUGAUAUAUCAGAUUCCCUAAUCUUUGAUCGGCGCCUAAAUACUUCAGCUGCCUGGUGAAAAUAUUCAAUAUAAAUCUAACAUAAUUCUAAUCUUGCCUUAUACAUGCAUAUGUUAACUCAAAGCUUACCUGCGCUUCAACUUCAUGUCGAAGUUUGUCAUAACGAUGAGUCAGGUGUCGAGCAUCUUCCAAAGGUGCUCCAUUGAUUAACGCCCGUAGUGGCUCAGAUACCGACAUGUCCAAAAACCUGUAACAUAGUUAGAAAAAUGAAAAGAAAGAGCAAAACCUCAAUUAAAAAGUUCCUCCAACAUAAUCAUGGAAUUUGGGCCUACUUCAAGGAUAUAUAUAAGGAUAAUUUAUGCAAUUUUGGGUCUAAGGAUGAUUCAUAUUAGGUUAGUGUUCUUCUCUUCUGUAUUUAAGGUUAAAAUAGAAAUAAACCUAUGAAAAUAUCUAAAUUAGGGCUGUAAGACUUCCACAUGCAUCCUUCAGUCUCAUGGAUUUGAUUUUACUAUAGAUGCAAGUGUCUUUAUCGAAAAUGCUUGGAGUCAAUUGAGAGAACUCACGGCCAAUAACUUGUCACACGCUAGUCUUUGCUAGUGAUGUAAGAAGUCACAAGGUCUCUUCAACAUUUGAACCAAUAAAAUUAUUAAGUCAUGGAUGUCACUAGCAAUGAUUUUAAUAUAAAACAUUACAUAUUUCAGAGUUGAAACUUUAAAAUGGAUUCUUUUAUUCAGUAUCUUAGAACUAAGUUUCCUUAUGAGAAGAUAAUAGUUUCAGUAGUAAUUUACAUAUAAUUUUCUAUAUUUGAAUUAUUUUCUAGUUAGGGAUGAACUAACCUGAUCACGAAGAAUCCCAAGCAAAGUUUCCCUCUCAUUUUCCAUCAAAUCAUGUGAAGUGCCAAAUUGAAGAGCAGCUCUUGCAACGCAAGAAUUGUCACUUUGAUUCUCCACUCCAUACUUGCAACAAUCUUCGGCCAACUUUCUCGCUACAAUAUUUGAAUACAAAAAUAUUGUACACGAGAACUAGUCAAGAAAAUUAAAAAAAAAAAAAAUCAAAUAUUAUAACGAGAGCAAGAGCAAACAAACAACCUAUUUCCAUUUGUUUCAAGCUUACUGCAACAAACCCUUCAACGCCACGGACAACAUUCCUCUGAAAAUGCUGCGCUACAGAGCAUAUAUUCCAAAUUAUUGUUCAGAUAAAACCAUACAAACCAUCAUAAUUAUUCAACAUACAUUAAGCUCCGUUUGGUAAAUACUUGCAACUUCAGUCCAGAAAAUACAGUUAAUUUUUAUUUAAAAAACAUCAUAAUUAUCAACAUACAUAUUUGACAAAAUUAUUAUUUAAAAAUCAUAACUAAUUACCAAAAGCCACAAUAAAUCAAUAUCAAACAGUCUUAUUAUUAGCUAAAGGAGGAUAGUACCUUAGCUGCCCUGGUGGAAUUGUAUAGAUUUUGAAGUUGUUGGUGACACUCAAUUUCAGAUUCAUCAACAUUUUCAAUACCAAGAUGGAGCAGAUGCUUCAAUACUGCCUGUACAAACCAUAAAAAACUAAUGAAAAAUAAAUAAAAUCGAGAAAUUUCACUAAAUAAAAGUCUAAAUAUAAUUUUUAAAAAAAGAAAAGAAACGGACUUGCUGCUGCUUGGCGACUUGUUCUCGGAGCUUGAUUGCCUGUUUCUUGAUAGCUUCCAUACUGUUUCUUUCAAAAAGCGACGACGGCUCAGCUCAUGGAGGUGGAAAAAAAAAAGUGUGAUGGAGAAAAAUAAAAAGGCAUGAAUAAUUUUUGACAAAAAGCGAAAAUCAAGGAAAGCCAGCUCUUUCCAGAAAAAUAAAAAAGAAAAAAGAAAAUUAUAAGUUUGAAAGGAGAAGAUGAUAGUGGAAGUGUGCGGUGUGGCUGCCAGCUACUUGGAUUUUACUGUUGGGUAAGGUAAUAGUAGAGAAUUUUUUUUUUUUUUUAAGAAAAAUAGUAGAGAAUUUUUUAAGAAGCUAGAACAGAGCAUGACAUUAGACUUUUGUGGACCAAAUUCAAAAGCCGAAUGGCACGGCCCAGAAGCUUUUGAAUAGAAAAACUUGCAUCAGCCUCAAUCACUUCUUAAUCGCUUGCUUUAACUGCAUCGCUCUCUCUGUGCUCUUCUAUAUAUGUAACGGUUAUGCGGUUGUAGUUCACGACUGAGGCUACGUGUUGGUUUGACGUGGCAGUUACGUUACUAGGGGAUAAAUAAGAUUGGUUUCAACAAACCCACUAAUUUUAUAAAAUUCGAGUAAUAUAGAAUAAAAUAAAAAAAAUAAAUACAAAAUUGGCUUUUAUUUUUUCUGGUUGACUGUAUUUUGUGUUCUCUUCCGGCACUACUACAAUUGUUCCCUAUAUAUUAGUCACACCCAUAUGUCAUUAACACAAGAAAUGAAAUCUAAUGUCACCUAUUUAGUUAAAGAAUCACUUAUGAAAAAAUUUUACCAUUUUGAUUUGAGGAUCCAUAUUUUGAACUGCAAACUAAUGUUCAUCAAGAACAGAGUAUGACUUAUGUGUAGAAAAUUUUAUGAUUUUGGCCCGAAAUAUAAGGAAAUUAAAUUAGAUGAGAAUCUGCCACUUUCUCAUGAAGAAAGGCAUGCGGAGCAUACCAUGGUACCAUACGGAGAAUAUUAGAACCUCCCUAGAAUAUCUUUACCCUGAUGUUUCUAACAAAAAUCUGCAUGUGGCAGCAAUUACUAGAUCUACAAUUUCCCAAAUAAUAUUUUGUGUUUCUUAAAAAAUUUGAAAUACAUAGUUGCACUUGCACACCGUGAGACAGUGCUACAAUCUACUGAGAUCUAAAUUAUAUGAGACUUUAAGCUACUAAUGUUUGCAUAUUUCUACAUGUCAAAUUAACAUUACCAUCUAUAAUCCUAAACGACAGAUGAUAAACGGCUUUUGGCCACUUAUUACUAGCAUCCACAAUUAAUUUUUGUUCAGCAAUCAGCUUAUUUUAUAGAAAUUGAUUUAGUCAGCAACAAACACUAUAAUACUUGAAAUUAGUUCUUGUUCUUUGUAAUUUUCUAUGAUUUUUCAUAUAUCAAUUAAUCUGCAGUGCCAAGAUGAGGUUUAGUUUUCAAACUAAAUAAUCAAGUAAGCAAAAAUACAAAUUCAGAGAUUAGCGGGGUAAACUAGCUGGGUGGUUUAGAACUGGGCUAGCUACCUCCCUGUAUUCCUAUUUGUAAGGUGAAUUAAUUGAAUCAUGAGAAAACAAUGUGACCAUAGCUCAAUAUGAGAUGAUUUCGGAGAGGCAUAUUGUUUUCGAGUGAAUUUGAUCCAUUAAGAGAUGAAGUGGAUUGAAGUGGAAAGUUUAAAUAACAAAUCCUUGUUCUUGAGUUUUACGACGUCGUUACUCCUUCAGGUGGCAGAUUAUGCAAGUGAAUUCAAAAACACAAUGCAUCAAUCACGGGGACAAAAGACGGGAUCACAGUCUAUGCAUUGAACAGUUACAGUUGCUGCUACCAAUUGUUCGGCAAAGAUCAAGAAGACUGAACGGGAAGCUAAUGCCAUCAAUGUCGUCUUCACUAUAUCUGCUGGGAAUGUAGGUGAACUUUCCUCAUUUGCAGCUGUCUAUACAUAGGCUUUUCCCCAGCUUAAGUACAAAUAAAUGAAGCUGCCUUGAAGGCUUUAUUAUUGACCCCAAUAAGGAUUACUAAUUGAAGAAGACUAUACGGAGUUAAUCUCACAUUUUAGUUCUCUCAAUUUCUUUCAGAAGUGCCUCUGAAAAUAGCUGCCAAACCGUUAGUCAGCUUGUAUACUCUGUUUUCUGGAAACAGAGUAGCAUAUUUAAUCGUUUUAAUUGAAUUGUCUUCGUAGCGAUCAUCAACAAACUCAUCAUAAGAUUUUUGAAGCACCCAAGGACUAUCACUGGGUUUCUCUUCUGGUUGAUUUAUUAAUUAAUCAAAGAACGGUUGGAUGAAGUGCAAUGAUGGAGCAAAAUUUACAAUGUCUCCGGUUUCUCCUGACCAUCGGACUUUUGCAGUGAGAACAUAUAACAAAAAGACCUUCAUCAAAAUUUGUAGACUCCGGGUAUGGAUUGGAUCGAGUUUUUUGUUUGAUAUUGAAGAACCACUUUACUAUCGCGAUAUAGAUUAUGUGCAAGGGGUUGUCUACUGUUCUUUGCCUUGUGCUAUGAUCGGUGCUUUUGACGUUGCCCCGAAACAGUGGAAAAUACUUCGAUUUCCUCCGUUUGAUGAUGCAAAGAACUGGUUAAUGUACGAUUACCUAAUUGACUCAGGAUCAAGUAACAACAACAAUUUAUUAAUAGUAGUAUCACAAACGAAGAAGAUUUCGGAGAGGGUGAUGUAUGCCUAUACCGUUUACAGGUUUGAUCCACAGGGGAUGAAGUGGUCUCAAGUGGAAAGUGAUUUAUUAAACAACAAAUCAUUGUUCUUGGGUCAUACCUCAUGAUGUCAUCAAGUGGAAGAUGAAGAUUAUGCAAGACGAAGAUCGUUUGAUAUUGAAGAAUUUGAACAGAAAGCCCAUAGAAAGUACUUAAAUAAGCAUAUUCUUGUUGGGGUAGAAUAUUAAGAAAGGAGUUGUCUACUGUGUGUUGCGUGAUUAGGCUAUGAUCUGUGCUUUGAACAUUGCCCUCAAAACAGUGGAAAAUACUUCAUAUCCUCGACAUGAUGAUGAAAAAUUGGUUACCGAUUACCUAAUUGACUCAGUGACAACAAUCUAUUAAUAGCACAAUUUGGCGUGAUGCCGUUUAGGUAUAUGGUUUUCAAGUUUGAUUCAUCAGUGAUGAAGUGGACUAAAAUAAGAUGUUUAAAUGAUAAGUCAUUGUUCUUGGGCAUAUCGUCAUUACUACUUCUAGUGAUCAAAGAUGAAGAUGAAGAUGAAGAUGAAGAUGAAAAUUGUGCGAGUUCAAGAUUACCAUCAACUCAAUUUUAUGAUUGGAGUGUCUCACCGUGACUCAGACAAAUUCUGAUUCAACCUCCUUCACCAAUGGAUUUUGAUUAGUUAUUUUGUGAUCAAGCAACUUAAUUAAACUCACAGUUUGUUAGUCUAAUUUUAGUUUUACUGUGACCACUAUUCAAGGUAAGCGAAAGUUACAGAUGUGGCAAAAUCAAUAAUUAAAUUCAUAAAAUGUUAAAAAAUAAAACUUAUAAAUUUUGCAUGACUACUUACUAAUAAAUAAAUAAGUUAGAAUGUAGUUAGUUAAUUUUACACCAUAUUAUAUAUUAUUCGAUAAUAAUAUAAAAUAAAAAGAAUUAAAAAAUAAAUAAUUGAAUAAACAAAUAUGACUUUCUAAACAGUAAAAAUUCUAGAGUUAAAAUUUAUAUUAUUAUUUUAUUUUUUAAAAUUGACAUAUUUCUAUUAUCUUACAUGUACACAGAUUUUGAGAGUUGAGAAGAAUAUAUUUAAUGAAGCUUGCUAACAUUUGGUGGGAUAGCAAGUAAGGGUAAAUAAGAUUUUUUUGUUAUUUAUUUGAAUUAUAUCUAUUUUGUUCAAGUUAAAAUACUAAAUAUAAAUUGGAGGUAGACAUUUUAACAGAUCAUCUAAGCUCUCAAAUCUGAAAUUUUGUGUAGAUUUAAAUUCAUAAUUUUAGUUAAUUUUCAUACAUUCAUAUAAACAAAUUUAUGAGAUUUUUCUUUUCAGCAUGUUAUAUUUUGAAACUUUCAAUGUAUUAUUCUAGCUUUAUUUAAAUAAUUAAUUUAUUUAAAAUUUAUUUAAUUUUGAAUUUGAUCAAUAGUAAAAUUAUUUUUAUAUCAAAUUUUUUUAUUUAAAUAGUUCGUGGAUUGGACAAAAUUAAAAAUUUUUAAUCCACAAAAUGGUGGAUUAGAUAUGAAUUGGGUUAAAUACACAUUCGAUCCGCAGUCGUAUGAAUUUGAUUUGGAUUGAAUUUCAUCAAUCCAUGGAUUAGAUUGGAUUGAAAAAUUUAUUAUCCGCAAAAUCGUGGAUCGAAUAUGGACUGAUGUCCAAUCAGCAAAAUCCAAUCCCCGAACACUCCUCUAUCAAAAUUUUCAAGAAUAUUUUUUAUCUUACAAAUUUUUUUUAAAGUCAUAGUCUAAGGGCGGCCCAAUUUCUACUCCAUCCAUAUAAGCGGAGUUCAAAUCUCAUACCUCUUAUCUCCACACAAGAGAUUUAACCAAUUGAAAUAGCUAGCACCCACAAGUAUACUAGUACAGCAUCUCUUAACGUUUAACAUACGUAAAAUUAACGCCAUAGCUAUUGAUAAACACAUUGUUCAAUAUAUAUGAUCAAGAAUCUGAUCCUGCGAGCAACAGCAGUCAGAAGAACCAUUAUAAUGCCUAGCUCUUAUCCUGGUUAAUCCUCUGGCCCGAUGCUUCAUCAUAGUGAUUUAAAAAACCAACAACAGCUCUCUAAAAGAGAUGAAGAUAUCAUCUACGUAAAGAACAUGAGACGGAGAUUCACAACCCAUAAGAACUGAGAUAAAUUGGACCAGACCAGUAAUCUUGAGAUAAGUUAAACUGUGACUUAAGUUGAAAUCAGAGGACAGGAAUUUUAAAAUCUUUCGGCUAAGCCCCUGAGGAAUUUUCUAGAGUACGACUUCUGCUUACCUCUGUUUAAUUUCUCUUUAUAUUUUUCUUUCAUUUCAUUAAUAAAGUCAAAUAAUAAAUCAAAGAACGAGGGAAGAUUUUUCCAAGUCAUGCAUUAUUUGAUUACCAUCAAUCAAGAAACCGACCAAAUUAAUUUCUCUCCGUGAUUUUUAAAAAUUAAAAAAAAAAUAUUUGAGCAUAACAUCAUUAAUUAUAGAGUGGAUCAAACUGCGUUAAUCAUGAACUUUGUUGUGUUAAUUAUUUCAAUCCCCGAUUACGCAAUUUUUAAAUUAUAGCCUAACGGUGGUCUCAUCACCACGUGUGUGAUUUUCUUUUGCCAAUAGGAUCUGUAGAGAGCUUGAUCUCACCCAAUAGCAAAAUAAACUUCCUAAUAAGUGAAGGCAUAGUAUAAAUAAUUCACCCCCAUAUUAUUUAUUAGCAGCUUGAUUAUUUUAUAUGCAUCUUUGAUUUAAAUUUUUUUUUCCCAUAAUUGCUACUAUGUUCGAACUGGUCAUGAAUUAUCUAUAAGAUUUUUCAUGUUGCUUUUAGGUGCAUUGGAUUUUUUUUAGUUUAGUGCAAGAGUAGAGGAAGGCAAAUUAAGAAAAAGGAUAAAGAUCUAUGAUUAGCUAUUUUGGGAUGUCUCAUAACAUAUUGAUGGUAACAUUAUACAUAUGUAUAUCUAAAAAAUGGGGUUGGAUCAAGAGCCCAUUAAUAAUCAUAGAUUAGCUUAUAUAGCAAUUUCACAAGCACAUGUUAGCCUAUGUUGAGCUUUAUUAUCAAUAGUUCAUAGUUCAUCGGUGCACUGCAGGUUUACUAUUUGAAGUAAAUAUUAUGGUGCGUGCAUUUUUUAUAAGGCCAACUGCUGAAUUUAGCAUUGAAACUUACAAAAUGUAAUAGAGAGAGGUAGAUAACAGCCACAAAACACUAAGAUUGGAAAUCAGGGCUACUAAAUACUAUUACAAGCCCUUAGAAAAGACACUGAUCAUCCUAGAAUGUAUAUACUGAAAGUAAGAAAUAUUAAUCGCAAAGUUAUGUGCCAACAAAACUAUUGACUACUUGUCUCUAGCAGAAGGUAUAUAUUUUUAACUUCAGCUCUCUACUUUGUUCUAAGAACUAGGCAAAAGAAUGAAACUUCGGUGUCUAAAGUUUGCCGCUUGAAAUAUUUCACUGUCUAAACAUUCACUCACCACUUAUUUCAUAAAUGAAUUUUGUCUAACUAUAUGUUGAUAAAGAUAUUAGAGGUAAUAUAAUGCAUUUAAGACUUAACGUAUAUUUUUUAUUAGUAGAGUGUAGAAUUUUUAAGAAAUAAAUUAUUAAAUUACUAUAACUAACAUAUUAUUUUAAAGUUAUGUUAAGAAAAGAAUGAAAAUAAAAAAUAAAAAAAUAAGGGUAUUCUAAAACUUUGAUCCUUUUAAAAGUAGUUUUUGACGUAAAUAAAAUAAUUUUUAUUUUUUUUAAAUCACAUACUCUAGUUAAAAUCAAAUUUGUAUUUAUAAAGAUUGUAAAAUUUUUUUUAGCAUUAAUAUUUGAAUACUUUCAAGAUAAGAAAUAGGGUACUAAUUAUGCUACAACAUUAUUAUAGCACAUAAAAAGACAAUACCCUUUAUAUUAUUAUACUAUCGUUUUUGUUAUGAUAGUAUUUUGUUAGUGGUCAAAUAUUACUUUUUUAAAUAAAAAAGUAGACAAAUGUAAAUCAAUUUUUAAUCUCUCCUAAAAUUCUAAUUCCUAGUUACCAAACAAAAUUGUUUGAAAAUAAUUUGGCUAAGUGCAUGGGUUCUUAAAACUAUAGGUGAUAGAAGUUACAAGCACAAGCAAAUUUGACGGUCCAUUUUAUAAAAUUUUUAAUAAUUUUUUAUUUACCAUUUUACCACCUAUAUAAUGAGUGCCACAUCGACAAAUCAAUUCAUUUGCAAAUUAUAUUAAUUUUGUAAAAUUCAUUUGACUUGCUAAACCCUUCUUAUCCCCUUUCUCGACUGUCAUACCCUAACCUUAUUUCCCGUGUCCACACUUGACCACGCUCAAUUCAGGCCAUCAGAUUAUCCUGGACCCACAUUAAUCCAACUGCUCACAAUGACCGACAGCCUCUCCAUCUCCAUUUCAAGCUUCCUCUUCAACUGGCUUCUGCUUCCGUCGUACUCUUUCUUGGAUUCGGAGUCCGUAUUUGCUCGGCCGGUCCCGCACAGCUCCCUCUCACUCCAAUUGUCACCCAACAAGACCAAUUGCUUAACAUUGACCGUAUGGCAAUUGUCCGUAUUUCUUGGAUUCGGAGUCCGUAUGGCACAGAACAAGAAGAGGAUGAGAAAUUGAAACAAGAAUUUGAGAAUUGGAAAUCGAAAACGUACGCAUUGACCGUGCCUUUGAGGGCAAUUACUUUUCUUGAGAAUUGAAGUUUGGUAAUGUAAUUUGUUCUCCAUCUGUGUUCCCUUUGUAGUCAUUUCAUUUAUUUGUUUGUUUGCUUUUAUUUGCACUUACGAAGUCUCAGAUAUAUCUACGCAGGAAUGAUGCAGGAGAAAUUGAUCCUCGAGCUUACAAGAAAAGUAAAUUUCGAAAGCAUAAUUUGGCUCCGAUUGAGGUAAUAAUUGUCUUUAAACUCAUUUAGUUUUAUAUCAAACAAAAUAAAGGCUGCCUUUCUCUUCAAUAUUUUUUAUGAUAAUAUCUUUAGAAGCAUCUCAUUGACGGGUAAUCAUGGUAUCCCUUAAAGAGUCUAUAAACUCAAUGAUAUUUUCUUCUGCAAAUGGUUCAUUAAACUUCUUAGACGUAGUUAAAUGUACACUAAGAACAACGAGAAGCUAUGCCGCUGUAGCAUGUAGUGAGAUCUUGUUUGAAGUUGUUUUCUGAAAUGAACUGCCAAAUGGUAGUUUUUUAUUUCUUGGGUGCAUUUGAUGACUCUUUUCUCCUCAUUUUAAGCAUGUACCUGCUUGGAAUGGGAAGGAAUAGGCUUCCGAGUUGUUAUAUAUGUUGACAUGCUCUGAUCAUUACACAAAAUGUUCAAAUUGGAAAUUAGAAUGAGAUAUUUGUCGAUGCUUUUUGAGAGAUCUGCAUUCUAUGCACCAUAACAUGAUUAAUGAAAACAGGUUUAAGGACUGGAAAGAUCUGUGGCGGCCCAAGCUUGCAGGAAGGAUUUCAAUGGUUAAUUCUCCCAGAGAGGUUAUUGGUACAGUUUUGAAGUAUAUGGGAGCAUCAUACAAUUCAAACGACAUUGAUUAGCAAGUUGCUGCUGGGAGGAUUGCUGUUCAGCAGAAUCUGGCAUUACUGGGAAACCAGGUACUCUUAAAGAAAUGAUAUCUGGUCAAUGCAUAUUACUGCCUGAGCUGAUUUUGUUUGUAAAGUCUGCCUCUUCAUACAUAUGAAUGCAUAUGUUAGUGUUUUCUUCUCCUUUUAAUACACAUGAAUGCAUAUGUUAGUGUUGUCUUCUCCUUUCCAUAAAUAUGAAUGCAUAUGCUCUGGGUGUUGGUUACUACUUCAAGUGGAAGGUGAAGGUGAUGCAAGUGAUUUCAGGAGUACAUAUAUUCCAAGGAUGCUGGACUAUUAUUGCUUCCCCCCAUAUUUCAGAAUUUUUUGUCAACCUCCUCCACUAAGGGAUUCCAAUUGAGUUACAAAUAUAUUUUCUGUAGCUAUGUUUUAAAGUUUUGGUCUCAUGUUAAUUUUUCUAAUUACUAUUCUUCAACAAAUCUCUUUUACUUUAAAAAACUGCUACAGUUUGAUUUUACUGCCUUAUAUCAUUGAACAUUGAUACAUGGAAUUUGAAAUCAGACUUGUAACAACAGAUAUAUAGAUAUAGAACAUGCAUAUAAUCUCCAUUUCGAGCUCCCUCUCCAACUGGCUUCUGCUUCCGUCGUACUCUUUCUGGGAUUCGGAGUCCGUAUUUGCUCGGCCGGUCCUGCACAGCUCCCUCUCACUCCAAUUGUCACCCAACAAGACCAAUUGCUUAAUCAAGGCACAGAACAAGAAGAGGAUGAGAAGUUGAAACAAGAAUUUGAGAAUUGGAAAUCGAAAACGUAUGCAUUGACUGUGCCUCUAAGGGUUGUUUCUCUUCAGAAUUCAGUGCCUCAAUCUUGGGUUAAGGAUUUUAUGCGAAGUCAAGGAAAGAGAUUGAAGUUUCAGAUGAAUUUGUGUGCUAGCAUUGGUGGGAUCUUUAACAAUUUAUCUGUGCCCUUUAACAAAGUUAAGGGUAAGUCAGCUUCGUAUACGGCUGCUGAUUUGGUUAGUGUUGGUGAUUCAUGGCUCAGUUUUGCGAUUAAAAAGAGAUUGAUUGAGCCAAUAGCUGAAGCUGAAGAUCAAGAUUGGUUCAAAUGCUUAUGUCACAAAUGGAAGGUAACAUACUAACAUCUUUAUCUUUGACCCGAUAAUUUUUAUUGUCUUACAUUGAAAUUUGGUAAUGUAAUUUGUUCUCUAUUUGUGUUACCCUUUGUAGUCGUUUUAUUUAUUUGUUUAUUUGCUUUUAUUUGCACUAAUGAAAUCUCAGGUAUAUCUACGCAGGAAUGAUUCAGGAGAAAUUGAUCCUCGAGGUAAAAUAUGGGCGGCACCAUACAGGUGGGGCACAACGGUGAUAGCCCACAAGAAAAGUAAAUUUCGAAAGCAUAAUUUGGCUCCGAUUGAGGUAAUAAUUGUCUUUAAACUCAUUUAUUUUUAUAUCAAACAAAAUCAAGACUGCCUUUCUCUUCAAUAUUUUUUAUGAUAAUAUCUUUAGAAGCAUCUCAUUGACGGGUAACAAUGGUAUCCCUGAAAGAGUCUUUAAACUCAAUGAUAUUAUCUUCUACAAAUGGUUCAUUAAACUUUGUCGUUGUAGUGAAAUGUACACUCAGAGCAAUGAGAAGCUAUGCCACUGUAGCAUGUAGUGAUGGCACUUAAUAAGUGAGUUGCUAGGAUGUGAACUAGAAAAAUUAAAUAUUGUCUCCUUGGGUAUGCUAGCUCAUAAGUCAGGGUUAAUAUUAGAGCUUAAGUUACUAUAACCAUGAGACGCUAUUGACUGCCAAUUAAAAUAUCCAUUAAAUUGUCUAGGAAGUUAUGAAAGUGGAGGUAUCUUCCGAUUUCUAAGGCCAGAUAGUAGACAUCAUCCAGGAUCCUAGGAAAGUGCAGUUAACCUCCUGCUCGAUGCAAUUAAUAAAUUUGGUCAAUGCCACUGAAACCUGCAAACCGACGUCACAAUGCAAGAUGAGCACUUCAAAAUGGGACAGACGGUCAGUAGCACUAAAUUUUUCUUUCCCAAGAUUGAGCAAUUGGUCUAACAACUAACCCCUAUUGUAGGUUGAUCAUUAUUUUUCCAAUUAUGUUCAGUUUGACCCAAAAAGUUACAGAAUCUUGAGCUGAAUAUUGUCACUGAACACUGUCAAUGUCGUUUAGCAUACCCAACUAACUUGAGUUUGGUAAAACAAACACACUGUGUGUCUCAUCUCUCACAAUUCAAAUUAUCAUCUGUAAUGAUGGAGAAUUUUUCCGAUGUAUGAAGUAUGCUUUGAUACGUGUACCUUGGAGAAGAUAUCUCCAAAUAAAGAAUAUGGAGAGAAAACGGUUCAGUAGUUUAUUAUUCUGUAGGCAAUUCUUGUCUCAAAAAUGGUCAAAAUUUAAAUGAAUAAGGACAGGGGAUCUUCAUUCUUUUUUCCCUUUUUUAUACCAAGAUAUCUCUCAACCUUUAUAUAAUCCCCACUGGAUAUCUGCUUCUAAUAAUUAAAAUAAAAAUUUCACCCGCACAAAUAAAUACUGACCAAGCUCUAACAAUAAAAAGUAACAUCUUUACUCAAGUAAUUUACAGUUCCUCAUCAUCUUAGUGUGAGACUAUCAUUACGUUCCAAAAACAUAAUAAAACUGGUUUGAUCCUGUUUAUUGAUGUUUAAAUGUUGUUCAUUGUGACAUGUAGAAAUGAUGAGGCGAAGUUUAUUUGGUCAUCAAUUAGUAAGAUCUUGUUUGAAGUUGUUUUCUGAAAUGAACUGCCAAAUGGUAGUUUUUUUGGGCAUAUGAUGGCUCUUUUUUCCUCAUUUUCAACAUGUGCCUGCUUGGAAUGGGAUGGAUUAGGCUGCAGAGUUGUUAUAUAUUUUGAGAUGCUCUGGCCAUUGCACAAUUUGUUCACACUGGAAAUUAGAAUGAGAAAUUUGUUGAUGCUGUUUUGAGAGAUCUGCAUUCUAUGCACAAUAACAUGAUUAAUGAAAAUGGAUUGUAGGACUGGAAAGAUCUGUGGCAGCCUGAGCUCGCAGGAAGAAUUUCAAUGGUUAAUUCUCCCCGAGAGGUUAUUGGUUCAGUUUUGAAGUAUAUGGGAGCAUCAUACAAUUCAAGCGAUAUUGAUUCGCAAGUUGCGGGUGGGAAGAUUGCUGUUCAGCAGAAUCUGGCAUUACUGGCAAACCAGGUACUCUUAAAGAAAUGAUAUCUGAUCAUGCAUGUUAUUGCCUGACAACUGAUUUUGUUUGUAAAAGUCUGCUUCUUCAUACAUAUGAAUGCAUAUGUUAGUGUUCUCUUCUCCUUUUCAUACAUAUGAAUGCAUAUGUUGGUGUUGUCUUUUCCUUUUCAUACAUAUUAAUACAUAUAUUGGUGCUCUCUCCUGAGAUGGAUGCAAUAAAGGCUUUUGGUCCUAAAUUUAGCUGAAGAAAUGGCAAGGGAUGUGAGAUUCUGUCUCAUUAAAUUAACAAAAACCCAAAACAAUGAAAACCGAUAAUAAUGUGGUGGGGGUAAAUUGGCACCAUUUGGUUUGUUUCCUUAAUGUGAAUACACGAGCAAUAGGGACUAACAAAAUGAAGUGACAACAACAAGUCAGUGUCCUUUGAUGGAUGCAUUUUAGGCAGAAAUAGGUUUGUAAUUGACCAAUUUCAAAAAAUUUAAAUUAUGUGGUUAUUAGCUGUAAUGAAGGGGAUAGUAGGUGCAAUCAGGUGGAUCCAGGAAAGUUCAACAAAGUUCUGGUAUGGCAUAGUGAAAUUGGUUUGUGCAACUCAAGAGUCUUUCAGGUGAACGAUGAUACGUUUUGAUUUAUAAAUGUUAUAAAUCUACCGUCCAUAGUAUUCUAGUAGAGUCAUCUAUAAGUUCUAGUUAUUGAAAUUGUCUACUUUGUCCAGUUUGAGUUAAGGGCACAUGUAAUAGGAAAAAUAGUAUUCACAUCUUUUUGGUUACCUAACAUUUGAUCGAUCCUAUUAUGAGGGCUUCAAGAUGCCUGACAAUAUGUAGAAUGCCCAUGCUCCUCCCCAUUGUUUAUCUUAUACAAUAAUUUGUUUUAGAUGCUAAUAUAUUUGUCGAUACCGGUAACGAUAUUACAAUAUCUGCGUUUAUUGGGUUUUACAUAGGUUCGACUGUUUGACAGUACACACUAUCUGAAGGCAUUUGGAAUUGGAGAUGUAUGGGUUGCUGUUGGGUGGAGUAGUGAUGUUCUUCCUGCUGUCAAACGUAUGUCUAAUGUUGCAGUUGUUGUUCCCAAGUCUGGUGCUAGCUUAUGGGCCGAUCUUUGGGUAUACCCAUGCCUGCCAUUCUACUUCGAUAUUCACAUUGUUAUCUCCUUCAUUUUAGCGAUCAUAAACUUGAUAAUGUGACUAAUAAGUUCGUAUUCUCUAUAUAGGCAAUCCCUGCUGCCUCAAGACUUGAAACAAAAGAAAUUGGAGGGCGAGUCAGAGGUCCAUCUCCAUUAAUCCAUCAAUGGAUAGAAUUCUGCUUGCAAACAGCGAGAACAUUGCCUUUCAAGCAAGAGGUUAUCCCGGGCGCAUCUCCCUCUGCCCUUGAAAGUACUCUGGUUAAGUUGCCUGAAGAACUUCUGAUGGGUAAACCAAGUCUGGAUACUAACUUAAUUGCUGGAGUACCCCCGGCUGAAAUUCUGGCCAGAUGUGAGUUUUUGGAGCCAUUGCCUGAAGCUACAUUGUCAGAUUAUGAGUGGCUGGUUGCUAAUCUGCAAAAACCUGCCCCCGUCUUGAUGAAAAGGCUGCAACAUUACUUGUCAUCAUUAAUCCAAAGCUUUCUAGCAAAAGCUACAUUGAAAAGUUAAUGGCACUGCAUGCCAGUCAUUGUAAUGCUGUCAGGGCUAUUGGGUCAGGGCAAUUAGGUAAGAGCAUAACUUCAUUAGGAAAAGAGGCUUCAGCUACGUUAAAUAUUGCAGGAUGUACUGAGAUGGUUGAAGUUCUUGAGGUUUUACGAGAAACGAAAGAUGAGUGUUUGUUUGAACAAAGUUGUUGCCAUCUUGCAAGAUCACUGAGCGAAUGCCACCGAUUUCUUAAUCAUUGUAGCCUCCAUAGUUGAAGUUUCCUUAUUUGAAGCUGUUUAUGCGUACGCUUUUUCCCUGCUCAAGUACAGGAAAUUGAAGAAUUAACCAGAUGUGAUAUGCUGAAAGAGGGAAGUUUUCUUCCUUGAACGUGGCCUUGUGAUUUGUCUUGAAGGAAUAGGAUGAUCACUGGCAAGAACCCUAUCAAGGUAGAUUUUAUGGUGCUAACGUAUUAUUAAGCAUUUUGUUACAUCAGCAAUGAUGCUUCCAUAGCAUGAAAGUGUUUAAAUUUAACUGAAUGAUCUUGAUUAAUCAAUUAUGAGUUUUAAUCGAGUAAAAACUAAAUACAAUCAUCGUUAGCAAAUACUGAAAUUGGGUAAAUAUGAUCUUGAUAUUGAAGAAUCUGAAAACACAACCCACACAGGGAAUCACCCUUCGCGUGGGGAUGGAGAUGUUUACUGCAGCGAUAUUGAAUAUGUCCACUGCUCUUUGGGUUAUGGUGCGACUUGCCCUGAAACAAUGGAAAAGAUUAACAUACCCUGCAAUGAAUGAAAGCGGCUGGACUAAUUCUGAUUACCUAAUUGACUCAGGAUCGGGUGGCAAUAAUGACAGUUUAUUAACAAUGCACAGUUCCGAGUACUUUUCCAGGAUCAGAUAUUACGUGGUCUAAUGUUGAUAAUAAUAGAUUAUCAAAUGAGAGAUGCUGAGAGAUGCUGGUCUACCUUUGCAAGCCCCCAGAUUUAAGAAUCUUUUGAUGAUAAUUUACCACCUGUACCUGUGCCGGAAGAUUCACCUAGCACUGAAAAAGAUGAUAAUUUAAUUGAUAUGGAUAGUUUUCAUAACACUUUUAAAUCAUCUAUAUGUGAACUAUUAUUGACGCUAUUUUGUUGUAAACAAUCUUAUUCAAUUAAUAUAUAAUUUAAAAUCAUUAUGUAAAUCAAUCUAUUACUUUUCAUGAUAUUUAAUUGAGUUAAAACUAAGUGCACCCAAUAAAUCUCUUUUCCUUUAAAAAACUGUUACGCUUUGAUUUUAGUGCUUAAUAUUUACGGAACUCCGGUACAGGGAAUUCGAAAUCAAACUCGUAACCACAGAUUAUCUAAUUGCAAGUUUUUGUCCAUAGUUGCUGAUUGUAGUGAUUAUCUAAUUGACUGAGGUGACAACAAUUUUUUUUUUUAAUUUUCAAUAGCAUAAUGUGGAAUUCAAUAAUUAAAUUCUCCUUUUUAAUUUGUUUCCAAUUAAAUUAUUAAUUACUUAAACUCUGUUUUAAGUCUUUAAUUUUAUGUCUUGGCGUAUAUGCAGGGUUGGAUUCUUGAGCGUGUUGGACACGACCAACAAUGAAAUUGACAGUAAACAAACAUUACAACGCGUUGAGUGUCGACUCCGCUAGCUGCCCUACAAGUCUACAACUUUACAAACAACAACUGAGUACACACAUUUGAUUCUUGGGACCCUUCAAUGAAUUUCUAGCCCGGUUGACUCCACCGACAAAAGUUUUGGAAAAUAAAAAAGAAAAUUCAUAGAAUUCCACCAAAUGCAAAACGCGUGGAAUUUAAUUUUCGGCCAUGUGGACCAAAACAUAAUUUAAUGAAAAAAAAAGAUAAGAUUUCUAAAAUGUGUGGAAGGUGAUCCAUAUUUUACUGAAAACAACUUGUUAAAUUUUUCAAAGAUUUAGAAUAUUUGGUCAUAAAUUACGCUCAUGUUAAUUUUUCCGCUAUUGACUAUCAUAUUCUAGACUCACUGGUACCUUUCUUGAUGAAGGGUACUUAGUCUCUCUUCUCCUCUUAUAAAAAUUAUAUUAAGUGAUUUCUUAUUAUAAUAAAUAGUCUUUAAGAACGUAUAGAUUUAUUGUUUUCGUGACCAAAUUAUGCCAGCUUAAGGUUGCGACUAUUAAUAAAAUUAAUAUUUAAUGUUUAUGUUAAAAGAUAUAAGAUUUUAUGCAUUCAUUAAUUGUUAUUAGCUAAAGGAUUAAUUAUUUUUUCAACCCAAUCAGUUGAUGCAUCUGCAAAAAAAAUUUCUUUUAUUGACCAUAAUUAUAUUCCGGGUACAAUAAAUUAUCUUUGGUGCUUGGAAAAUUUGACUUCUUACUUCAAGUUUGAUGUGUCUCUCUCCAUAAGCUUACUGGAAAUAUAUCCUUUUGUAUUAUUAAUAAAGUGAAAUUUGUUGCUCCUUCCUUCUAAAUCUAAACAGAGUUUCACAAUUUCACCAACUUGGAAUAUUUGACAUUGGACUUUUCCUCUCUCCAUAUAAGCCUUCUGCAAAGAAUUGCAUCGUUAUUCCCUUCAUUAAAAAAUCUGUCGAUGUCUGGUUGUGAAGUCAAUGGUGUCCUACGCGGUCAAGGUAAAAGAAAAGUGUUGAUUGUGAACUCACUCAAUGGUGUCCUACGUGUUCAACAUUUUUAUUUAUUAAUCUUUCUGCUAGAUUUUCCUCAUUUCAAGAGUUUGGAACAUUUUGACCAGCUUUCUUCAAAUCAUCGGUGAAUCAAUGCCUUCUCUUAAGUACUUAUCACUGUCAGAUUCUACUCUUGGCACUAACAGCAGCAGGAUUCUUGUUCGAGGUUAAUCAGAUGCUCCCACCCUCCCUUCUUAAUCUAUAAUAUUAAUUUUCAAUUAAAUAUUCAAUUACACAAACCAAUCACUUAUUAUAAAAGAACAAUACGCAUUCAUUAAUUUUUAUAUUGUAUUAAUAAUUGAUGAAUUUAAUAAAUUUUCAAAUAUUGUAUUAAUAUUUGACAUCCAUUGAAGAGCUGUAUCUUUCAAACAAUCACUUCCAGAUCCCAAUUUCACUUGAACCAUUUUUCAAUCACUCACGACUCAAGAGUUUCUAUGCUGACAACAAUGAAAUAAAUGCAGAAAUAAUUGAGUCGCAUUCUUUGACUGCCCCAAACUUCCAAUUAAAAUAUCUCUCAUUGUCUUCCGGUUACGGAGAUGGUGUCACAUUCCCCAAAUUCCUUUACCAUCAACAUGAUCUGGAGACUGUUGACCUCUCACAUAUAAAGAUGAGUGGAGAAUUUCCAAAUUGGUUGUUGGAAAACAACACAAACUUAGAAUAUCUUUUUUUGGUUAAUGAUUCUCUUGCAGGACCUUUUCGGUUGCCAAUUCAUUCACACAAGCGGUUAAGACUGUUGGAUAUAUCCAACAACAACAUCCGAGGCCACAUUCCAGUAGAAAUUGGAGAUGUUUUACCAAAUUUAUACGUUUUCAACAAUUCCAUGAAUGCUUUAGACGGUAGCAUUCCCUCUUCAUUUGGUAAUAUGAAAUUCCUCCAAAUUCUAGACUUAUCCAACAAUCACUUGACUGGUAAAAUCCCCGAGCACUUGGCCAUGGGUUGCGUCUACUUGAAUUUUCUUGUCUUGUCAAACAACAACCUACAAGGUCAUUUGUUCUCUAGAAAUUUUAACUUGACAAACUUGAAAUGGUUACAAUUGGAGGGCAAUCGCUUCGUAGGUGAGAUCCCAGAAAGUUUGUCUAAAUGCUCCUCACUAGAAGGAUUGUCUCUUAACAAUAAUAGUCUUUCGGGUAAGAUUCCACGAUGGUUGGGUAAUCUCACAUGGUUAGAAUAUAUUAUAAUGCCCAAUAAUCAUCUUGAAGGCCCUAUUCCAGUGGAGUUUUGUCAGCUUGAUUUGCUUCAGAUUUUGGGCAUUUCAGACAACAACAUAUCUGGAAGUUUACCAUCUUGUUUCCAUCCUCUCUCUAUCAAACAAGUUCAUCUUUCAAAAAAUAUGUUACAUGGACAGCUAAAAAGAGGUACAUUCUUUCAUUGCUCUUCCCUUGUGACAUUAGAUCUUAGCUAUAACCGCUUGAAUGGCAGCAUUCCGGAUUGGGUUGAUGGGCUUUCUCAGUUAAGCCACCUUAUCUUAGGUCACAAUAAUCUUGAAGGUGAAGUGCUAGUUCAAUUAUGCGAAUUGAACCAACUACAAUUGUUAGAUCUUUCUAAUAAUAAUCUUCACGGUCCUAUUCCUCCUUGCUUUGAUAACACCACACUUUAUGAAAGUUACAGCAAUAAUUCUAGUCUUGAUGAGCAAUUUGAAAUAUCUUGUUCCAUCGAAAGCCCUCAGGGAGAUGUAGAAAAGCAAAUCCGUGAAAAUUUUGAGUUCACAACAAAGAACAUUGCGUACAUUUACCAAGGAAAAGUGCUUAGCCUCCUAUCAGGACUUGAUCUUUCUUGCAACAAGCUAAUCGGUCCUAUUCCUCCUCAAAUUGGAAAUUUGACAAGGAUUCAAACAUUGAAUCUAUCACACAACGACUUGACAGGAUCGAUCCCAUCAACAUUUUCAAACUUGAAGCAUGUCGAAAGUUUGGAUCUUUCCAACAACAAAUUGAAUGGGAAAAUCCCUCAUCAACUAGUGGGGUUAAAGACAUUGGAGGUUUUCAGUGUGGCAUACAAUAACUUAUCAGGCGAAAUUCCAGAAUGGACUGCACAAUUUGCAACAUUCAAUGAGAGUAGCUAUGAGGGAAAUACUUUUCUUUGUGGAUUGCCAAUGCCCAUUUGCAGAUCACCAGAAACUAUAUCGGAGGCUUCAAUUGGCAAUGAACGAGAUGAUAAUUUAAUUGACAUGGACAGUUUCUUUAUCACAUUUACAACAUCGUACGUAAUUGUGAUAUUCGCAAUUAUUAUUAUUUUAUAUGUAAAUUCUUAUUGGCGACGUAGAUGGUUUUACUUUGUUGAAAUGUGGAUAACUUCAUCUUACUAUUUUGUUGUAGACAAUCUUAUUCCAACAUGAUUUUGUCAUUGAAAUUAAUUAGUAGCUUAAUUACGAUCCUUUAAGUACUAAUCAAGUUUGCUUAGGAAAUAUUUUUUUAUUAAAAUUGUAGUAGUAUUUAGCAUUAUAUAGCUUCCAACUUCCAAGCACUUCACAUUUGUCUCUACACUUAAAAAACUGAGUGAUCAUGUUUUGCAGAUCUGGAUUUGGAGCAGGAUGGAUCCAAACCCAUAUCUGUCCACCAUAACUUAUAGCUUCCCUAUACUGUGCAGCAUACUUAAAUAAGAGAACCAUCUCCAAUGUUAAAAGCAUUCACUCUAUAACAUUCAUUUAGAAACUAUAUUCAGAAUAAUUUUAUAAUUAAACACAAGAAAUGAAACACACAGAUACACUUGAUCGCCUAUUUUACUCUAAAAAAGAACGAUUACUGUGCUAUCAUCAUCUUCUUCACUAGCAACAUUAACACCAAAUCGAUAGACCCAUACAUUUCAUCAAGAAAGGUAUAUAUCCAAUAAAGUUGAAGCCUAACAAAAAAUUCAAGAAGAUUAAUGCCUCGCCACAACAAGGGGCACAACAACAUCAAAGUAGAGAUUAAGCAGUAUUCUCAAAGCUAAAACUCUCAAAUCCACCCACCAGAAUUUCAUAUCUCCUCAACAAUUUUAAGAAAUAAAGAUAAUUAGGAUUUAACAUUAGUUUUUUAUAUAUUAGUUUCAUAAUUUACAAAUCAAUGAAGAUGAAGAUUAUGCUAAUAAAUUCAAAUUAUACCAUACAUUCUCUAGAUGUUACCAAAAAUUUCUAAGUCAAUCCCACAUAUUUCAUAAUUUUAAGACUAGAAAAUUUCACUAGUUAGAAGUUUCAUUAACUUCAAGUGGAAGAUGAAGAACAUUAUACAAGUGAUUCAGAUUAUAUCAUACAUACUCCAAAUGCAACUAGAAAUUAACAAGUUCAUGCGCACAUAUUUCAUAACAUUAUGAUUGAAACGUUUCACAAAGAGAAAUUCUAAAUUCAAUCUCUUGCAUGAAGGCAGUUUGAUUGAUUUGAGUUACUUUCUUAUCAAGCUACUAAUAUAACAUUCAAGUCAGGGAGAAAAUAAAUUAAAACUGGGAAGAAAUAACAGUAAAAAUUUGUUGCUCAACAUGAUGUGUAUUUUUUUUCAAGGCAAUUUGGAAACACAAUUGUUACUACAGAUAUUCUUCUCAACUUGGAGAUAAAUACAAAUAUUAAAAUGCAUAUGAUCGCACAUAUUACUUCGAGUUUAGUAAGAUUUCAUUAAAAGAAGCAAUCAAACCACUUAUCAAUUGUCGCAGUCGUUCUAUAAACUAAAAUAGCAAUAUAAUACAAGAAAAAGAACAUAUAGAUACUUGGCAAGAGUUCAUUAAGAAGUCGCAUCACAUUCGGGUGAGGAGUUUGCUUCUGAUAUCUUGCUAGCUGGGGCUUUUUCUUGUCUUUCUACGUAUGCCGAGGGAAACCAACCAGCUUGGCCCUUGCAUUCACCUUCCGACCAUCCAAUAGGAGCCACCUUGAGAAGUUAUAACUAAAACGGUGAAUUAAACAAAAGUUGACCGUUCAAAGACCUAAGGGGAAAACUAAUUCUUUUACGUAGGAGGAGUGAAUUAGUUGUGAUCACUGAAAUAACAGCAUAACUAUGGAAGCAUAACAAGAUAUAAAUUCACACGUCUAUAAGGAUAAACUGGGUGGUUUAGAACUGAGCUAGCAACCCUACUAUAUUCUGAUUUGCACUUCAAUGUAAAAGGGAAUAUAUGGUAGGAAGAAAGAAAACCAACCAUCAUUUGUUAACUCAUUGCUUUUCAAUCAAAAUUUUAAGAACAAAAUGCCAUGUGCUUUGAACAUCAAAUAAGUAUAAGCAUUAGUUCUAAAUUCCACAUAUCAUAAGUUGUUAGAAGGAUAAGUUAAUAGCAGAGUAGAAAAAUCAAUGUGUUGGUAUUUAGAGGGGAAAGUACCUGGCGAACCACAACAUAAUCAUCAAUUGAAAGACUUAGCUCUCCAUUUGCUUGAGCAUCAAAUGGAUGUAUAACCUGCAAGAUAAUGGGAUAAAUGGAACUUAAAAAAAGCAUAACAAAAGCAGCAACAGUAGCAGCAACGUUCAUUGUAACCACUAUGAUCAUGGCCAACAAAGAUAUAUUAGAAACAAAAUUCCAUUUUUACUAUGACAUUAAUAUGUACUAUACGAUAUCAUGACGAUUGGGUUACUAAGAGCUAUCAAAGUCUAAUAAGUUCUGUAUAACUUUAUGUAGUUAUUUAAAUUAUGGAUCAGAUUUUAAAUUUGAAAUUUUGACUGCUCUCCACAAAACAUGGCCUAUGCACAAGAAAGUCAUAGAUAAUGAGGAUUACAAGUGUCCGACAUCUUUUGAGUGAUGGAUUUAACAUGAGAGCUUAUGGUCAGUCAAUUUCCUCUGCCUAGCAAUAUAAGCUUUCUCGGCCAGAUUUAUCAUCAAAUACAUAGAUUGCCCCCAAGUCACAUCCAUAUAAACAUAGUUUUUCUAGGUAAACCAAGUAAGGAGCAUCAUAAUUCAGACAUAAUCAUAAAAAGGCCCAUCUAAAUUAAGAGAAAAUCUCAAAAAGAGGGAUGCUGAGCUAUCAGUCUUGUAUCUAUAAGCAAUAUCAAGACUUUACAUCACCUGCUACAUCAUGAGUGGCUACACAACUUUCAGUGGUUUGUCUUUCUUUGGCACGCCUAACUCAGCUUUGAUGUUGCUGAGAUAUUGAUAGUAGAGACACAUGAUACUUCUAGCUCAUGCAUUCUAUCUAACUCAUCCAACAACUAUCUCUUUUUUAAUUCAUUAGUGUUUGCUAAACCUCAUGCUUAAAAGUCCUGUUCUCCUAAAUAAAGUUUCCUAAGAAUGACUUCCUUAGCACCACAGUUGGACACUUGUAGAGCAAUUUUAUUUGGGGGAAAAGAAUUUUCAAGGUGUUAACUAAUAAAUUUUAAAAAAUAAUUACAAUUUGUCCUACGAUCAUAUGACAAUUUAUCUGGGAUGAAAGGAUACAGAUAGACAUCUUCCACUUUCAAGACUAAUCACUACUUCCGUAGAUGUUGUGCAAUAAUACAAAUACUUGACCAGAUGGUAGUGAUGGUAGAAAAAAAAUUUAUUGCUCCAAAAUUAAAAUAAGAAUGCAAUAUGUUAAGCAAAAGGCUGUGCAACAUCAAAUUAAUUGAUAAGAUAGAUGCAGACAAGCAAGUUAAAAUGCAUAGUCCCAAACCUCCGCAUACAACUUCUCUAAAAUAGCAAUAACGUGUUGAUGCUAUGUUUUCUCAGCAUCUACCUGCAAAGGCCCGAGACCAGGAAAACAACAAUAAAACCACUAGCUGAAGGAGAAAGCAAAGAAAGAAAUACACUUGACAUAAAUCUUGACAAGAAGCACAAUUUAAGACAUAACAAACCCCAAUCAUAUUGUUUAGAACUACCAUUCGUUAUUUCGUUAUUGUAACAUUUCGAACAAGUGUUGACUUAAUUCAACAUUGUUGGAAAGAUAGGCUUUUAGAAGCAGAAGAAAGCCUCUCAAACCAAAGUGCUGGUCCUUGUAUUGAUCAAGGGAUGUAAACAUAUUACAUUUGCAGGAUGAGAUUUAAUCACUCCCCUGAUUUAUUUGGGUUGCAGUAAAACUAAGCGAGCAACUGUUUGACUUCCAAGCAACAGCUAAAUCAGCUAUUAAAAUUCAAAUAAAAUCAUAAUAGAAUAAUAACAGGCCCUCUUGCAUCAAAAAUUAAGUUUAAUUUGUGCAUUGUUUUCUAUAGACAUGUCAGUUUCUGCUAUUGAAAUGUUAAAAGCAUUGAAAAAUUAUUCAAUAAAUUAUGCAAGCAUUAAAAUAGAGGACAUAUUAAAAAGUUUCUAAUUACAAUGCUAAUAUUUCCUAUAUUUUAGCAUUUGCAUAUUUUAAUUUAUUUAAAAGCUACGUCGAUCAACUUUGGGCAUGAAGAUUUUAGCUUCUACGAGACUUGAUUGGAAUAUGCAUAAGGAAGAGUGUUAAAAUAUGAUGCAUCCAACGAAAGAAAACCACGUGUAGUCUUUUAAUUAAGCCAAAGUAGCAGCUCAAACAAAUGACACUUGGACCAACAUGCAAUCAUGAAGUGGCCGGAAAAAGGACAAAUGCUACUUUGGCUUAAAUAAAAAAUAACAUGUGACUUGACUUUUGCUGGACAUGCAUCAUGUUAUUACAAGACAACAGAAAUCAGUAUGAUAGUACUAAAAGUUGACAAUAACAUGAAGAUAAGAGGCAGAAUGUCAACACAUGCAUAGGCACACACAAGAAAGUAUUAACAUAUAUACCAUAGCAAAAACUCUUUUAUAUGUCAUCUGUUGCUGCUGUGAUUCAACUGACAGCAAGGCAGCUGUCGCUUCUCUACCAAGAGCCAUUAUUUUAGAUUUAAGCUCGGUCAAUCUUGCUUCUGCAUUUCGAAGCUUCACAGCACUCUCUGCUGAUAUAUCAGAUUCCCUAAUCUUUGAUCGGUGCCUAAAUACUUCAGCUGCCUGGUGAAAAUAUUCAAUAUAAAUCUAAUAUAAUUCUCAUCUUGCCUUAUACAUGCAUAUGUUACGUCAAAGCUUACCUGGGCUUCAACUUCAUGUCGAAGUUUGUCAUAACAAUGAGUCAGGUGUCGAGCAUCUUCCAAAGGUGCUCCGUUGAUUAACGCCCGUAGUGGCUCAGAUACCUACAUGUCCAAAAACCUGUAACAUAGUUAGAAAAAUGAAAAGAAAGAGCGAAACCUCAAUUAAAAAGUUCAUCCAACAUAAUCAUGGAAUUUGGGCCUACUUUAAGAAUAUAUAUAAGGAUAAUUUAUGCAAUUUUGGGUCUUAGGAUGAUUGGUAUUAGGUUAGUGUUCUUCUCUUCUGUAUUUAAGGUUAAAAUAGAAAUAAACCUAUGCAAGUAUCUAAAUUAGGCCUGUAAGACAUCCACAUGCAUCCUUCAGUCUCAUGGAUUUGAUUUUACUAUAGAUGCAAGUGUCUUUAUCGAAAAUGCUUGGAGUCAAUUGAGAGAACUCAUGGCCAAUAACUUGUCACACGCUAGUCUUUGCUAGUGAUCACAAGGUCUCUUCAACAUUUGAACCAAUAAAAUUAUUAAGUCAUGGAUGUCACUAGCAAUGAUUUUAAUAUAAAACAUUAAAUAUUUCAGAGUUGUAACUUUAAAAUGGAUUCUUUUAUUCAAUAUCAUAGAACUAAGUUUCCUUAUGAGAAGAUAAUAGUUUCGAUAAUAAUUUUACAUAUAAUUUUCUAUAUUUGAAUUAUUUUCUAGUUAGGGAUGAACUAACCUGAUCACGAAGAAUCCCGAGCAAAGUUUCCCUCUCAUUUUCCAUCAAAUCAUGUGAAGUGCCAAAUUGAAGAGCAGCUCUUGCAACGCAAGAAUUGUCACUUUGAUUCUCUACUCCAUACUUGCAACAAUCUUCAGCCAACUUUCUCGCUACAAUAUUUGAAUACAAAAAUAUUGUACACAAGAACUAUAAAAAAACUAAUGAAAAAUGCCAAGAUGGAGCAGAUGCUUCAAUACUGCCUAUACAAACCAUAAAAAACUAAUGAAAAAUAAAUAAAAUCGAGAAAUUUUACUAAUUAAAAGUCUAAAUAUAAUUUUGAAAAAAGAAAAGAAACGGACUUGCUGCUGCUUGGCGACUUGUUCUCGGAGCUUGAUUGCCUGUUUCUUGAUAGCUUCCAUACUGUUUCUUUCAAAAAGCGACGACGGCUCUGCUCAUGGAAGUGGAAAAAAAAGUGUGAUCGAGAAAAAUGAAAAGGCGUGAAUAAUUUUUGACAAAAAGCGAAAAUCAAGGAAAGCCGGCUCUUUCCAGAAAAUAAAAAAAAGAAAAAAAGAAAAAAGAAAAUCAUAAGUUUGAAAGGAGAAGAUGAUAUUGGAAGUAUGCAGUGUGGCUGCCAGGUACUUGGAUUGUAUUGUCGGGUAAGGUAAUAGUGGAGAAUUGUAAGUUUGAACGGAGCAUGUUGGACUUUUGUUGACCAAAUUCAAAAGCCAAAUGGCACGGCCCGGAAGCUUUUGAAUAGAAAAACUUGCUAGAAAGCAUCAGUUUAAAUCACUACUUAAACGCUUGCUUUAACUGCACCGCUUUGUACUGUUUUAUGUAUGUAGCGGUUGUGCGGUUGUAAUUCACGGCUGACGCUACGUGUUUGUUUGUACUGUUCUAUUCGGUGACAGAGUAUUAUUAGUUAGGCCAAAACUAUGUUGCAACAGUGGUACAGUAGCACUGUUGCUUUCAGUCAUUAGAUCUAUAGUUGUACAGUUGCAUUAACAAGAUCCAAUGACUGAAAGCAACAGUAGUACCGAACUACUGUUGCAACAUAGCUGGAGCCUAUUAGUUAUUUCAAAGGGAUAAAUAAGAUUGGUUACAACAAACCUACUAAUUUUAUAAAAUUCAAGUAACAUAGAAUAAAAUAAAAAAAUAAAUACAAAAUUGACUUUUAUUUUUUAUGGUUGACUAUAUUUUGUGUUCUCUUCGGGCACUGCUACAAUUGUUCCCUAUAUAUCAAUUACACCACAUACUAUCGACACAAGAAAUGAAAUCUAAUAUCACCUGUUUAGUUAAAAAAUCACUCAUGAAAAAAUUUUACCAUUUUGAUUUGAGGAUCCAUAUUUUAAACUACAAGCUAAUGUUCAUCAAGAAUUACUGAUGGACAAAUUAUUUUUUUUGAUAGAAGAAUUUCUUUAGGAACUACUAAAUUAUUAAUAAAAAUAUCGAACACACCCACAUAUCAUCGACACAAUUGAUUUUGAGGAUCCAUGCUUUGAACUACAGCCUAAUGUUCAUCAAGAAUAGAGUAUGGCUUAUGAGUAGAAAAUUUUCUUAUUUUGGCCCAAAAUAAAAAGAAAUUAAAUUGGAUGAGAAUCUGCCACUUUCUCAUGAAGAAAGGCAUACGGAGCAUACCAUGGUACCAUACAAUAUAAGAAGCCUCCGUUCUUUGGUUUUUCAAACUCUGAAGGGGCUAAUAUUGCCAAAUUCCCCCUUGAAAAUUCUGAUUACGACAUUAUUCAUCGCUUGAUGCAAUCAAAGUAGUGACAAAGUUAGGAAAAAUAUGAGUCCUAAGUAAUUGCUAGGCAGGGCUCCUGAGAGCAAAAUUGUCCUAAGCAUUAUAUGCAUACAUAGUGCAGUACAUAGAGCACGUUGAAUUCCCCACUAUAACACAAACCCAGAAAGACAAGUAAUAACUCAACUGAUAUAAAGACAAAAAGAAGAUAAAAUGAUAUAGAAAAAAGAAUUUCAAAGAGACAGCAACAUACAAUAGACUGAAGCCACUUGAUCUGCUCAUUGAUUGCAGCCUUAAACUUGCAAAUAGUUACUGUACGCUAGUGCUCUAAGAAGUGAAAAUGAUGCGAGCCCUGAUUCCCUUUUGACUUCCAUUUACUGUCAAACAUUCUAGUAAUACAAAAAAUUGUUUAGAUAUCUUGCUAUAAAUAUAGCCGUUUGACUGUCAUAAUAAAGUCACAAAUAACCAUUCAUAUUGAUCUACUGUCACACAGCAUGCUUUAUGCAUACAACAGCUGUAUGCAUACCAACUCCUAACCUUAUCAAUACAUUUGGCAAAAACUUAAGAAGAAAGCUAUUUCUCCAUCUCUUUUUUGAAAUUUCACAAUAACCAGCACAAUGUGAAAGCUAUGUUCUAACCUUAUGAUAAAUGCUCCAGACUCCAAAAGGGUUUUAUAUAUGAGAGUUUGUUGCAGCAGAUAUAUUGACUUAUCAAGUAUGAAUCAUUGUCUGGAUGAACUAUCUUUAGAUAAAAGAAUAUUAGAACCACUGUAGAAUAUCUUUACCCUGCUGGUUCUAACAGGAAUCUGCAUGUGGCAACAAUUGCUAGACCCACAAUUCCCCAACUUGAAAUACAUAGUUGCACACCAUGAGAUAGUGCUACAAUCUACUGAGAUCUAACUUAUAUGGUACUUUAAGCUACUAAUGUUUGCAUAUUUCUACAUGUUAAAUUAACACUAUCAUCUAUAAUCACUCCAAAACAACAAAUGAUAAGCAGCUUUUGGCCACUUAUUACUAGCAUACACAAUUAUAAAUAAGAGAUCAUGGGUUUACUUGUUGCACCUACUUAAUUAUCUGCAGUUGACAUCCUGACACAAGGUUUAAAUAGUGACUGCUUAGAACCCUUGUAGUUGGAUCUUGACCUCUCCCAUUGUAGCCAAGAUUGGUUACUCUGGUAAUGAAUCAACACUCUCCUGCUCAGGGCCAUGAAGAUCUGAAAGCUCAGCACUAGUGGAGAACUUCAUCAAUCUCUUCUUCUCAGCAUACUUGAGACAAGGCUGCAUUACGAGACCAAUCACCACAGCACCAACGCUUAAAACUGCAACUUUUAAAGAAGAAAGAGCCAACACAACACAACACAAAUCAAUAUGGUUGGAGGAAUACACAUGAUAAUGGCUCCAACAGUGCCAGUGGGUAUCUUGUAGGGAUGAGAUGCAGCAGGAUAUUGUAUCCUUAACCAUACAAAUGCUAUGAACUCCAUAAUCAUUCCAAAACAGUACAGGAAGUUCUCUGCAGCUACAAUAUCUCGAAAGCUCAGCCAUGAUAGCAAAACCACACCAGAAGCUGAGAAUAUGAUUCCAAUCAAAGGAGUCCCAUAACAAGACCUCUUAGCAAAAAACUGAGGUAGCAUUCCACGCUCAGCCAUCCCCAAAAGUUGGAAAGAGUCGCUGCUCAUCUCAGCCACAAACAUGCCCAUAUUGGACAUUGCUGCAGCCCCCUGGAUGCACCAUCUCAACCAAACUCCUCCAAGCACUUUAGCAAUAUCUGAAAAGUAACCAUCGGUCCACAAGUCGCGAUCUAAUGGAAUAGCUCCAGUUCAAACUAGAAGGGGAAAGAAAUACCCAAAAAUGACCAAGAUCAAAGCAUAAAACAAAGCCUUUGGAAGAGUCUUCUUUGGGUUAUCCACCUCUCCAGCUAGUGUACUUAUUGAGUCCCAGUAGUUGAGAUUCCAAAACAGGGUGUUCAAAUACAAAUUCCAAUCCACUUCACCUAAAUUUACUACAAGCCAUCUUGAAGGCUCUAACUUGGGAAGGGACACAAGUCCCAUAACCCCAAAAGGAAGGAGUGAGAAAAUCCCUAAAAGAACAGCAGCCCAUCCCACAAUGGUUAGACCCCUAUAGUUCAUGAAAGUGAGAACAAAAGUCAAAGCUAACGCCGCAAAGGCUCUAGGUAACCCAUUGCCCAACGCAGGGAUACCAGACUUCAAGUAGUCAAGAAACAGAACUGGGUAUAAAGCAUUAUCAAUAACCCCACUUAGCCAUCCAACCUUGCUGAAAACCCCAAUAUGGGCCUAAGGCAGAUGAAACCCAAACCACAUAACCACAAUUUUCAGGAAACACAGUACCCAUUUCGGCAGUAAUUAAAGCUUCAGGGACACUCCAUAUAAUCGGAAACACCAAGAAACCAAGAAGUGCUAAAAGAGGACCAGCUGCCUUUACACUAUCCUCAACACCAAACGGCCCCCCAGAAACCUCAUAGAAUAUAAGGAAAAUAAGUGGCAAGAUUGAUACUUUUUUAGUGCCAUGGACUCGAGGAGAAGAUGGUUGGUCAUUGAUAUUAACAUAUUCAACAGCAUCAGACUGCCCUAUUUCUACUGAAACUUGCCUAUUUACAGUGUUCCUCAAUUUCUGCAUCAAGUUUAAGCAUAACUAUCAAAAGGGUAUCCGCAUCUAAAUUAUGAAACAAAAUGAGCAUUUACUUAUUAAAAAAAAUCAAAAAACAGAAAUGGAUUUCGCAGAGCACAUGAAUUUAAGUUCAACAUUAAACAGGCGCUUAAGAAAACAAAAGGGUCUGUUCGUAAAGCCAUCAGAUUGCAAGAUUGAACAACAUUAACGGAAUCAAUAGAAUAGAUGUAAAGAGAUCUGAAAAGAAAAUAAAAUAAAAGAUAAAGAGAGAUAAAACGAACCAUCAAAUAAGUGCAUGCAGAGCAGAGAGGCAGAUACUAGAGAAGCUCCGUCAUGUUAGAGAGAGCCUAAUUCAAUCAGAGCUCACUGAGUUUCUUUUCAACCGACCGGCAAAUUUGGAGUGGCACAACAUAAUAUUUUUACUUUUAAUUUUUGGAACACUUUUGAAUAGAAUUUUUUGUUUUUAAAAAAGGUAAGGGAGAUUAGUAUUUAUUUAACGGAUCAGGCUACGGUGCAACUGUGGCACCGUGCCACAGUUGCAUCUAGCCGUUGGAUGCAAUUGGAAUGGUGGAGUCCACUGACAUCCAACGGUUAGAUACAACUAUGACACGGUACCACAGUUGCACCUAAGGUUCCCUUAUUUAACUUUAUAUUUUUUAAAAUACCUUAAAAAUAUUUUUAUGUUAAAAUAUUAAUAUUUUUAUUAAUAAUUUUUAUAUUUUUAAUUUAUUUUUAUAAUAUUAUUUUUUAUAAUAAUUUUUUAUUUAAAUAUUAAUAAAAAAAUAAUUAAAUUAACAAUUUAAUCCUAAAAUAAAUAAACACGUGUUUGGUUUUGGGCUUUUUCUUUUGUUCGUUUAAUAUCAUCUGGCUCCCUGAUUUGUGACUAAUUAUCAACAGAAUCCCGUUGGUUUCUAAAUUGAAAUAAUAGAAGGUCAUGAGACUAUUUACUCCAUUUAGCACUGCAGACUUAGAGUAUAUUGAAAAAGCUUUGUCAAAUAGUAGUAAUAGGGGCAUAAGAAAUAAAUUAUAGCUAUCACAAAUUCGUUAGGAGAAUUUCAAUUUUUUCCAUCAAUAAUGGCUAUGAAGCAAAAUUACCUUAGGUUAUAUUGCAAUACUAAUACUUCAAAUCCUGAUAAUAAAUUUGAUGACAGUCGUUUUUAUCAUGGUUUUAACAGAUAUAAGAAGAGAAAAUUAACUGUUCAAACAAAUUAGAAGCAAAUUCUUUCAUAUCUUUCUUUUAUUUUUCCGCUUACUUUCUUAGCAUCCAAACAAGUUAAAGUUAAAACGCUGUUAGAGCCAACAAUAUGCAGGCAUCAAUAAGCAUAGUAGUUUUGUAUAUGUAUUCUAUACGAUAUUCUAGGGAUGUCAAUUGUAGAACAUUUUGUGGUAACUUUUUUACAUUAAUUAAUGUUUGAAGAACUUGUUAAAAAGAAAAUGGUAAUUUUAUCAUUUUGAAAGACAAAAAAAAAAAAAAAAAGAGUGAAAGUGGCGUUACCUCAUGGUCAUUAGAGACUUGUUGCAAUGAUAGCUCAAAAUUAAAAAUUUGUGAAGAAUUAGUAGACAACGACGAUACUAUAUUUAUACAGUCACCAACGUGUUGAUUUUUGUUUAAUGUUUGAUCGAUAGAAACUUUCGUCGUCGUCGCCGUUGUUGAAUUUGUGCUAAGAAUAUCACAAGAGAAGAAAAAAGGAUGAAAGGGAAGAGAAGAAGAGAGAAGUGGUGGACAGCAAAUAUGAUAUGCUAGCUACACACAGGCCUUAGAGAGUUUUUUUUUAAUAUUUAUUGUAUUUUUGUUUUUGUUAUUGGUUUUUCAUAUGCUUCCAAGGCAGCAAUGCGUUACAUCAUAAAUUGCACCUUUUAGGGGAGGUGGUAAAAAACAUGAGAGCAAUGCAUUCUAGCGCAUACAUGCAGAAAGAGUUUCCAAAUUUUCAAAAGUUUCUUUAUUUCUUCCACCUUUUUUUGCUUAAAAUAAAUUUUAAUUGUAUUUUGCAUUAACUUAGAGAAAAAAAAAUCCAGUUCUAUACAUAAACGCAUACAUUGAUUAGAAAAUGAGUUUUAUGGACACAAAGGGACAAUAUAAGAGAUUCUUUUUGUUUAUUAGAAGUAACAUAACUAGUUAGUGUAACAUGUAAUUAUAAGCUACCAAUAAUUUGCACUAAUGAUAAUUAACGGUAUAGAUUUUGAGCUAUGAAUGUCUUGUGGCUAGUUUAAUUAGAUUUUCGAGUUUUCAGCAGAUCUAUUUUAAUGAUUAUUAAAUUAUUUUCACUUCUUAUGCCUUAAUAAAAAAAAUCAAUAUUUUUUGCUGUAUUCUAUAUUUUAAAACUUAAUUUUUAGUUCUUUAUAUUGCAAACCAAACUGAGUCAAAUAGAGUAUGCUCUUCAAAUAAUUUUUCCAUUGCCUUCAAGAAGAAUUCAUUUUAUUUUUAUAUAUUAAUUUAACACUUGUAAACCGGGCCGUCAGAUUGCACAUAAAGCAAAUGAUCAAACCGUUACAAGACCGGCCCAGGCCCACCGACUCUAUUUUCUUUCAUUUGACCAUUAAAAAGCUUUUGGCCACCCCCACCAAAUAAAUAAGCUCUUGUUCUCUUUUGUUCCCUCUCAAAGGAAAAUAUCUGAUCACCGGAUAAUGAUUCCGGCGACACAAAAGAUCGAAACACCCCCCUAAAUUCCCUAAAUUUACGAUAAUACCCCACCAUGGAUGAUUCCGUUGAAAUGCCGCCUUACGAUGAAAGGCCUAAAAAGGGUUUUAACUUCACCUCCAUGCGCUUGAUCUUAACCCUCGUUUUCCCAAUUUUAACUUGCUUUUUGUUGGCAUUUUUUAUUGGAAUCGUAGCUGUUUUAUUCGGUGAAUCAUCAGUUUCCAGUUCCAUUUUUGUCCCUUCCCAGUGCAAGAUAGUGUCCAGCAGUAAGCUUUUUUUAACAUUUUCAAUUUUUUUUCCAUUUAUGAAGUCCAAAAAUUUUAUUAAUUUUGACUUUUUUGAAUGAUUUUGCAGGUGUUGAUAUAAGGUCAUCAAAAGUUUGUGAACUUGGGGUGUUGAAUUAUAAGGCGAAGCGUGUGUUUUAUCCAUUUGAAGCAAGUAAAUUUCGCUGUCGGUAUGAUUACUAUUAGGCUUCUAUCUUCAAGGUAUUCAUACAUUUUCCCCUGUACUAUAAGCUUCUCAGUGGCGGUCUUGUGAGCGGAAGUGAGCGGUGUGGUUGACAGCUUCUUGAAAAUUAUAAGUUUGAACCAAGCAUGUUAGAGCACCACCAAAAGCCUCUUUAAAUAAGAUUUUAUUAUUUAUUUAAAGAGCCACAUCAAUAUUGAAAGCUCCAAAAGACACUUCAAUUAAAAUUCUUUAAAUAAGAAUUGAUUCUCUUCAAAUUUGGAGAGUUAAUUUCUCCCUCUUCAAUUUAUAUUUUAUUACUUUUCAUUGAAGAAAUAGAGAAAUGCUUUAAUUGCUAUUAACUUUUCCUUUAAAAAACUAAUUAUAUGAUUAAAAUAAUAUUAACUUAUUUAUAUUUGAAGAGUCUUUUGAAGAAUAUCAUAUUUUUUUCACCAUUCUAUUUGCCACAUAGGUAAACAAAUAGAUAUUUAAAGAGUAAAAUUUAUAGAAACUUUUGGAGAUGCUCUUAGACUUUUGUUGACCAAAUUCGAAAGCCAAAUGGCACAGCUCAGAAGCUUUUGAAUUGAAUAACUUACUAGGAAGCUCCAAUUUUUUGUUGGCUACAGUAAAAGGAUGUUGUUUUAUUCUUCUUAUACUUUACGCUUGCAUCAGCUUAAAUCACUUCUUAAACGCUUUGCUUUAACUCCACUGCUUUGCUGGGGCGGAUUUACCUUGGAACAAGUGGGGACUUAAGUCCCCACUGAAAAAAAAAUUGUUUUAAUAAUUAAUUUGAUUUGCCAAAACUUCUCAAUAAAUUUUUCUUAAGCCCCCAUAAUUUCUUUCAACAAGCAAUUGAUCUAAAUGAGUUAAUUUCUGUCAGUUGUAUCCAAAUGAGUUCUCUGCAAUUGAUAUCAUGGCACUUGAAAUUCAACUUGAUACAUAUAUUUUGGAUAUGCGCACUAGUGCGAGACUAAAAGACAUAAGGUAUAUCCAUUGGUUUACUUGUUAAUAAUAUUAGCAUUGACUUUACCCGUUGCCAUUGCUAGUGUAGAGAGUAUUUUCAGCCAUGAACAUUUUGAAGAAUUGGUUAUAAAGCUGUGAGUAAUAGAUGAAUGAUAGUUUAAUUAUUUACAUAGAAAAAUACUUAUUUAAUAAUAUUGAUAAUGAACUUGUAAUGCAACAUUUUUAAUGUAUGAAAACUUGAAAGGACAAUUGUAAACAUAUAUUGAAGUAUGAUAAAUCUUUCAAAUUUAUAUAUUUAUUACUUUUUAAAUUUUUUUAUAUUGCCGUUGAAUGAGCCCCCAGUCAAUCAAUAUGUUGUCUUCACCCUGCUUCGUACUCUUCUAUAUAUGUAUCGGGUAUGCAGUUGUAGUUAAUGGUUGAGACUACGUGUUUGUUUGACGUGGUAGUUACGUUACGAGUCUGUUAAACAUUCGAUGAUUAAAGUAUUAUCUGUUAUUUCAAAGGGACAAAUAAGAUUAGCUACAACACACCCACUAGUUUUAUAAAAUUCGAAUGAGAUGGAAUAAAAUAAAAAAUAAAUAAGUAAAUUGACUUUUAAUUUUAGUGGUUGAAUAUAUUUUCUAUUCUCUUAGGGCACUGCUGUAAUUAUUCCUUAAACGUCAGUCAUACCCACAUAUAAUAGACACAAGAAAUGAAAUCUAAAAUCACCUGUUUAGUUAAAGAAUCAUCAUGAAAAAAUUUUGCCAUUUUGAUUUGAAGAUCCACUUUUUGAACAACCAACUUAUGUUCAUCAAGAACGGAUCAUGGCUUGUGAGUAGAAAAAUUAUUUUUGGACAAAUUAUUUUUUUUAAUAGAAGAAUUUCUCAAGGGACUAAUAAAAUUACUAAUAAAAAUGUCAGACACACCCACGUACCAUCGACACAAUUGACUAUGAGGAUCCAUGUUUUGAACUUCCACCUAAUGUUCAUCAAGAACAGAAUAUGGCUUGUGAAAAGAAAAUUUUCUGAUUUUGGCCUGGAACAAAAAGAAAUUAAAUUGAAGGAGAAUCUGCUACUUUCUCAUUAAGAAAGGCAGACAUGGUAUACCAUGGUACCAUACAAUAUAAAAAGUCUCCAUUCUCUGGCUUUUCAAACUCUGAAGGGGGCAAUAUUCCCCAAUUCUCCCGUGAAAAUUCUAAUUACGACAUUAUUCAUCGGUUGAUACAUAAGUACAAGUAGUGACAAAAUUAGGAAAAAUAUGACUCAUAAGUAAUUACUAGGCAGGGCUCUUGAGAGCAACAUUGUACUAGGCUUUAUAUGCAAACAUGGUGUGGUACAUAGAGCACGUUGAAUUCCACACUAUAACACAAACCCAGAAAGACAAGUAAUAUCUCAACUGAUAUAAAGACAAAAAGAAGAUAAAAUGAUACAGAACAAAGAAUUUCUAAGAGACAGCAACAUACAAUAGACUAAAGCCAGUUGAUCUGCUCAUUGAUUGCAGCCUUAAACUUGCAAAUGUUUACUGUAGCCUGGUGCUCUAAGAAGUGAAAAUGAUGCAAACCUUGAUUCCCUGUUUACUUCCAUUUACCAUCAACACAUUCUAUUCAUAAGAAAAAAAAUGUUUAGAUAUCUUGCCGUAAAUAUAGCCAUUUGAUUGUCUUAAUAAAGCCACACACAACCAUUCAUAUUGAUCCACAUUGCCACAUAGCCUGAUUUAAGCAUACAACAGCUGAAUGUAUACCUAACUCCUAACCUUAUCAAUACAUUGGCGACAACUUAAGAAGAAAACUAUUUCUCCAUCUCUUUUUUGAAAUUUCACAAUAAAACAGCACAAUGUAAGAGCUGCAAUGAAAAUGGACCGUCUGAAACUAUGGCGGAAGCUUCAACUAGUGUAGUGAUUUGACCUUCUUAUUAACCUAGCGAGAUCAAACACUGCCCUUGAUCUUGAACAGAUCAAUACGAUACGCACAACUUAUGAUUGAAUCCAGAAACAAUCAAAUCUUUAGCAAGAAUAAUUAAUCAGAAUCAAGAAACAAGUUUAAUGAAUAUAAACCUAUAAUUGGAACAAACACAGCCAAAGAACCCAAGAAUGACACAACGAACACCAAGGGAGAAGCUUUCCAGUGAGAUUAUAUUGAUGAUCAAAGAAGAAUCUUUUUACAAAGCUAACAAAAGAGAUUUCAGAGAAUAAGCUAUGACCCUCUCUCUCUUCAAUCUCUGUCUAGUUUGUUAACAGUGAUGACCCAAUCUGCUUCGUUAGCCAGCUUCAUAACUGCGUCAGUGACAAACCAGCAAACCCAGAUUGAGCAGACUAACGACACGUGCAUAACGGCUUUAACGAACUUGGUUAAAGAACUGCUCACAUGUUCGUCACGCGUGUUGCUUAAAUGAUAGCCAAAACGACUUCAACCAGAUGCCGUUUUGAAGCUUAUGAAUUAUAAGUGAAAACACGUGCUUGUCUCGUGACAUUUAAAUGCAACAACAAGCCCAAAACACUGCCGUUUCACUAUGUUGAGUUUGCCAUCUCUAAGCUUCACAACUAGCAGCGGACAAGAUGAUAAUUUAAUUGACAUGGACAACUUUUAUAUCACUUUUACAACAUUCUAUAUAAUUGUGAUAUUGGGAAUCGUCGGUGUUGUAUAUGUGAACCCUCGUUGGCGACACUGGUGGUUUUAUCUUUGUUGAAAUAUGGAUGACUUUUUGUUACUAUUUUGUUGUACAUAGUACAUAACCUUAUUCCCAGGAGAUUUAAUCAUUGAAAUUAACAUGUUAGUUUCAUUAGAAGGCUGAGUGGUUAGGGCUGCUACCCUCCAACUUGGAGGGCAAUAGUUUAAACCCACAAGCGCAAUGUGGGGGUAUUUCAUUCUUUAAUUACAUUGUAUAAUUGAAUAAAUGUAAUCUUCUCUCUUACACAAGUGUGAGUGGAGUAGACAUCUCUCGAAUAUUAGCGAGGGUUAAAACUUGGACAGAGCUCAAUAAGUAUUUAUGUAAGUUGGUCCUAGUAAUAAUCUGAUUUGUAAAUAUCAGUUAUAGUCUCAUGUUUCCUUCCUUAAUUAUAUUGUAUAAUUAAGUAAAUGUACUCUUCUCUCUUACCCAAGUGUGAGUGGAGUAAACAUCCCUAGAAUAUUAGUGAGGGUUAAAAUCUGGACAGAGCUCCAUAAGUAUUGAUGUAAGUUGAUCCCAGUAAUAGUAUGAUUUGUAAAUAUCAGUUAUAAUCUCAUGUAAUAUGAGUUGUAAUUUGAGCAACAGUUUCAUGUAAUUACAAAAAAAAUGCUACUUUCAUUACAUUUUUCUUCGUUAAAAUUCUCAAGUAUCAAUUAUGUUUGCUUAAGAAAUAAAAUUUCGUUAUGAAAAUUGUAGUAGUAUUUCCGAGCAUCUCACAUUUUCAAUGAUUUUUCAUAAAUCAAUUAAUCUGUCGUACCAAUAUCAUGUUUAGUUUUUCAGACUAAAUAAUCAAGAAAGCAAACAAAUUCACAGUUUAGAGGGGUAAACUAGCUUUUAGAUUUUAGAACUAGGCUAGAUACCUCACCAAAUUCCAAUUUGUACAGUGAACUACAAGAUUGAGAAAAUAAUGUAUUUAUAGUUUAAUUGAAUCAUGAGAAAACAAUGUAGUCAUAGCUCAAUCGGACAUGAUCACGGAGAGGCAUAUUCUUUUCAAGUUAAUUUGAUCCAUUUAUAAGAAAUGAAGUGGAUCGAAGUUAAAAGUUAAAAUAAAAAAUCCUUAUUCUUGAGUUUUACGACGUCGUUACUCCUUCAAGAGGCUGAUUGUGCAAGUGAAUGGAGAAACAGAAUGCUUUUAUAAUUUUUUUAAUAAUUGUAAAAAUAAUUAACCAUAACAAAUCCCUUGCGUAAAUACUAAUCAUUAUUUAAAAGGUAGAAAGAUAGUUAGUGCACAAUCAAAUUUUAAGCCCCUACCUCCUCGGCCCAAGAUUCAAACUUAGAUGAUCAGCCAAAUAAAAUUAUUUGAAAAUCAUUCAAUCAGGUUCCCGGAGUAAAAAUACAAGAUCCUUAUUAUAAAAGUUGUCCCACCUGCUGGUGUAUAACAACCACUUCAAUUCAAACUAGAUUCUUUUUGUUUUUUUUAAUGUAAUCCUGAUAAUAUUUAUGUUAUCUUAAGAAUAGGUCAGCUUGAUUAUUGCUGAAAUAUAGGAGGAAGUUAGCUUUGAUUCAUUGUAUUAUUUAUACGCUCUGAUACCAUAAAGAGAUUGAUAAUUGAAAAUGAACUCACUUCGUUACUGGUAUGUCUGGUUCGGUGGUUGGCGGGGAAGGUGGAAGAGAUGGUUGGCGGGCAGGUAGAGCUUCCUGUGGGGUUGGGUCAGCUGGUUGUGAAGUAGCCUCAGGCAGAGAUAAUUCUUGAGAGCUAGCUGCAGAUGGAGUGUUGGCUGCCUGCUGGAGUGAUGUGGGAAUGGACACAGUAAGUACAGGAGGAAUCCAAGUGGAUAUGGUAGUGGAAGUAGGACGUGGAAGAGUGGUGUGUAGUGAGGUGUAUGGAAAGACUGAUUCAACAAAUUGAACAUGGCGAGAAACAUGUUGCUGUUGAUUAUCAUUUUAUCAGAGAUCAAGUUCAAUCUGGUCUACUUCGAGUAGCUCAUGUCUCCUCUGCUGAUCAGCUUGCCGAUCUUCUCACCAAGCCACUGCCCACUUCUCAGUUCUUGCUUUUACGGGACAAGAUUGGCCUCUCUACUCGUGGCCUAUCUUGAGGGGGCAUAUAAAAGUUGUCCCACCUGCUGGUGUAUAACAACCACUUCAAUUCAAACUAGAUUCUUUUUGUUUUUUUGAAUGUAAUCCUGAUAAUAUUUCUGUUAUCUUAAGAAUAGGUCAGCUUGAUUAUUGCUGAAAUAUAGGAGGAAGUUAGGUUUGAUUCGUUGUAUUAUUUAUACGCUUUGAUUCUAAUGGAACGAAGUGAGUUCAUUUUCAAUUAUCAAUCUCUUUACUUAUUUGCAUGAUAUAUAUGAAUUAAUGUAAUUUAUUUGAAUUAUCCAAAUUCAUUAGAGAUAAAACUAUAAAAUAUACCAAAAACGUUAGAAGGAAGGGUGUGUUGGGAUGUUUUACAAACUAUAGGAAUCUGGUGAGAUUUUGAGCCAAACUGUAGGGAGUUGAAGGCAUUUGCCCAAUAUGUUUAGUCGUACACUAACCGUUAUUUGAUCUUGUUGUUGGUCCCGGAUGAGCUGUAGUCUUAUUUUAAUUUUAUUUAAACUCACCAUAAGAUUCGCGGAGCUCCUAACUAACUUAAAUGACUCUGCAGAGCAUGUCAACACAUAGCAUGUUUAACCGUUUUAUUUGUAGAAGAAUUUAUGAUUUCCCAUUAGCAUUAUUAUUGAAGUGGGGCGGGGGCGGGUCAAAUCUCAAUUGCUUGAAAAUUUUAUUUAUUAUUAUUAGUCUUGAAGUGAGGUGGGUAACGGUUCGCUCCAAUUCGAGGGAAUCAAAUAUAUCAUCCAAGGUAGAAUUGUGGAAAAUUAAAGCAAAAUAAGAAAUAUGGAAAGAAAAGAAGAAAGUUAAGGCAUGAAAGACAUAUACAGUUGAAAUUAUAAUCAUGUUUCUAUUUUGUUAACUAAUCAAAUGGAAAGCUGAACUGUAAACAAACAUUAAAACGUGUGGACCAAGCUAGCUGCCCUACAAGUCCACAAUAAUAAUUGAGUACUUUGAUUCAUCCUUCUAUAAAUUUCUACCCAUAUUGACUCCACCGAAAUUUCCACAAAAUUAAAAAAAAAAAACUGAAUUUCCACAAAAUACAAAACCCGUUGAACUUAUUUUUUGGUCAUGUGAACUAAGAUGUAAAUUAAAAAAAAAGUAUAAAAUUAAAAAAGAUAAGAUUUCUAAAAUGUGUGGAAGGUGAUUCAUGAUUCACUGAAAUUACUUACCCCAGAUAUAAAAGUAAACCUAUCUAAUUUCAUUAAAAAUAGUUAGAAAAAAUUAACUAAUAAAAAGCUACGGAAAUUAACCCCCCACAAAAAUGACUUUUUAUAGAAGAAUUUAUGUUUUUUAAAAUAUGUUAUCAAAGUGUAUUUGAUCAAAUCUCAAUUGCUUAGUAUGGUUAGGAUUUUGUGAACAUCACUAAAAAGUGAAAAACUAUGAAUGAUAGGGGUGAUGCUUGCAAUAUGAAUAAAUAAUGGACUGAUUCAAUUGAUGAUUACAUUUAUAUAUUAUUGAUUAUUUAUGAAUUUUCAGACUUGUUAUGAUGUAUAACUAUGUGAUUUUGAAACUUGAAACCGUGGCAAACAUUGAAAGGAAUUAUAACUUGAAAGCAUGACUCACGGGGUAUGUCAUGAUUCACGUGCACAAAAAAGGUAGAAUUGUGGAAAUUUACAACCCAACGACAAAUACGGAAAGAAAGGAAGAAAAUUAAAAGACUUCGGGCCUAGCCUGCGUGUAUUAAUUAUUAGAUUACUUUUUUUUUUAUAAGGGUAAUCAUCAAUUUACUCCAUAACAAUCUUUAAUUCAUUUUUAAAAAAUAUGAAAACUUUAAUUUAUCUUUUAAACAUCGUUACCUCUUCAUUGGUUUUAAUAGUUCAAAGGGUAAAAUUAUAUUUGCAUAUUUUCUUGACCGCCAACUAAAUGAUAAAACUCAAAAUUCAAUCUUGUUAUCUUGUUUCAAUCCUCUAUCAAUCAAAUAAGAUUUCUAAAAUAUGUGAAAGAUAUUGCAUGAUUUCCUCAACCUACCUGGCCCCGAACAUCAAGGUAAAUCUCUCUAAAAUAGUUGAUUAAAUCUCAGUUGCUAAGUAUAGUUAGGAUUGUGUGAACAUCACUGAAAACUAUGAUUGAUAGAAGUGAUCUUUGCAAUAUGAAUAAAUAAUUAACUGAAUCAAUUGAUUUAUAUAUUAAAGUUUAUGAAUUUUCGGACUUGUUGCGAUAUAAUAAUAGCAUAUGAUUUGAAACUUGAAACAGUGGUAAAUAUUGAAAGGAAUUAAUUUGAAAGCAUGAUCCGUGGGGAAUGUGAUGAAUCGUGUUUACAAAAAAGGUAGAAUUGUGGAAAUUUAUAACAGAACGAUAAAUAUGGUAAAAAGGAAGAAAAUUGAAAGACUUGGGGCCUGGCCUGGGUGUAUUUUCUAACUGUCCAAUGGACAAAAUUAUAUUUGUAUACUUUCUCUUCCCUAGCUAGGUUUCAUAGAAUAGCUCAUUUCAUUUUUAUUUUUUAAAUAAUAGCCCAAAACAUCCUUAUGUUAAUUCACUGUUAGUUGAAUAUCAUUUGUUAGUAAUUCAUUAAGGGUAAAAAAUGAUUUUCUAUCAAAGAGAAAAUUAGAAAAAUAAAUAAAAGUUGACAUAUAACUAAAAAUGAUCUUAUCUAAUCCCACUAAAUAAGAAAUGCCAAAAAAGAUGAAAAAUUUAUAUUUCAAGCAAUUCUUUUUUCACUUAUUUCUAUUUUGGCGGCAUGAAAGCCCUAUAAACCCUAGAUCUAAAUACCAAAAAUAUCACAAUUUUCUUAUUCAUAUAAGUAUACUCUCUAAUUGCAUUGUAAAAUGGCUUGAAUUGAAUUGAAGAUAAAGAAAAUAUUCAGCACAUGCAAGCACAUAAAAAUUGGUGGCAUUUUUGAGUUUUUCUUCCAAUGAUUUAAAGAUAUUGUUUUAAUUACAGUUUGUUCCUUAUGACAAUUAUUCAAUGGCUAUAUCAAACUAUAUCAUCGUUGAUUUCAUUUAAGAAAAAGUUAAUGAAUUUUGCAUACUUUGUAGUGUUAUUUAAUUGUGUAAAAAAAUUAUUUUAAUAUAGUUUGUAUCACUUUAAUGAAAAAUCUUAUUUUGCUCUCAAUGAAUUACUGGUUAAUAGUUUUACACUCACGGUGAGUUAACGGAAGGAUAUUUUAGGCUAUUGAUUGAAAAGGAGGGAUAAAAUGGGCUAUUGCAUUAAACUUUAGGGAUGAAAAAUGCUUUUUCUCCUUUCUUAUCAAUCAACUAACUGAUAAAAGUCAAAACUCAUAUUUUUUUUUUCCUUGUUUCAAUCCCCUCUCAAUCAAAAAAGUUUCCUUGUCUAAGCAAUGAGGAAUAUGGCUAGAAAGAUUGUUAUUAGAAAGAUUUAUCAAUAGUAAUUGGUUCACAACUGAACAAUUUUAGAUUAUUGUGAGUCAAUAUAGGUCUUGUUUGGAAUUGAAGUGUUGUAGCUUUUAAGCUACAGCUGCUUUAGAAAAAAAACUAUAAUUAUGAAAUAAGAGUUAAUAAUAUAUAAUAAAUAUAAAUUUUAAAUAAUAAAUUUGACAAAAUUAUUAAAAAUAUAAUAGAUUUUUGAUAAUACAAGUAAAAAAAUCAUAUCAACAUAGCUUGCAAGUUACAACAGUUAGUGUUUACCUAAUACUUUAAUACUGUAGCUUUUAAGUUACAGUUGUCCAAUACCUCAAUUCCAAACGCACCUAUAAAAUGGCUUGCUUCAAAAGUCUAUCAACCCAACUUGGAAUGCUCUCAUUGUUGCGGAAACGUGGGUUGAGCAAUUACUAAUACUGCAACUUCUGGAGAAAUAUAAAUGUGGUGAUAAACAAAUGCAAAGAAAAUAGAACACAAUAUUUUACGUGGUUCGGCGUAAUGCCUACGUCCACGGGCAAAAACUGGAAGAUAAUUUUACUAACAAUGAAAUUUACAAAAGUGGGAAAAACUCACAAAACCCACAACCCCAAUACACCCAAAUGGAACCUCACUAGAACACUCAAGUGGAAGCUCUCUCAAAUUCUCUCAAAGAACUCACUUGCAAUUGCUCUCUACUUCUCUCAAAUUGGGAUGGUUACAAUAGCAAAAUGCUUCUCUAUUUAUAGAUUGCAUUCUGCUCCAAGUUGGGUUCAAUUUGUCAAAAUGUUGAGCUGGAUCUUGUAUUGCAUGCACGAGCUUUUCAACACCUAACUUUGUCUUUUGAAAUUGCUUAGCCGACCAUCUUUGCUUUUUUGAAUUUGGCAAGCAAUUCUUUGACUUUUCAACAAUUCUCCACCUCGGCGAAGAUUUAGUAAAUCUGAGCCGAUUAUCAAUAAAUUAUCCUCCAGCCUUUGCCUUCUCCGACUGCUUUUAAACUUGCAGGAUAUUAAUCAAGUUUAGACAAUGCUCAAACUUGAUCGCUGUCACCACCUUGGUCAACAUAUCUGCGGGAUUAUCUAUAGUUUUAAUUUUCUGAAGAAGAAUCUUCCCCUCAUCAAUAAUUUCCCGCACAAAGUGAAAGCGUACAUCGAUGUGCUUCGUACGCACAUGAUAAACUUGGUUCUUCGUUAAAUGAAUAGCACUCUGACUAUCGCAAUACACAUUAAUGUGCUCCUGCGCCAAUCCCAAGUUUUCAAGCAAACCUUAUAACCAAAUAGCCUCUUUAAUAGCCUCUGUAAUUGCCAUGUACUCGGCCUCUGUGGUCGAUAGUGCAACUGUAGACUGUAGUGUAGACUUCCAACUAAUUGGCCCUCCAGCAAAAGUAAAUACAUAUCUGGUGGUUGACCGUCGUUUGUCCAAAUCACCAGCAUAAUCAGAAUCAAUGUACUCGAUCACACUUUGACCAAGUGUAUCGUCUCUUUCAAACAGUAAACCAACAUCCACGGUCUUCUAAAUGUACCGUAGAAUCCAUUUCACAGCUUGCCAAUGUCCUUUACCAGGAUUAUGCAUAUACCUGCUCACUAUACCAACUGCAUGUGAAAUGUCAGGCCUUGUACACACCAUUGCAUACAUCAAGCUACCCACUGCAUUUGAAUACGAAACUUGUAACAUGUAUUCUCGUUCUGCAUAUGUUGAAGGAGAUAAUUGUGCAGAAAGCUUGAAAUGAGAAGCCAACGGGGUACUCACAGGUUUUGUCUGCUCAGUCAUGCCAAACUGCUGUAGUACCUUCUUCAAAUAUUGCUUUUGAGACAAGCUUACUUUGCCACGAGCUCUAUCUCUGCAUAUCUCCAUGCCAAGAAUCUUCUUAGCUUCACCUAAAUCUUUCAUUUCAAAUUCUUGAUUGAGUUGAGUCUUCAACUUCUCAAUCUCAUUUUUGCUCUUCGAUGCUAUUAGCAUAUCAUCGACAUACAAUAGCAAAUAAAUGAAAGAGCCUUCUUGUAGCUUGCGAAAAUACACACAAUAAUCAAAUUUAUUUCUUGUGUACCUUUGUCUUUUCAUAAAUCGAUCAAAUCGCUUGUACCACUGCCUCGGAGAUUGUUUCAACCCAUAAAGCGACUUUGUCAAUUUGCAAACCCAAUUUUCUUUUCCAGCAACCUUAAAUCCAUCUGGCUGAGUCAUGUAGAUUUCCUCUUCCAAAUCACCAUGUAAGAAUGCAGUUUUUACAUCAAGUUGAACUAGUUCAAUAUCAAAUUGCGCAACCAUGGCUAGCAAAAUUCGAAUAGAUGAAUGUUUCACAACUGGAGAAAAUACCUCAUUGUAGUCUAUUCCUUCCUUCUGAGCGUAACCCUUCGCUACCAAUCUAGCCUUGUAUCGAAUUUCAUUUUUACAAGGAAAUCCUUCCUUUUUUGCAUAUACCCAUUUGCACCCAAUUGCCUUCUUUUCCUUGGGCAGUGUAACUAACUCCCAAGUUUCAUUUUUGUGAAGAGACUGCAUUUCUUCGUUCAUUGCUUUCUUCCACUGUAUACUUUCUGGAUUACUUACUGCUUCUCUGUAAGUGGAAGGAACAUCAUCAUCUACAAUUGGAAGUGCAUAGGCCACCAUAUCAACAAAGCGAGCAAGUCUGCGAAUCUCUCUAUGUGGCCUUCUAUAUGCAAUUGAAUCAUGUUGCUGUGAAGGUUCCUAGGUCAGAACCUCUUCAUCAUUUUCGGUCGAUGGAGAAUCAUUAUCCAUCUCAUCGACACCAGCUGGAUCAGCUUUAACUUUUUCAAACUCCACAUGCUGCAAACUGCUACUGGUCUUGUCAUUCUCUUGAGAAUCUUUUUGUUUCAACAUGGUUGAUUCAUCAAAAGUUACAUCUCUGCUGAAAAUAAUCUUCUUCGUUACAGGACACCAGAGACGGUAUCCUUUUACUCCACCAGUUAUACCCAUGAACAAUGCUUUCUUUGCUCUUGGGUCUAACUUAGAUUCUUUUACAUGAUAAUAAGUAGUGGAACCAAAAACAUGUAAAGAAUUAUAAUCAGUAGUAGGUUUACCAGUCCACAUCUCCAUGGGUGUUCUGCCCUCAAUUGCAGUUGAUGGCAAACGGUUGAUCAAAUGGCACGCAUAUACAACUGCCUCAGCCCAAAACUCUUUGCCCAAUCCAGCAUUGGAUAACAUACACCGAACUUUCUCCAGUAUAGUCCGGUUCAUGCGUUCUGCCACCCCAUUCUGUUGUGGUGUAUCUCGAACAGUGAAAUGUCGCACAAUACCCUCAUCUUGGCAUAUUUGAAGAAAUGGAUCAUUCUUGUACUCACCACCAUUAUCUGAGCGAAGUCUUUUGAUCUUUCGACCAUUCUGAGUCUCGACCAUUUUCUUCCAUUUCAUAAAUAUGCCCAAAACUUCAUUUUUGUUCUUCAUCAAAUACACCCACACUUUUCUUGAAUAAUCAUCAACAAAAGUAACAAAAUAGUGCAUACCUCCCAAAGAAGCUGUUUUGGUAUGUCCCCACACAUCACUGUGAACAUAGUCCAUAAUUCCUUUUGUAUCGUGAAUUGCUGAACCAAACUUUACCCUUGUCUAUUUGCCCAGAACACAAUGUUCACAAAAUUCUAAUUUGCAAGAAUUUGUACCUUUCAAUAAGCCUUGCUUCGCUAAAGUUUGCAAAGCUUUUUCACCAGCAUGUCCCAAACGCAUAUGCCACAAUUUGGUUGCUUCUAAAUCUGCAUCUUUUCCAGAAACUGUUGAUGCUGAUCCAAUAACUGUACUUCCUUGGAAAUAGUACAAGUUAUUUCUUCUUGUGCCUUUCAUUACCGUCAGUGCCCCAGCUACUACCUUCAACAAUCCAUCUCUUAAAGUGAUUGUGAGUCCUUUAGAUUCUAGGACUCCUAAUGAGAUGAGAUUUUUCUUCAAGCUUGGUACAUAGCGAACAUCUGUCAAAACUUGGAUUGAGCCAUCAUGAUUCUUUAAUUGGAUUGUACCUAUUCCCAUGGUUUUACAAGCAUUGUCAUUGCCCAUAAAAACAACUCCACCGUCUAGCUCCUUGAAGUUAGAAAACCAGCCCUUGUUAGGACACAUAUGAUAAGUACAACCCGAAUCCAAAAUCCACUCAUCUGAGUGACAUAUCAAUGUCAUGCCAACCAGACUAAAGUCUGACUCCUCAUCAUGCUCUGCUACACAUGCAUCAGAAGUAGCCUUGCCCUUUUGUAACUUAGGACAAUUCUUUUUCCAAUGCCCUUUCUCGCGACAAAAAGCACAUUCAUCUUUGGCAGGUCUCCCUUUAGACUUGUUCCUUUUUCCAGGUUUGUGGCUUUGCGAACGACCUCUCGCUGUCAGUGCUUCUGCAACUGUAUAUCUGUGAUCCUUUCUAUCUUUCUUUCUGGUCUCAGAGUUGUACAAUGCACUGCAUACAGCAUCGAAUGUGACACUGUCCUUCCCAUGAAGCAAAGUAGUGGUAAGAUGAUCAUAUUCAUCAGGAAGGGAAUUCAACAACAAUAAUGCCUUAUCUUCAUCUUCAAAUCUCUCAUCUAGAUUUAGCAAAUCCGCCAAUAUCUUGUUGAAUGAGUUCACGUGGUCAUUCAUUGACAUGCCAUGUGUAUAUGUAAAUCGAUAGAGUUUCUUUUUCAUAUAAAGCCUAUUUUCAAGACUUUUCUUCAUAUGCUUUUCUUCCAGUGUCUCCCACAAUUUCUUUGCCGAUGUCUCCCUCAUGACAGAGUAUUUCUGAUCUUUAGCCAGACAUAGGCGAAUAGUACCACAUGCCUGUCUAUUGAUUUUUAUCCACUCCUUGUCAUCCAUCACGUCAGGCUUUUCUUCAAGAGCAACGUCCAACUCUUGUUGACAUAAGACAUCCAACACCUCACAUUGCCACAUACCAAAAUUAUUGGUACCAUCAAAUUUCUCCACUUCAAACUUUGCAUUAGUCACAGUAGUUCUCGCUGAUGAAGACGACGACGGUGCCUCUGCCAUCCUUUUUAUCUCAAAUGAUCAGUUUCUUCAACAACUAUUUACACUUAAAAAACAGCCUCUAUGAUGUUUAUUUCGCGUGAAUAAAUGCACCAGGAAAGUUCCCAAGAGACUGGACGGGAACUCGGUCCCAAUUAAAAACCAGAAUCCUUAGACUCUUAUCGCCUUUGUUGACAGAACUUUCCUAGACAUGCAAAAAUACACACUACUUACAAUAGACUGCCUCCCAAGUAUAAAUGACCGUCUCCACCGUAUUUGUGAACAGUACCGUUUAUAGGAAUAGUACCGUAUACGUGAACAAUACCGUAUCCCCCCAAGUACGAGCCGUCGGCUCUGAUACCACUUGUUGCGGAAACGUGGGUUGAGCAAUUACUAAUACUGCAACUUCUGGAGAAAUAUAAAUGUGGUGAUAAACAAAUGCAAAGAAAAUAGAACACAAUGUUUUACGUGGUUCGGCGUAAUGCCUACGUCCACGGGCAAAAACUGGAAGAUAAUUUUACUAACAAUGAAAUUUACAAAAGUGGGAAAAACUCACAAAACCCACAACCCCAAUACACCCAAAUGGAACCUCACUAGAACACUCAAGUGGAAGCUCUCUCAAAUUCUCUCAAAGAACUCACUUGCAAUUGCUCUCUACUUCUCUCAAAUUGGGAUGGUUACAAUAGCAAAAUGCUUCUCUAUUUAUAGAUUGCAUUCUGCUCCAAGUUAGGUUCAAUUUGUCAAAACGUUGAGCUGGAUCUUGUAUUGCAUGCACGAGCUUUUCAACACCUAACUUUGUCUUUUGAAAUUGCUUAGCCGACCAUCUUUGCUUUUUUGAAUUUGGCAAGCAAUUCUUUGACUUUUCAACACUCAUUCAAGUGGCUAUAACUAAGAUAAAACGUCGCAAAGGAAGAGUAAUUAAAAAAUGUAACUUCUUUAACAUGUCCAUAUAGCAUUUUUGUUUACAAGUGAAUUUGUGUGAUAGAGAGAGGAUGUAAGCAAGAUAGUAAACUCCUAAAUAUAUUAUUGUUUGUAAUGUCUAAAAUUUGAAGAGAAUCAAGCUAAUAAAACUCCAUUGAAAUUAGACCUUCAAGAGUACGGUUCUUGGGCAUUAUAAAAUGUUGUAAUGUUGAGAGAUUACCCAACCAUUAUGGAAUCCUACCAAGAUGAUUGUUACCACUAAGAUACAAUCCUUCUAGUGAACAACAAUUAGACAAAUUUUUUGGAGAUCUCUCUUACAAAGUCAUUACCAUCCAAUCGCAAUUUUGAAUGAAAAUAAAUUUUUUUUAUUGGGAGUUUGACCUUAACAUUAAAUUUAGACAAUGAAUUUUAACUUUCUUCAAUUAUUAAGCAGAUUACGGACAUUUGAGGAAUUUGAAAACAUUUCAUCCAUCGAAAGUUAAAAUUAGAGAUGGAAGCUAGGUGCUACAGCUAAUGGGAACAUUAAUUCCUGUCCCUCAUCACACUUUAUUUUGGGUCUAAUAAUUUUACGGCAGCAUUGACCACUGCUCAAGGUAAGUAAAACUUACAAAUGUGUGGCAAAAUAAAUAAUUAAGUGGAUAAACUGUUAACUAAUUUUCUUGAUAUAUACAGCUAAUGUAGUUGUUCCUCUGUUAAAAAAACAAAUGCUAAGCAAUUUCGGCUGAGCCUGCUUGUGGUGUUGAUAAAAACGAGGGCUGGCUUCAAAUAUUUGAAUAGACACCUCCACCGUACCUCAAACAAAUCUGUCAUUAUUUGUGCCAUGAAACAUGUUUCGGCCGUCAAAGUCAUGAGAGGGUUGAUGACGCUACUACGUAUGAUGACACACCAGCCGACAGUGUAGUAACAGCUCAAAAACAAAAUCUACCAAAAUCAACGGAAGUUAAUAAAAAAUUAUUUUAUUAAUAAAAAUAAAUAAAUAACUUAUUAUUUUUGGAGACGUGUGUAGUUGAGUCUGUGGACUGAAAUGGAAAAUAUGAAGAAGUUCAGAGUCGUUGUGCAGAUUGACUUCAGUUAAAUGGGACUAGUAGAUAUUUUAUGCUGACGUGGCACGAAUUAGUUAUAAUCUGUUACAACGUUUCCAGAAACAUCAGUAUAAAUAGAAGCUGAUGAGCAGUGCCUGUUGUACUUGUACGAUCCUUUUUCUUCUUCAGUUGUUCGUCAAUUUGCAUAGAAUCUGUUUCAUUGUGAUCUGUGCAAAGUCUUCUAUAAAUCCACUUAUGUUUGAUUAGUUAUUGAUCAAUAUCGAGAACAUUAUCCACCUGGAACGACUUCAAGUCCAAAGUAAAAGAGAGAGUGGCUCCCCGCAAUUUUCUUGUUUUCAGUAUAUUUUCUUUUUUUUUUCUUUUUUAAAAUCUUUUGACGCAUGCAUAAUCUACCCUUGUUUAUUAUCUCUACUUUGCUCUGCUCAAGUCCAUUUUUUCAAAUCUUAUUUUAAAUAAUAAAUUGAAUAAAAGUACAUUUGUGUAAUUAAUUAGUAUCUGAGGGGGGCAGCAUAUUUGGUGGAGUGUUAUGCUAUGUAAGACUCAGCUAUUAUCAAACAGUCCCUUAACCAUUUAAUUUAAACCAACUUCUAUUUGGUUUAUUUGCUAUCUUUGUGGAUCUCAUAGGCGUGGCAGAGUUUAAUAAUUUUAUCGUCUGAAGAAUAGGAUAUUGGCUUCAAUAAAUUUAAUUUAAACCAACUUCUAUUUACUCCAUCAAUUAAUUAAUGACAUUUUGUUUUGAAAAAUUCAAUAAUUAAAUUCUCACGUUUCAUGUGUUUGAAGUCAAAUUAUUCAUUAACUAGAACUCUGUUCAAAAUUGACUGUCUUGUGGUUCCCAAAUGUAGUUGUAAUAUUGAAUGAAAGUAAAAACUUUCUAUGGCGAGUUUAAAUCUAAAUCUGGACAAUGAAUUUUGAGUUUCUCAAUGCUAUUCUAAUAACAAAAAUUAUGUUGAUUGAUUUAUUGUUACAGUUACUAUCCUUUGAAAAUGGAUGGAUUCAUUGUUUCCGUGACCAAAUUAUGCCUGCCUAACGCUGCAACUAUUAAAAAAUUUAAUAUUUAAUGCACAUGUUAAAAGAUUUAAAAUUUUAUGCAUUUAUUAAUUGUUAUAAUCUUAAAAAAAAUUAAUUAAUUCAGGUCAAUCUGAGUUGGUGCAUCUGCAGGAGCCUUUUUUUAAUUUUUUUUUCCCCUUAUUGACCAUAAUGACAUCUCCUUCAACAUGACUAUUGACAAAGAGCAUGUAAAAACAUGGAAACAGAACUUCCACAGGUGGAAUUUAAGUUUUGGCCAUGUGGCCAUGAAAGAAAAAGGAAAAGACGCCUCUAAGAUUUGUUUCAGUGGUUUACAUUGACUCUUUAAUUUAAUUUAUAGUAACACAAUUUUUUUUGUACAAAUAUAUAUUAUUCAUGUUUUGUAUUAUAUUUUAACAUCAUAUUUUUAUUUAUUAUAAAUAUUUAAAGCUAAUUUUUAGGUUGAUAUUUAAUAAAAGGGUAUAAUCGUUCCAUCCAUUUCUCAUCUCGCGAUCUCUCUCAAUUAUCCUUUAUUGAUAGCUCAAAGCGCGUUGCUGUGGAAAAUUGUAGCAAAAUGAAAAAUUGGAAAGAAAGGGAAGAAAAUUAAUGCUUGGAGAAAGCAAUCCAAUAAGUCAACUGGUCUUUAGUGGGAACAUAUUACAAAAAGGCCUCGAUCAUCAUAUCGUAGACUCGGGGAUAAGGAUUUGGAUCGAGUUUUUGUUUUGAUAUUGAAGGACCUACUUCUCUGCCGCGAUGUAGAAUAUAUGCAAGGAGUUGUCUACUGCUCUUUAGGUCAUAAUAAUGUGAUUGGUGCAUUCAACGUUGCCCCGAAACACUGGAAAGUACUUCCAUAUCCUCCGAAUGAGAACUGAUUUAUAUAUGAUUUCCUAAUUGACUCAGGAUCAGAUGACAACAACAACUUAUUAAUAGUUAUAUCAAAACGGCAGAAGACGUGUUUUGUUUACAGGUUUGAUCCAUUUGGAAUGAAGUGGUCUCAAGUCGAAAGUAAUUUAUCGAAUAACUUUCGACUAAUUAAUAGUUAUAUCAAAGGGUGUGGGUGUUUUACCUCAUCAUGUCUUCAAGUGGAAGAUGAAGACUAGCAAGUGAAUUCAGGAAUAUUGCAUGCCAUUAAAUUUGUAGUUUUUACAUGUUGAUCAGCAGGAUACAACAUUAAAUUUUGUCAUUGACAAUACUGCAUGCCUGUCGUCUAAAGCAUUACCUCACAAGGUUUUAUGAGAAACGAAAGAUGUGUUUGCUUUGAACAAUUAAAGUUACUGCUACGAACCUCCCCAAAGGUCAAGAAGACAGAACAGGAAGCUAAUGCCAUCAAUGUCUUGUUCAUUAUAGCUGCUGGGUAGUUAGGUGUAGUUUCCUCAUUUGAAGCUGUCUAUACAUGGGCAUUUCCCCUGCUUAUGUACAAAUAAAUGAACAACCUUGAAGCUUUAUUAUUCGCAACAAAAAGGGAUUACUAAUUGGAGAAGACUAUACAGAGUUUCUCUCACACUUUCACUCUGUCAAUUUCAUCUAGAAGUCCCUCUAAAAGCAUCUCCCAAAACAGUUAGUCAUCUUUUAUGCUCUGUUUGUAAAAAAUGUGGGCUUUAUUCUUUCUAGAAGAGAUGGAAUUCUAGAAGAGAUGGAUUUGCACGGUCAAAAAGAAAAGAAAAGCCGUAAAAUAAACAGUAGCCGCAAAAUGAACAGUAGCCGCAAAAUGAACAGUAACCGCAAGAUGAACAGUAGUCACUGGUGGCUAUAAAUAGAGGAGUGCUCCUCCUUAUUGUUUGUAUCCAAAAUCCCAGAGAAGGAAUCCAAGUUUUGGUGAGAAAUUGAGAAAGAAAAAUAUUCUUAAGCAUGUAGUUAUAUUGAAGGAGCAUUUGUCUCCUCAAUAUGGGUAUUACGAGUUUGCUUUGUUAAGAGGUAUUUCUCAAGAUUAUGUAUUUGGGGUUUGGGUGAGAGAAAAUUUAUGAGAGUGCGGUUGUAAUAAUUUUCCACAUAGUGAAUAUUUUUUCUCUGGUUGUCUUUUUGACAACGGCCGUGGUUUUUUCUCCGGAUUUGGAGUUUUCCACGUAAAUCUUGUGUUGUGGGAUUGAUAUUAUUUUUCAUUUAAUUUUUCUUGUUAAUUUGUUAAUUGACAAAUUGCUUGGAGAGAUCUUGGGAGGAAGCUCAAUUUCCUAACAGUGGUAUCAGAGCCAUUGAUUGAAGUUUUGGUGUCGGGGUACUAUUCACGUAUACGGUACUGUUCACGUGAAGCAGUUUGAGCCAAUCCGAAUAAUCUGUGGUGAAGAGAAUAUGAAGCAAAUAUGUCAGCAGCUGGUGUUUUUCAAACUUGGUUGAAGUUUGAUGUUGUUGAAAAAUUAAUGGGAGAAUGAUUUUAUUGGCUUGUGGAGAAUUCAAGUCAAAGGUGUAUUCAAUCUGGGUUACACAAGGCAUUGAAGGGGAAGCCAUCCCCUGCGUCCAGUGGUGGCUCUGGAAAAGCUAGUAUAAGUGAUGAAGAUUGGGAAGAAUUAGAUGAUCGAGCUGCAAGUGCCAUACGACUAUGUCUAGCAAAGAAUGUUCUUGCAAAUGUAGGAAAAAUUCUUACAGCGAAAGAACUUUGGGAGAAGCUAGAAAAGUUGUAUCAGACAAAGAGCAUCUCAAAUCGAUUGUACCUGAAGGAGCGAUUUCACACACUGCGAAUGGCUGAAGGUAUAAAAAUUUCCGAUCACCUCAGUGUUCUCAAUGGUAUUGUGUCAGAACUAGAAGCCAUUGGAGUUAAAAUUGAAGAUGAGGACAAGGCGCUUAGGUUACUAUGGUCACUUCCAACUUCCUACAAACACUUGUUACCUACUUUGAUGUACGGGAAGGAUACAGUAGAUCUUGAAGAAGUUACUAGUACUUUACUCUCAGAAGAAAGAAGACUGAAUGGUGAAAGUACUAAAACUACAGAUGUCUCGGCUUUGGCAGUUGUAGGGAAUUGGCAGAAAGAUAAAUCUAAGAAGAAAGGAGUCUGCUGGGGGUGUGGACAAUCGGGGCACUUAAAAAGAGAUUGUCAUAGUAGAAAUGGAGUAGGAUCGGCAAGUGGCUCCAGAUUAGAUACUGAUAGUAUUGCUAGUGGUAAGUCUCUCAUCAUCAUGGGAGACGAUGAUCCCUUGUAAAAUGGAUGAUGAUGACAUCCUCAUGGUAUACCGCUAGUACCAUGAAAGGGGAUAUGUUACUACUAGCGGGUCCACAAGAUUUACACACAAGGCAUGGUUGGCAUUGAUGCAGGGUGUGUGGUGGAAUUUAUGUCGAUGAUUGACAAACUUCCAGGAAGGCCAACAUGGAAGUUGCACCAUAAAUUUCAGCAGGAUAUUUCGACAUGUGCCGAUGUAAAAUUCUUAGAAUUGGUAAUUAAUUCUAAGUGGUAUAUUCUUUAUGGUGGAGUAUGAUAAUUCUCUAUGACGAGGAUUAUGACUUAGGUGAAAACAGUAAGGACAGUGUGGAGAUUGAUUGGUUCUUAAUCAAAUCUCCAAGUGAGAGAAUGUAAAAAAUGUGGGCUUUAUUCUUUCUAGAAGAGAUGGAAUUCUAGAAGAGAUGGAUUUGCACGGUCAAAAAGAAAAGAAAAGCCGUAAAAUAAACAGUAGCCGCAAAAUGAACAGUAACCGCAAGAUGAACAGUAGUCACUGGUGGCUAUAAAUAGAGGAGUGCUCCUCCUUAUUGUUUGUAUCCAAAAUCCCAGAGAAGGAAUCCAAGUUUUGGUGAGAAAUUGAGAAAGAAAAAUAUUCUUAAGCAUGUAGUUAUAUUGAAGGAGCAUUUGGCUCCUCAAUAUGGGUAUUACGAGUUUGCUUUGUUAAGGGGUAUUUCUCAAGAUUAUGUAUUUGGGGUUUGGGUGAGAGAAAAUUUAUGAGAGUGUGGUUGUAAUAAUUUUCCACAUAGUGAAUAUUUUUUCUCUGGUUGUCUUUUUGACAACGGCCGUGGUUUUUUCUCCGGAUUUGGAGUUUUCCACGUAAAUCUUGUGUUGUGGGAUUGAUAUUAUUUUUCAUUUAAUUUUUCUUGUUAAUUUGUUAAUUGACAAAUUGCUUGGAGAGAUCUUGGGAGGAAACUCAAUUUCCUAACACUGUUUUCUAGAAACAGAGUCCUAACUAAAUUGAUUGACUGAACAGUGCAUUUCAACAUAGCAUAUUUAACUGUUUAAACAGUUAUUUGAACCGUCUUCAGAGUUAUCAUCAACAAACUCAUUCAUACUGGUCCAAUCUUACGGACGAUAUCAUAUGCUUAAUAAUGAACGAAUAGUCUUGGAUCAGUGUUUUGCGGCAAGAGCAACUCGACACAAUCUGGAUUCAACCUCCUCCUAUCUAACAAGGGAUUUCGAUUUGAGUUACUUGGUGCUCAAGCAAAUUCACAUCAUAGUUUUGAUUCUUUAGAUAUGAAUUCAUCACAUUACAUAUAUCAGAUUAAGUGUAACAAAAUUCUUUAUCUACUGCGAAAAUAAUAUGCGCUAAAAAAUGAUUUCAAGACUAUUUGACUACAAAAAGCAGCUGCAUGGCUCAGCCUCAGGUAAGAAAGCCACAGAAAAGGAAAAUCUCACUGUCACGACUCACGUCACGCAUCAUUCAAGUGAUGGAUUUAACAAGACUGCUUAUGUUCUAUCAAAUUCCUCUGCCUCUCAGAAGAUAACUUUUCUGGGCCAAAUUUCUCAUCUAAAGCAUAUUAUGCCCCAAAGUCAGAGAUAACAAAAUGGGGCACUACCGAUUAUGAAAGAGAGCUAGUAGUUGUCAGAAGCCUAAGUCAAAUUCCGGUAGUAAGAAGAGGCCUUUCUUGAGUUUAGAUUAUGUGUUCGAGUUUUAAUAAAUGCCUAAGUUAAUAAUAAUAACAACAGUAAUAAUAAACUAAAAAGCAUAAUUACUAUUGAAUGGUAAAAAAAAAAAAUGAAAAUGUGUGAACUCCAAUAACCACCCCAGUGGCGAAUUUUGGAGAGGGCUAGGCCGGGCUUCUUAGAAAUUAUUUUUAUUUAAUUACAAAAUCACCUUUACUGAAACCUAUAUAAAAUUUUUUAUAUUAAUUAAUUAUGUUGCCUCUUCAAUUAUCAUUGAAUUCUUGUCCGUUCAUCAUUUGAUGGAUAAAUGUGUAUUUCAAUAAUUUCAAAUAAUGUCUAGAACAAAUAUUUUGAAUGAUAAAACUCAUUAUGUCCUGCAUUACUAGAUGUAUCUAUAAUUUAUUAUUUACAAAUUAUAUUGUAUGAUAAAAAUGUAUUGAAUUUUUUAAAAAAAAAAAAGUUCGGCUCACUCAGAAAAAAAUGUUAUUAGCUUCGCCACUGCACAAAUCUAGAAUAAUAAUUAUUCCUUAUUAUAUUGACUGCACCAAGCAAUAAACUAAUAAGUUCUCAUUAGUGGUUUUUAAUCUUUUUAAUUCUUUUUACCGCACACCUGAUCAAUAAUUCUAUUUUGUUAACUAAUCAAUUGCAAAUCAUAUAUUAGUGUUGAACGGUGAACAAAAUUGAAAAAAAAAAUUCUUAAAAAACGUGUGGACUCGGAUAGCCAGACCAGAAAUCUAUGACAAUAAUUAGCUUUGAUGCUGGGAAUCUUUUAGUUUCUGGCCGUAUUGACUCCACCAGUGAUGCUGGGAAUCUAAUGGAGCUCAUUCUUUGGUUUUACUUGCAGGUCUAGAAGCAGGUGUCAUCUUGUAAAGAAGGAAAAUAAUAUUUGCCUUUUUGAAUAAUUUUAUUGAACCAGGAGACGCAGCUAUAUACAAGAGAUUUCCUACAAUCAUGCUAAUCUAUUCUAGGUAGUCUAAGGGCCAGUUUGGUAAUGCUGCAGCUUUUAAAAUAAUUACUGUUAGCUGUGCUGUAGAAAUAAUCAGCUGUGAAGAGAAUCAGUUAAGUGUUUGGUAAAUUUUAUUUUUAAAAGUACUGUGAAUUUUGAAAGCAGUUAUGGGUGUUUGGUAAAUCUUAUUGUUAAACUGCUGUAAGAAAAUAAAUGACUAAAAUGUACAUAAUGUAGGAUGAAAUUUACUUAUACAUAUAAAAAUAUACACGUACAAUAUUAUAAUAAAAAUUGCAUAGGCAUAGAAUUGUUUAUAUAUAAACAAACCCAAAUAAGACAAACAACAAAUAUUAUAAUAAAAAAUACAUUGAAUAUGCAUGAAAAGGGUGAUGAAUCACUUACUGUUAUUGAAUAUGGUUAUGGAACACAUACUGGAUCUUGCUUUGUUGCACUAGAGAAGUUUUGAUAGAACACAAAAUAUGAAGAAAUAGGGUAAACGAAAGGUGUGUGUUAAUUAUAAUAAAAAAUUAUUAAAAUAUUGAUUUUAUUUCCAAUUUAAAUAAGGAUAAUUUCGGGUUUAAGUAAUAAUUGUAAGGAUAUUUAUGGAAUUAUAUUAAAGGAUAAAAUUGAUUC